rnacentral:lncRNA from 1 species
AUAUUGAACUCUGGUGCCUCAAGGAUUGUCACAGUAAAGAAUUGGUCCUGAAGAAUACCGCCAGCAUCGAUAAGCUUACAAGCAUGACUAGGAAGUGGUACAAUGUGGCUGUUAUUCAUCCAGAUUGUGACACCAUUUUCCUGCUUUCAUGGGAAGGUGAUGCCUUGGCAGCGUACGAUAUGCAACAUCAGAAAGUUGGUUGUAUCCUAAAUGUUAAGAUAAAGAAUGGACAACGGCAGCGGUUUUUACCCUAUGUUCCUCUGUUUUCAGAGUCAUUAGCAGAUGCAGAUGGGCAAUAGUGUGACCUUUCAACCACCCUUGUGCUUCCUCCAAAAAUUGGAUCUUUUGUCGGCUGAAGUACCUCUGAAUCUGCUUGAACCAUGCCGCCCAAUUUGCUGGUGAUUGCACUCCUGUUUGGUUGAUUUCCAGUUCAGAGCAAUGCCUGGUAAACCUAUGGAUUAAGCAUAAUGUCAUUUCCGAAGAACAUUGUUACCCAUGUUCUUGUUUACCUAACACUGGUUGUUGUUCUGGACAUAUAUUUGUUGCAUGGGGCUAAAUUAUACUGUAAUUGGACUUCUUUCGAUAACAAUCAGUUAUUAUGAUUAUCCUAAAUCCUAGUGCAUAUUGUCAACCUGUUAGUAUACUACUAAAAGUUUCAAUUAGACUGGUUACCGGUGCCAUGUCUAAUUGACCUUAUUCAUUCUGUAUUUUGGUAAAACACUGCCUUUGAGAAAGUUCCUUCCAUAUAUGUUUUCUGUAGCUAAUGAAUUCGGUAGAGCCUUGGUUCCGUUAAUCCCAGAGAAAUUGCAUCAAUGCGAGUAAAAAAUAAAUAACAUUGGAAGCUUUCAUGAAAAGUUUUCCUACUGGGUGUAUGUGCGUCUCGUCCGUUUUUGUUGUUUCGGAUGAUAAACCGAAGGUACGUAUCACUACUAGAAUCGCCCCCUAUGCCGACGGCCCUGGCCGUCGGCAUAGCCCUGAUUCCCGUCGGGACAGGCCUAUGUCGACGGCCCCCGUCGGCAUAGGGCCGUCGGCAACAUAUCCGUCGGCAUAGAAAGGCCGUCGGCAUAGAUGUGCCACGUGGCGUGCAGCUAUUGGUCGGCACUUGACGGUGGCCGCCGUUAGGCGGGGACGUUGCCGACGGCCUGGGCCGUCGGCAUAGAUGUACGGACGCCAUCGGCAUAGGUUGAAAGUACGCCGACGGCUAGACCGUCGGCAUAGAUGUGCCACAUGGCGUGCACAGGUCACUCCUGGGGCAGGCCUAUGCCGACGGCUCAGCCGUCGGCGUACUUUUGACCUAUGCCGACGGCUAAGCCGUCGGCAUAGCCCUGCCCCAGGAAUGACCAGUGGCUGACACGUGGCGGCUAUGCCGACGGCGUAGCUGCCGGUUUAGUUUAAAACUAUGCCGACGGCUAGGCCGUCAGCAUAGCUGCCACGUGUCGGUCACUGGGUUCUCACGCCAGCACUAUGCCGACGGCCUAGCCGUCGGCAUAGUUUGUCUCUGGUUUUUUUUAUUUUUUCUGUUUCUUUUCAGGUCAAUUCAAUUCAAUAUAGCAUAUAUACAGCACAUAUGCAAAUAGACAAACUGAUCACAUAUGCAUAGACAAACUGAGCAUCACAAAGCAUAAGCAUCUCACAAAGCAUAAGCAUCUCACAAGCAUAAGCAUCUCACAACAUAAGAAUCACCUCACAACAUAAGAAGCAUCUCACAACAUAAGAAGCAUCAAGUGUAUCAUCACCCAAGUAACCCAAAGGCUUAAGCGCCAGGACGUCGAGCACCGCGGAGGUCGUCACCGCCAAGACCGCCGAAGCCCAGGUCGUCACUGCUAGCGGCAGCGCUACCGCCAAGACCGCCUCCACCUCCGCCUCCGCCUUCGUGGAUCGGAGUGGUCGGGCUCCGUGACUCGGGAGUGCUGCGAAGACCACCGCCAAUGGUUGAUCCACCGGUUCCCUGGAUGUUGAAAAGACAUAUUAACGGGAUAUAUGACUGUGUUGAAAGGCAUGAUAUGCUUUGAGUGAAUAGAUUGGGGAUGAACUAACCGGCGAGGGGCCAGCGUUCUGUGCCACAAACUCCUCAAAGGUAAGCAACAUUGGUUGCGGUGGAGGAGAUGCUGCUGGUUGCAAUUGAGGAACCCUGCCGGCCGCCAUUUCCUGAAGAGCAUACUGCAUCUGGCGAUUGUUCUGCUCAUGGUAUGCGUGGAGGGCCGCGUGCCACGCCAUGGUCUCCUGGCGUGUGUACUCCAUGUAGGCCUACAGUAUGACAUGAUGGAACUCAUAAAACUACUAAAUGCGGAAAAUAAGUGAGCAAUGAAGAUACUUACAGAUUGCCGCUCCUGAAAGAGGGACUGUGACUGCGCACUGGUCAUGGGCGUGCUAGUGCGCUGGCUCAGGCUCGGGUCAAUCUGACGGAGCUGUGUGUAGGAGAUAGUAGGAGUGAUCACAGCAUCGAGAACCGCCUCCCGACCGUGCUCCUUGGGCCCCAUGCCCACCACCACCCUCUCGUCCAGAUCCGCCGCAAUGGGGUCAGGUGUGUCAGGAUGUAACCUCAGAUACCCAUCGGAGUAGGCCUUCUUCCUCUGCGUGGUCUUCUUGCCGUAGUACUUGGGCUCGCCAAGCUUUGAGUCCUUCCGCGUAUGGGCGAUCUCCCACGCCUACAUGUGUGAGAGCGGCCUCUUCAGUUUCUCCUCCUGCACCACCAAACAGAGGUUAGUCAUACAUAAGAAAGUGACGGUAAAUAGAAGAAGAAGAAUGUUUAAUGGGGUUAGUCAUACAUUAAGUGCCUUGUGGAGAAAGUGGUUUCGGUUUCCCUGAGCAUGUACUCCCUCCUUCCCUCGGUUAGCCUUGUUUUUUAUACUCGUAGCCGCCCAGGCUCCAGCCUCGUCACACCAAAGAUCCACCAAUGCCGCCCAGGACUCGUCUUUUCCAUAACACCAAUUUGGACACACCUACAUAAUGAAAGCAUAAUGGCAUGUCAAUACUAAACAGUGAAAUGUACCACAAACAUUGGAACGAAAAAUCUUUUGUACUUACCGCCAAGAACUCGGGCCUCUCCAAGGUAAUGCCCAUCCUCCGCGCUUCUGCCUUGGUCAUCUUCACACCAAGAGCGUCGUGAUAGUAUGUCGAGAUGGCCACAUAGCGCACCUUGUAGUGCAUCUGGCGGGCCUUCUUCUUGCAUUGGCGCAACACGAUUUGGUCGGCUCUGGCCCUGUGCUCCGGAAGAACUCGAUAGAAUUUCUACAAUCAUGCAUGAAACAAGAAUGGAAGAAGCCAUGAGUUAAAUCAUUCAUGAAACUAGAAUGAACUUGUGCUUUUGAAGAGAACUCACCCAGAAAGUAGUGAUCACGGCCUUGGCAUGGGUCCCAUGGUCCGCGUAGAGGGCCGCUUCCCAAUGCUCCCAGCUCGUGGCCAAGACCCGAUGGUCCGGGUGCCUAACUGGAUCCGGACAGUACAACCCCGGCCAGUGUAACUUCAGCAAGACGGUGAUGAGGCCGUUGGGAAUACGGACCCCUUUAGAAUAUAUCCAGUUGCUGCAAAAGAAUGAACUAUUAGCAUGUGACAAGCAAAAUAAAUAACAACCGGAAUGAGCAUGUGACAAGCAAAAUAAUGAAACUAUUAUAAAGUGGUACUUACUCUUUCCCCGUGGACUCAAUGAGCCACUUCUGCUCCUCAGUAGCAGGAACCUGCUUUGGUAGCUUUGCGUUACUACGCAGCCACCCCUUGUUGUCAACCCCUUCCCGCCACCACCAUCCUCCUCGCCUGCCUCCCCCUCCCCAACCUCCUCCUCCUCCUCCUCCUGGCCUGCCUCAUCCACCACCUCCUCCUCGGCCCCAUCCCGAACCUCCUCCUCCUUGUCCUCCUCCUCCUCCUCGCCAGAGGGUACCUCACUAGAGGAGGGCCUCGGAGACAACACCCCUAUGUCGGUGAGGGUGCGCUCUUUCUGNNNNNNNNNNNNNNNNNNNNNNNNNNNNNNNNNNNNNNNNNNNNNNNNNNNNNNNNNNNNNNNNNNNNNNNNNNNNNNNNNNNNNNNNNNNNNNNNNNNNNNNNNNNNNNNNNNNNNNNNNNNNNNNNNNNNNNNNNNNNNNNNNNNNNNNNNNNNNNNNNNNNNNNNNNNNNNNNNNNNNNNNNNNNNNNNNNNNNNNNNNNNNNNNNNNNNNNNNNNNNNNNNNNNNNNNNNNNNNNNNNNNNNNNNNNNNNNNNNNNNNNNNNNNNNNNNNNNNNNNNNNNNNNNNNNNNNNNNNNNNNNNNNNNNNNNNNNNNNNNNNNNNNNNNUGCUCGACCACUCCGACUAGGCAGGCCAACGACCUUGCGUAGGAAACCCACGCCGUCGGCCUUCCCCUUACCCAUGUUCCAUGAAUCUGCAUUGAAAAGAUAAUAAGCAAUUAGUAAAUUAAUGAAAUGAAGGAAAAGGCAUGAUAAUAAGGAAUAAUAAACACAUUAAUAAAAAUGCAUAAAAAGGCAUAUUCCUAAACUAUAGAAAAAAGACUUGAAACGUACAUCUGCUAGAACCCAUAUGAAUCAUCACUGUUGUAACCUCUUUCUUGGUCCGUCUCAUCAUCACUAUCAAUCAUAUCAUCUUCGUUGUCUGACGGAGGUGGAGGCUCUUCCUCGUCGUCAGCGUCUUUGUUUAACUUUUCGAGCAUAAGUAUGUCAUUUUCAUUGACAAUGGUCUCACCAUCAUUCCGUGCAUCGUCGUCGUUUGGAUCCACAUCAUCAUCACCCAAUGGUCUAGCGUCAUCGUUUCUAACCACAUCAUCAUCAUCAGGUUGCUCUUGAUAGAACACUCCCUCGUAGGUCAUGGGGUUAAUGUUGUAGUAAUCGUCUUCAUUCGGGUCCAGUAGCUUACCAUGUGGCGACACCUUGAACACAACUUCCCAACCCUUUAGGUACUCUUUCUGGCAUGGGUAAGGCAGAUAAUAUACUUGUGUAGCUUGGGUAGCCGCAAUGAAGAGAUCGGCUCCGGCAUAGGCGGUUGAUGGUUUAACUUCGACCAAACCAAUGGAAGGCGUAUGUUUUACCCCCUCCCGCGGAUCGAACCAUCGGCAUUUGAACACAUGCAGACUUAGGGUCUCGCGCCCCUGGCUGAAUUUAAUCUCGUAUAUAUUUUGUACCCUUCCGUAGUAGUCUACUGAAUUUUGACCGGGGGUGUACACUCUGGUAUUUAUAGUUUUGGGAUCAGGCCGGCUGUUCUGGUGCUCCUCUGUAUGGAAGCGCUACCCAUUCACAUCAUACUUUUUACAUGUCAUGACGGCAGGGUCAAAACCCAUGGAAACCCAUCUCAAUUCAUCAUCCAUAGAUAUGUUCGGAUCUUUUCCCUACAAGUAUAAUUGAAAUUGCUGCGUGCAUUAGUUCGGUUAACUAAUAAAUGUUGAACUAGGUAUGUAAUAGGGGAGUGUGGAAAAUUACUUUCACCAUGAACCAAGCAACAAAAUUUUUACGUCCAGGGUUUCCAUGACGGAGAAGAGUAAGUGCCUCCGCCUCAGUAGGAGGAUUCAUUCCUGUCCAUUCCUCUUGAACGAAAUCACUAAAAAAAGAAAAGCGGUGUUAGACCGAGACUAAGUGAACAUAGAACAUGAUGAUGUGGAAGACAUAAAGGAAUGGUGUAGUGGUAUUACCUCAUCCACACUUCCUCUACUUCCUUGAUGUUGUGCAAGAUAUAGAACAUGAGGUCCUCCCACUCUUGUCGUGGCAUGUUAUAAGAUUUCGAGGCCCCAGCCCUCCCACCUUGCGCGCUGAAUAGAUGGAGCCUGGGUUGAUACUUGGGCUCUUCUAUAUUGUAUCGAGGCACCUUGUUAUGCAAAUGAGGAACGUGGUCUGGAUAGUAUGAUGUCCUGAGGUCUGACACCUCCUCUAGGAUAACUGCCUCAGCUAUGGAAGCUUCAAUCUUAGCUUUGUUUCCACAUUUCCGUCAGAGAUGCUUGUUCUGUCUCUCAGGGCCGUACUGCCAGCGAUUCUGCACAGGCCCCCCAACAAUACCUCGUUCGCGAAGUUCAUGAAUAACCCGGCCUUUCGUGAAGUUCUUCUUGUCUUUCCUGUCUGGAUGGUCUGGAGGGAGGAACUGUCGAUGCACGUCAAAGGCUACGUACUUGCCACCCUUACUCAGCCAAAUCAUUCGCAGAGCCUGCAUGCACACUGGGCAUGGCAUCUUCCCACUGGUACACCAUCAGCAGAAUAGAGCAUAGCCGAGAAAGUCAUGCAUGCAAUAGUGCAACCAAACUUUCAUCAAGAAAUUUCUCUGCAGAUCCCGGUCGUAUGUCAACCUCGAAAAGUACCAAGAAUGGUGCAAAGCAUCCACCAGUGGCUGCAUAAACACACCCAAUUGCUUCCCCGGGUAUUCAGGCCCCGGAAUGAUGAGCGACAAGAACAUGGUCUUCCGCUGCAUUAGGGCACCGGGAGGAAGAUUGAGCGGAAUUACAAACAUGGGCCAGCAGCUGUAUGGAUUGGAUGACAUACCAUAUGGAUUCAACCCAUCACCUGAUAUGGCUAUUCUGACAUUCCCAACCUCAGCUGCUUCCUCGGGGUAUUCUUCAUCGAACGACUUCCAUGCUUCCCCUUCCGAUGGAUGUAUGAUUUUUUUGGAUUGUACCUUAUACCUUCCUUGUGCCACUUCAUCAUUUUGGCAGACUCCGUGAUGAAAAGGUGUUGCAGUCUUUUUAUAAAAUCAAGAUACCGAAGAACCUUAACGGGGAUGGUUAGCUGCUUUUUCUUCACCAUCCUCACCGACCACCUCAAUGUACCGAGACGAACCGCACUUCCUACAGUACUUGUCAUCCGCAUACUCGUGCCUAAACAAAAGACAAUUCUUCGGGCAAACAUCUAUUUUAUCAUAAUCCAUAGAGAGUGCCUUCAUGAUUUUCUUUGUAUCGUACAUGCUUUUCGGCAGUUCAUGACCCUCAGGGAGGCUGUUAGCCCAUACUCCCAGGAAUGCUUCGAAGCAUUUCUGGCUACAGCCGUACUUAGCCUUGACUGCAAUCAGUUGCGAGAUGGCAUCCAGCUGAGAUACUUUCGCACCCGCAUAAAGAGGUUUCUUCGAUGAGGCCAAGACCUCCAAGAAGGCCUUUGCGGUUGCUUCCGGCUCCUCCGGUUCAUUCUCUGAAGGUGUCGCAUUUGCCGUUUCUGCAACAAUGACAUCAUCUAGCAUGUCCCUGACCCCAUCGUCCUCAUAUCCAUCGAUGCGUUGUCACAUCACCUCCUCUCUACCACGGUCCUGCUCGGCUAUGUUUAUCGGCGGCAUGUCAAAGUUUGGCAUAUAUCCGUGCGUGCGAAGGUGCUCAUGUUGGGGAUCGUAGCAGAAUUUUAAAAUUUUCCUACGCUCACCAAGUUCCAUCUAUGGAGUAUACUAGCAACGAGGGGAAAGGAGUGCAUCUACAUACCCUUGUAGAUCGCGAGCGGAAGCGUUCCAAUGAACGUGGUUGAUGGAGUCGUACUCGCCGUGAUUCAAAUCACCGAUGACCGAGUGCCGAACGGACGGCACCCCCGCGUUCAACACACGUACGGUGCAGCGACGUCUCCUCCUUCUUGAUCCAGCAAGGGGGAAGGAGAGGUUGAUCGAGAUCCAGCAGCACGACGGCGUGGUGGUGGAUGUAGCGGGAUCUCAGCAGGGCUUCGCCGAGCUUCUGCGAGAGGGAGAGGUGUAGCAGGGGAGGAGGGAGGCGCCCAAGGCUGUAAUAAUGCUGCCCUCCCCCCCUUUAUAUAGGCCCCCUGGGAGGGGGGCGCCGGCCAAGACCCAUCUAUGGGGGGGGGGGGCGGCGGCCAAGGGGGGGAAACUUCCCCCCAAGUCAAGUGGGGCGCCCCCCCACCCUAGGGUUUCCAAGCCUAGGCGCAGGGGCGCGGCCCACGGGGGGCGCCCCAGCCCACUAAGGGCUGGUUCCCUUCCCACUUCAGCCCAUGGGGCCCUCCGGGUUAGGUGGCCCCACCCGGUGGACCCCCGGGACCCUUCCGGUGGUCCCGGUACAAUACCGAUAACCCCUGAAACUUUCCCGGUAGCCGAAACUGGACUUCCUAUAUAUAAUUCUUCACCUCCGGACCAUUCCGGAACUCCUCGUGACGUCCGGGAUCUCAUCCGGGACUCCGAACAACUUUCGGGUUUCCGCAUACUCAUAUCUCUACAACCCUAGCGUCACCGAACCUUAAGUGUGUAGACCCUGCGGGUUCGGGAGACAUGCAGACAUGACCGAGACGCCUCUCCGGUCAAGAACCAAUAGCGGGAUCUGGAUACCAAUGUUGGCUCCCACAUGUUCCAUGAUGAUCUCAUCGGAUGAACCACGAUGUCGAGGAUUCAAUCAAUCCCGUAUACAAUUCCCUUUGUCAAUCGGUAUGUUACUUGCCCGAGAUUCGAUCGUCGGUAUCCCAAUACCUUGUUCAAUCUCGUUACCGGCAAGUCUCUUUACUCGUACCGCAAUGCAUGAUCCCGUGACUAACGCCUUAGUCACAUUGAGCUCAUUAUGAUGAUGCAUUACCGAGUGGGCCCAGCGAUACCUCUCCGUCAUACGGAGUGACAAAUCCCAGUCUCGAUCCGUGCCAACCCAACAGACACCUUCGGAGAUACCCGUAGUGUACUUUUAUAGUCACCCAGUUGCGUUGUGACGUUUGGCACUCCCAAAGCACUCCUACGGCACCCGGGAGUUGCACGAUCUCAUGGUCUAAGGAAAAGAUACUUGACAUUGGAAAAGCUCUAGCAAACGAAACGACACGAUCUUUUAUGCUAUGCUUAGGAUUGGGUCUUGUCCAUCACAUCAUUCUCCUAAUGAUGUGAUCCCGUUAUCAAUGACAUCCAAUGUCCAUAGUCAGGAAACCAUGACUAUCUGUUGAUCAACGAGCUAGUCGACUAGAGGCUUACUAGGGACACGUUGUGGUCUAUGUAUUCACACAUGUAUUACGAUUUCCGGAUAACACAAUUAUAGCAUGAACAAUAGACAAUUACCAUGAACAAAGAAAUAUAAUAAUAACCAUUUAUUUUUGCCUCUAGGGCAUAUUUCCAACAGUCUCCCACUUGCACUAGAGUGAAUAAUCUAGUUACAUUGUGAUGAAUCGAACACCCAUUGCGUCCUGGUGUUGAUCAUGUUUUGCUCUAGGGAGAGGUUUAGUCAAUGGAUCUGCUACAUUCAGGUCCGUAUGUACUUUACAAAUAUCUAUGUCUCCAUUUUGAACACUUUCACGAAUGGAGUUGAAGUGACGCUUGAUAUGCCUAGUCUUCCUGUGAAACCUGGGCUCCUUCGCAAGGGCAAUAGCUCCAGUGUUGUCACAGCAGAGAGUCAUUGGGCCUGACGCAUUGGGAAUCACCCCUAGGUCGGUGAUGAACUCCUUCAUCCAGACUGCUUCCUGUUCUGCCUCCGAGGCUGCCAUGUACUCCGCUUUACAUGUAGAUCCCGCCACGACGCUUUGCUUGCAACUGCACCAGCUUACUGCUCCUCCAUUCAAAAUAUACACGUAUCCGGUUUGUGACUUCGAGUCAUCCAGAUCUGUGUCGAAGCUAGCGUCGACGUAACCCUUUACGACGAGCUCUUCGUCACGUCCAUAAACGAGAAACAUAUCCUUAGUCCUCUUCAGGUACUUCAGGAUAUUCUUGACCACUGUCCAGUGUUCCAUGCCGGGAUUACUUUGGUACCUUCCUACCAAACUUACGGCAGGUUUACAUCAGGUCUGGUACACAGCAUGGCAUACAUAAUAGACCCUAUGGCCGAGGCAUAGGGGAUGACACUCAUCUUUUCUCUAUCUUCUGCUGUGGUCGGGCAUUGAGCCGUGCUCAAUUGCACACCUUGCAAUACAGGCAAGAACCCCUUCUUGGACUGAUCCAUAUUGAACUUCUUCAAUACCUUGUCAAGGUAUGUACUCUGUGAAAGACCAAUGAGGCGUCUUGAUCUCUCUCUAUAGAUCUUGAUGCCUAAUAUAUAAGCAGCUUCUCCAAGGUCCUUCAUCGAAAAACACUUAUUCAAAUAGGCCUUUAUACUUUCCAAGUAUUCUAUAUCAUUUCCCAUCAAUAGUAUGUCAUCCACAUAUAAUAUGAGAAAUGCUACAGAGCUCCCACUCACUUUCUUGUAAACACAGGCUUCUCCAUAAGUCUGUGUAAACCCAAACGCUUUGAUCAUCUCAUCAAAGCGAAUGUUCCAACUCCGAGAUGCUUGCACUAGCCCAUAGAUUGAGCGCUGGAGCUUGCAUACUUUGUCAGCAUUCUUAGGAUCGACAAAACCUUCCGGCUGCAUCAUAUACAGUUCUUCCUUAAGGAAGCCGUUAAGGAAUGCCGUUUUGACGUCCAUCUGCCAUAUCUCAUAAUCAUAGUAUGCGGCAAUUGCUAACAUGAUUCGGAUGGACUUCAGCUUCGCUACGGGUGAGAAAGUCUCAUCGUAGUCAAUCCCUUGAACUUGUCGAUAACCCUUAGCGACAAGUCAAGCCUUAUAGAUGGUCACAUUACCAUCCGCGUCUGUCUUCUUCUUAAAGAUCCAUUUGUUUUCUAUGGCUCGCCGAUCAUCGGGCAAGUCAGUCAAAGUCCAUACUUCGUUUUCAUACAUGGAUCCUAUCUCGGAUUUCAUGGCUUCCAGCCAUUUGUCGGAAUCCGGGCCCGCCAUCGCUUCUUCAUAGUUCGAAGGUUCACCGUUGUCUAACAACAUGAUUUCCAGGACAGGGUUACCGUACCACUCUGGUGCGGAACGUGUCCUUGUGGACCUACGAAGUUCAGUAGUAACUUGAUCUGAAGUUUCAUGAUCAUCAUCAUUAACUUCCUCCCCAGUCGGUGUAGGCACCACAGGAACAUUUUCCCACGCUGCGCUACUUUCCGGUUCGGAAGGGGUGACUAUCACCUCAUCAAGUUCCACUUUCCUCCCACUUAAUUCUUUCGAGAGAAACUCUUUCUCCAGAGAGGACCCGUUCUUGGCAACGAAGAUCUUGCCUUCGGAUCUGAGGUAGAAGGUAUACCCAAUAGUUUCCUUAGGGUAUCCUAUGAAGAUGCCUUUCUCCGACUUGGGUUUGAGCUUUUCAGGUUGAAGUUUCUUGACAUAAGCAUCGCAUCCCCAAACUUUUAGAAACGACAGCUUAGGUUUCUUCCCAAACCAUAAUUCAUACGGUGUCGUCUCAACGGAUUUCGACGGAGCCCUAUUUAAAGUGAAUGCGGCAGUCUCUAAAGCAUAGCCCCAAAAUGAGAGCGGUAAAUCGGUAAGAGACAUCAUAGAUCGCACCAUAUCCAAUAGAGUGCGAUUACGACGUUCGGACACACCGUUUCGUUGAGGUGUUCCAGGCGGCGUGAGUUGUGAAACAAUUCCACAUUUCCUUAAGUGCGCACCAAAUUCGUGACUUAAAUAUUCUCCACCACGAUCUGAUCGUAAGAAUUUUAUUUUCCUGUCACGUUGAUUCUCAACCUCACUCUGAAAUUCCAUGAACCUUUCAAUGGUUUCAGACUUGUGUUUCAUUAGGUAGACAUACCCAUAUCUACUUAAGUCAUCAGUGAGAGUGAGAACAUAACGAUAUCCUCCGCGAGCCUCAACACUCAUUAGACCGCACACAUCGGUAUGUAUGAUUUCCAAUAAGUUGGUUGCUCGCUCCAUUGUUCCGGAGAACGGAGUCUUGGUCAUCUUACCCAUGAGGCAUGGUUGGCACGUGUCAAAUGAUUCGUAAUCAAGAGGCUCCAAAAGUCCAUCUACAUGGAGCUUCUUCAUGCGCUUGACACCAAUGUGACCAAGGCGGCAGUGCCACAAGUAUGUGGGACUAUCGUUAUCAACUUUACAUCUUUUGGUAUUCACACUAUGAAUAUGUGUAACAUCACAUUCGAGAUUCAUCAAGAAUAAACCAUUGACCAGCGGGGCAUGACCAUAAAACAUAUCUCUCAAAUAAAUAGAACAACCAUUAUUCUCAGAUUUAAAUGAGUAGCCAUCUCGAAUUAAACGAGAUCCAGAUAUAAUGUUCAUGCUCAAAGCUGGCACUAAAUAACAAUUAUUGAGGUUUAAAACUAAUCCCGUAGGUAGAUGCAGAGGUAGCGUGCUGACGGCGAUCACAUUGACCUUGGAACCAUUCCCGAUGCACAUCGUCACCUCGUCCUUUGCCAGUCUCCGCUUAUUCCGCAGUUCCUGUUUUGAGUUACAAAUAUGAGCAACCGCACCGGUAUCAAAUACCCAGGAGCUACUACGAGUACUGGUAAGGUACACAUCAAUUACAUGUAUAUCACAUAUACCUUUGGUGUUGCCGGCCUUCUUGUCCGCUAAGUAUUUGGGGCAGUUCCGCUUCCAGUGACCACUUCCCUUGCAAUGAAAGCACUCAGUUUCAGGCUUGGGUCCAUUCUUUGACUUCUUCCCGGCAACUGGCUUACCGGGCGCGGCAACUCCCUUGCCGUCCUUCUUGAAGUUCUUCUUACCCUUGCCCUUCUUGAACUUAGUGGUUUUAUUCACCAUCAACACUUGAUGUUCUUUUCUGAUCUCCACCUCCGCUGAUUUCAGCAUUGAAUAUACCUCGGGAAUGGUCUUUUCCCUCCCUUGCAUAUUGAAGUUCAUCACAAAGCUCUUGUAGCUUGGUGGAAGCGACUGAAGGAUUCUGUCAAUGACCGCGUCAUCCGGGAGAUUAACUCCCAGCUGAGACAAGCGGUUGUGCAACCCAGACAUUCUGAGUAUGUGCUCACUAACAGAACUAUUCUCCUCCAUUUUACACCUGAAGAACUUGUCGGAGACUUCAUAUCUCUCGACCCGGGCAUGAGCUUGGAAAACCAUUUUCAGCUCCUCGAACAUCUCAUAUGCUCCAUGUUCUAAGCUGUAAAGCAUGCCGCACUGAACGAGGGAGUAAUCAUCAGCACGUGAUUGCCAAGCGUUCAUAACGUCUUGGUUCUCUGGGAUUGCUGCUUCACCUAGUGGUGCUUCUAAGACAUAAUCUUUCUUGGCAGCUAUGAGGAUGAUCCUCAGGUUCCGGACCCAGUCCGUAUAGUUACUGCCAUCAUCUUUCAGCUUGGUGUUCUCUAGGAACGCGUUGAAGUUGAGGACAACGUGGGCCAUUUGAUCUACAAGACAUAGUGUAAAGAUUUUAGACUAAGUUCAUGAUAAUUAAGUUCAUAUAAUCAAAUUAUUCAAUGAACUCCCACUCAGAUAGACAUCCCUCUAGUCAUCUAAGUGAAACAUGAUCCGAGCUAACUGGGCCGUGUCCGAUCAUCACGUGAGACGGACUAGUCAAGAUCGGUGAACAUCUCCAUGUUGAUCGUAUCUUCUAUACGACUAAUGCUCGACCUUUCGGUCUUCCGUGUUCCGAGGCCAUGUCUGUACAUGCUAGGCUCGUCAAGUCAACCUAAGUGUAUUGCGUGUGUUCCGAGGCCAUGUCUGUACAUGCUAGGCUCUUCAACACCCGUUGUAUGCGAACGUUAGAAUCUAUCACACCCGAUCAUCACGUGGUGCUUCGAAACAACGAACGUUCGCAACGGUGCACAGUUAGGGGGAACACUUUCUUGAAAUUAUCAUAAGGGAUCAUCUUACUUACUACCGUCGUUCUAAGCAAAUAAGGUGCAAAAACAUGAUAAACAUCACAUGCAAUCAAAUAGUGACAUGAUAUGGCCAAUAUCAUUUUGCUCCUUUGAUCUCCAUCUUCGGGGCACCAUGAUCAUCUUCGUCACCGGCAUGACACCAUGAUCUCCAUCAUCAUGAUCUCCAUCAUUGUGUCUUCAUGAAGUUGUCACGCCAACGAUUACUUCUACUUCUAUGGCUAACGCGUUUAGCAAUAAAGUAAAGUAAUUUACAUGGCGUUAUUCAAUGAAACGCAGGUCAUACAAAAUAAUAAAGACAACUCCUAUGGCUCCUGCCGGUUGUCAUACUCAUCGACAUGCAAGUCGUGAUUCCUAUUACAAGAAUAUGAUCAAUCUCAUACAUCACAUAUAUCAUUCAUCACAUCUUCUGGCCAUAUCACAUCACAUAGCACAUGCUGCAAAAACAAGUUAGACGUCCUCUAAUUGUUGUUGCAAGUUUUUACGUGGCUUGAAUAGGUUUCUAGCAUGAACGUUUCUUACCUACGUAAAACCACAAAGUGAUUUGCCAAUUUCUAUUUACCCUUCAUAAGGACCCUUUUCAUCGAAUCCGUUCCGACUAAAGUAGGAGAGACAGACACCCGCUAGCCACCUUAUCCAACUAGUGCAUGUCAGUCGGUGGAACCUGGCCCACGUAAGCGUACGUGUAAGGUCGGUCCGGGCCGCUUCAUCCCACAAUGCCGCCGAAACAAGAUAAGACUAGUAGCGGCAAGAAGAAUUGGCAACAUCAACGCCCACAACUGCUUUGUGUUCUGCUCGUGCAUAGUAACUACGCAUAGGCCUGGCUCAUGAUGCCACUGUUGGGGAUCGUAGCCGAAUUUUAAAAUUUUCCUACGCUCACCAAGAUCCAUCUAUGGAGUAUACUAGCAAUGAGGGGAAAGGAGUGCAUCUACAUACCCUUGUAGAUCGCGAGCGGAAGCGUUCCAAUGAACGUGGUUGAUGGAGUCGUACUCGCCGUGAUUCAAAUCACCGAUGACCGAGUGCCGAACGGACGGCACCUCCGCAUUCAACACACGUACGGUGCAGCGACGUCUCCUCCUUCUUGAUCCAGAAAGGGGGAAGGAGAGGUUGAUGGAGAUCCAGCAGCACGACGGCGUGGUGGUGGAUGUAGCGGGAUCUCGGCAGGGCUUCGCCGAGCUUCUGUGAGAGGGAGAGGUGUAGCAGGGGAGGAGGAAGGCGCCCAAGGCUGUAAUAAUGCUGCCCUCCUUCCCCCCUUUAUAUAGGCCCCCUGGGAGGGGGGCGCCGGCCAAGACCCAUCUAUGGGGGGGGGGGGGGCGCCGACCAAGGGGGGGAACUUCCCCCCCAAGUCAAGUGGGGCGCCCCCCCACCCUAGGGUUUCCAAGCCUAGGCGCAGGGGGAACAGCCCACUAAGGGCUGGUUCCCUUCCCACUUCAGCCCAUGGGGCCCUCUGGGAUAGGUGGCCCCACCCGGUGGACCCCCGGGACCCUUCCGGUGGUCCCGGUACAAUACCGAUAACCCCCGAAACUUUCCCGGUGGCCGAAACUGGACUUCCUAUAUAUAAUUCUUCACCUCCGGACCAUUCCGGAACUCCUCGUGACGUCCGGGAUCUCAUCCGGGACUCCGAACAACUUUCGGGUCUCCGCAUACUCAUAUCUCUACAACCCUAGCGUCACCGAACCUUAAGUGUGUAGACCCUACGGGUUCGGGAGACAUGCAGACAUGACCGAGACGCCUCUCCGGUCAAUAACCAACAGCGGGAUCUGGAUACCCAUGUUGGCUCCCACAUGUUCCACGAUGAUCUCAUCGGAUGAACCACGAUGUCGAGGAUUCAAUCAAUCCCGUAUACAAUUCCCUUUGUCAAUCGGUAUGUUACUUGCCCGAGAUUCGAUCGUCGGUAUCCCAAUGCCUUGUUCAAUCUCGUUACCGGCAAGUCUCUUUACUCGUACCGCAAUGCAUGAUCCCGUGACUAACGCCUUAGUCACAUUGAGCUCAUUAUGAUGAUGCAUUACCGAGUGGGCCCAGCGAUACGUCUCCGUCAUACGGAGUGACAAAUCCCAGUCUCGAUCCGUGCCAACCCAACAGACACCUUCGGAGAUACCCGUAGUGUACCUUUAUAGUCACCCAAUUACGUUGUGACGUUUGGCACACCCAAAGCACUCCUACGACACCCGGGAGUUGCACGAUCUCAUGGUCUAAGGAAAAGAUACUUGACAUUGGAAAAGCUCUAGCAAACGAAACGACACGAUCUUUUAUGCUAUGCUUAGGAUUGGGUCUUGGCCAUCACAUCAUUCUCCUAAUGAUGUGAUCCCGUUAUCAAUGACAUCCAAUGUCCAUAGUCAGGAAACCAUGACUAUCUGUUGAUCAACGAGCUAGUCGACUAGAGGCUUACUAGGGACACGUUGUGGUCUAUGUAUUCACACAUGUAUUACGAUUUCCGGAUAACACAAUUAUAGCAUGAACAAUAGACAAUUACCAUGAACGAAGAAAUAUAAUAAUAACCGUUUAUUAUUGCCUCUAGGGCAUAUUUCCAACAGCUCACUCAUGUCCGUCUGAUUUCUACGGUGACGUCUGGCACAUCUCGCACAGGGGCAUGGUGGGAUAAUUCUCAUUGGACGACGGAAUAUCUCCUUCAAAUACACAUCGGUUUUCGCGAUCCACUCUGAUGUUACUCGAUUUCGAUGGAUAAAACAACUAUACAUCCACUGAUUAUCUGCCAUCCUCUGCUUUUUUGCAAGCCGCACAACAUAAUAAUGAUUCAGUUAAAUUAAUCACAUCAAAUUUUCAGUUUCUACCGCGUUGAAUCCACCUACAUCUCUAAUAAGUAAAGAUGGGUACUCAUACCACCCGAGGAUGUGUAGAUUGAGUACGUUCUCCAUUCUACCCCGUUCCGAGACCAAAUUUCGGUAGCACCUCCCCGCUGUUCUCCAGAUACACGUCUCGGCAAAUAGCCGAGAGAAUGUGCUCCGGAGAACAAUGGGGAGGCGCCGCCAAAAUCCUGUCUCGGAACGGGGUAGAACAUGGAGAACAUACCCAAUCUACACAUCCUCGGGCUGUCCGUGGAAAACGCUGGACAAUCCAAAAGAGUUGCGGUGAUAAAUAUGCAAUUGAAUGCAUAUUUAUCGAUGCAACCCUUUCGGAUGGGAGACGCCUAGGUUACGCCAGUUGACUUGAGAGUGAAAUCUAGUGACAUGAAAAAAUGGAGGAGAUGGACUUGAAGCUCACCCUCGGCUGUAGGGGAAGGAGUCGAACAACAGAGGGAUGCUCAGGGACCAACGCGUCGGACGACGACCACUUUGAUGAAAUGCAACACCACAAAGCCUGCAAAUUCCAUCGUGACAAAAAAUUUAGAACAUCACAACUCAUAGAGCAUAUUUAAAACAUUUAAACAUGCAUUCAUUUAUUUUUGCAUCAUGUAGGCAAAAAAAACUAUAAUCAUCAUCAUCUAUUCGUCACAUAUUCAUCAUCAUCAUCUAUUCGUCAUCAUCAUUGAUUCAUCUCAUCGAACCAAUUUUUUUGGCAGGAUAUGCAAUAUAUAGCAUCUCAUCGAACCACAUAUAUAGCAUUUUAACAUAAAACAUCAAACAAUUUUAUAUCUAUCCAUCUAUAUAUCAUGAUGUAGUAUCCACUCAUCUAUCCAUCUAUAUAUCAACAACAACUUUUUUUCUCAACUAACCUAUCAACAACAUUUUUAUAUAUUAUAAUCCAUCAAUCUAACUAUUUAUAUAUCUAACUAAUCUAUCCAUCUAAACCCUAAACUAACUAACCUAACGUAGCAGCAGCAAGUAGCAAGCAGCGGCAGCAGCACGAAGCAGCAACCAGCGGCAGCGGGGGCAGCAAGCAGCAAGCGGCAGCGGGAGCAGCAAAGCAGCAGGGGGCUCACCGGCGAAGCAAAGGCGGGGCGGAGCAGGGCGGGGCGGCGACGAGGUCGGGGCGGAGAAGGGCGGCGACGGGCGGGGUAGUGGCGUCGGCCGCCGGCGCAGUCGGGGACGGGGCGACCGCAGCCGGGGAUGGGGCCGCNNNNNNNNNNNNNNNNNNNNNNNNNNNNNNNNNNNNNNNNNNNNNNNNNNNNNNNNNNNNNNNNNNNNNNNNNNNNNNNNNNNNNNNNNNNNNNNNNNNNNNNNNNNNNNNNNNNNNNNNNNNNNNNNNNNNNNNNNNNNNNNNNNNNNNNNNNNNNNNNNNNNNNNNNNNNNNNNNNNNNNNNNNNNNNNNNNNNNNNNNNNNNNNNNNNNNNNNNNNNNNNNNNNNNNNNNNNNNNNNNNNNNNNNNNNNNNNNNNNNNNNNNNNNNNNNNNNNNNNNNNNNNNNNNNNNNNNNNNNNNNNNNNNNNNNNNNNNNNNNNNNNNNNNNNNNNNNNNNNNNNNNNNNNNNNNNNNNNNNNNNNNNNNNNNNNNNNNNNNNNNNNNNNNNNNNNNNNNNNNNNNNNNNNNNNNNNNNNNNNNNNNNNNNNNNNNNNNNNNNNNNNNNNNNNNNNNNNNNNNNNNNNNNNNNNNNNNNNNNNNNNNNNNNNNNNNNNNNNNNNNNNNNNNNNNNNNNNNNNNNNNNNNNNNNNNNNNNNNNNNNNNNNNNNNNNNNNNNNNNNNNNNNNNNNNNNNNNNNNNNNNNNNNNNNNNNNNNNNNNNNNNNNUGGUGGAGGGGAUGGGGUGGCGGUGCGGCGCGGCGAGGGUCGGGAUAGGGCGACGGCGGUAGCGAGGGUGGGGCGGUGGCGAGGGUCGGGAUAGGGCGGCGGCGGCGACGCGGGUGGGGGUCGGGGUCGGGCUCGGGGAGGUGGUGCUGUGCGGGUCGACGUGCGGGCGGGGGGGAGACGGUGCGGGGGAGGAAGAAUGAGUGGAGGGGGUGGGAUGCGGCUGUGGAUAAGGUGAGCCUAUUCCGACGGCUAAGCCGUCGGUAUAGAUACUUUGCAUUUUUUUAUUACGGCAUAUUUGUGACAAGCUGUAAAAAAUAGUCCCAGCUUGCCCAAAGACAAGCAACAUGACCUGUUUAAAUAGUUGGCUAAUCCAUACGACGUGAGCUCCGGUAUUCAUUAGACUUCUCUUAAGAAAAUGGACAAUUACGGUGAAACGUUCAGUUACCGGCCCGGUGCCCGGGUCUGAAGGUUUCACUGUGAUAGUCCAUUUUCCAUGACGGAUGCCGGUGUUUUUUAUAAAUUCAAUUAUUACUAUUUUUCAGUUUGUUGUGUCUAAGCUGUGGUGGCCGUUUCCCCACUUCGAGACAUGGCGGCAGCGACGCCCGUGAGGGGGGCACACCCCGGAGCCGCGUGUCGGGUGCCUGAGCGUGCCACCACGCUUCCACAAGCGUAGGAGGGCCCACCGCAACACCUGGCGGCAUUGCUACCCCCUCCGGUACCCCGUCCCGUCUAACCCUGACACAGACGACCGCCGGAUCUAGCUCUUUGACUUCCGCCGGACUGGGUCUGACCGGUGGACCUUUUCACCUGGUAGUCGUAGCCCAGCCCAUAGCUGCACCCCCAACACCAUCCCGGCCCAACCCACCCAAAGAUUCCCUCCGUGUCGGCCCGACGGGGUCGUUUCCCCCCUCAGGGACACGGCGGCAGCCACGCCCGUGAGGUCUACAAGGCAGGACGGGGGCCCUGGGGGGUAGCAAUGCCACCGGAGCGUCGCACCGGGCCCUCAUACAUGCCGUAUGGUGUGGUGGCAUGUCCUAAGAGGCGGCAUGCAUCUCUGGGGUGUGCCCCCCCCCUCACGGACGGCGAUGACACGGUAGUAGACGUUCUGCGGUAACGAUGCGGCGUGAAUAUUAUUAAAUACUCGGAGCGCGAUAAAAUCAUGAGUUUUUUACAUGACAUGGGCACAUGUGCUAUAGGACUGAUGGUAAUUUUUCAAAAAAAAUUGUGAUGGAGAAGUAUCUGAACACUUCCCUCUACGCGGAUUGCUCUUCGCGUGUCUACGACUAUGGCUGGCGGCCUCCGGGGGCUAGCAUGCCGCCAAAUCUUGCGUAGGCGGCCUCUCACAAGUCUGGAAGUGUUGUGGCAGUUGCAAACGCCCGGCACGCAUCUCCGGGGUGUGGUCCCCCUCACGGACGGCGCAGCCGCCGGCACCUGGAAGGGGAAACGGACGCGUCGGGUCUACACGGAAGGGAUCUUGCUGUGGCUUUGGCCCGGAUGUUGCUCCAAAAAUGUUCCUAUGGGCUGACCUAACACAACCAGGUGGAAAGUUCCACCGGUCAAAGCCCGUCCGUGCAAAGUCAAAGGGCUAGAUCCUGUGGUCAAACGCUACAGGGUUAGGCGGGACGGGGGCCCUGGGGGGUAGCAAUGCCACUGGAGCGUCGCAUCGGGACCUCAUACAUGCCGUACGGUGUGGUGCCAUGUCCGAAGAGGCGGCGCGCGUCUCCGGGGUGUGCCCCCCUCACGGACGGCGCCGCCGCUGGCACCUGGAGGGGGAAACAGACGCGUCGGGUCUACACGCACUAGUGCAGAACAGGCCUUUAUCACCGGUUCGUAAGGGCCUUUAGUGUCGGUUCUGCAACCGGCACUAUGGAGUGGAGACUAAAGGCCCCCUUUAGUACCGGUUCGGCACGAACCGGCGCUAAAGUGCCACCACGUGGCACGAGCCAGGCCCGGGUGCUGGUAGACCAUUAGUACCGGUUGGUAGCACCAACCGGUACUAAAUGUUUGUGGGGUUUUGGUUUUAAUUUUUAUUUUUCCAUUAAUUUUGUGUUUUCUAUUUAAUUCUUUUUUGUUUGCUGGUAUUUUACGAUACUACAUAUUGUACAUGUUAUGCGUAUAUAUAAAUAGAUUUUCUCGUAGAACUGAUCAUCUAUAUAUAAUUGAAUGUCUCACAACCACCAUUAAUUAUUCACACAUACACAUGUAUAUAUAUAUAUACAAUUUCUCCUACAUGUUGCCUUGGUGCCUUCGGAGCACGAUGACAAGUGGUUCAUGGGGGCGGUAGCGGGUAAUAGUAUUCUCCUUUGGGAUCUAUGACCUGGUCGAGCAAAAAUCCCGCUAUUUCCUCUUGAAGUGCUCGUAUGCGCUCCUCUGAUAGGAGCUUGUCCCGCACUUCUUUGAACUGUUAAGAAGGAGAUCAAUAUGCAUGUGUAUUAGUUGUGUGACUAGAUAUUGACAAUCAUGUAAGAUUUGUGAAUAUUGUUCUGGCAAACUUACCCAGUCCUGUCUAUCAGAUCUGCUCCUUUCGGACGCCAUCAUGCAAAUGUUCUCGCAAAUGUAGUAUGCACACACUUCAGUCCCCGGCGCCUGCUUCAGGGCCUUUACGACAAUAGAAUUUAAUCAGAUAAUAAUUAAUCAAGCAUGUUAAUUAAUUAAUGGUAUUGAAACAAGAAUUAAAGAGAUGGUAGCUAGCUAGCUAGUACUACUUAAUUACUUACCUUGGGUCGAUACCAACAUAGCUUUUGUCGCCAUUUUGCUUCUCGGUCAUGUUGUAAGGCCUUUGAGGAAGAGGAGCGAGGCUGCUUGGACCUUAUUUAUAUCGCUUGUCUCCGCCUGUACUUUCUGUACUACCUCGACUCGUACCGCUACGCACCAUAGCUGCGGCGUGUCUCUUCUGCGAUUGCUUAAGCGGCGGAGACGGCUGACAUGGCUUAGUUGGAGCAGGAGGAGUGGCCUGACGCUGUGCCGGACUUGAAGCAGGAGGUGUGGCCUGACACGGUGUCGGACUUGAAUCAGGAGGUGUGGCAUGACGCUGUGCCGGACUUGAAGCAGGAGGUGUGGCCUGACACGGUGGCGGACUUGGAGGAGCGGGAGUCUGCUGACACGGUGGCGGACUUCGAGGAGGAGUCGGCAGACGCGGUGUCGGUGGACUUCGAAAGAUGAUGCAAUCCUUUUUCCAUAGGAUGAAACGAUGUAUGGCCUCUCCCAGUGUUUGCUCGUCGUCACCUCCAGGAAUGUCAAGCUCUAGCCCCGAAUAUGAGCCCACCACCUCAUCAACCAAGACACGAGCAUAGCCCUCUGGAAUCGGGGCACAAUGGAAGGUUGCUCCGGGGGUAAUUGUAAAAGCAACGGCGUUCGCCACCUUCAUGGAUAUGUUCUUCAUUUUGUAGUGUAGCUCACAGUUAGUGUUCUCUAUGAUGUCAUCCACAGGGUAUGUAUCCAGCAGUGCGUCGCCCGGGGCGGAACCAACGCUGCUUCUCGGCAUGGAUGGGACGGUGCUAUCCAAUGCUGGAUGAUCAUCCGCUUGCUGCUGCCGCUGCUGAGACCCCCUUUCCUGGCUAAGUGAGUCGAUCUGCUGCUGCUGGAAUUUGAGUGCCAAGUCCGCGUGCCUUGCUUCUAGGCCUUGAAGGCGUUCCGCGUCCUGCUUCCUCUGCUCCUCCUCCAGCUUCCUCUUCUUCUCCUCCUCCAUCUUCUUUCUUGCACGGGUCCUGUAGUCGUCGUUCCAUUCCGAAAAGCCCUCAUACCAGGGAAUAACGCCCUUGCCUCGUGUUCUUCCCGGGUGUUCAGGAUGUCCCAGGGUGCGCGUAAGCUGGUCGUUCUCUCUGUUGGGCGUGAACACCCCUUUCGAGCAUCUUCUAUUGCGUCAAGUAACUUUUGCUCUGCUCCGUUUAGACUUGCCUUCUUCGAAACCAGGCCUGUCUUCGGGUCCAACGCCCCCCAUGCGCAUAGAACCAAGUUCUGCACCUGGGGGGCCAGCUCCUAGUAACCGGAGUGACCCCUGCAUCCUCCAUCUCUUGCUCAGACUUAUCCCACUCACUACAGGAAACAGCUAUUUUGCCGUCUGCCACGGCGGACGGCAAAAGGCUCCGGCAAAGUAGGCUACGGUAAACAGCUGCUAUGCCGUCCGCUUCCUGGCGGCGGACGGCAAAGGCUCUUUGCCGUCUGCCGCGGACGGCAAAGAGAGCGGACGGCAAUAACUGCGCUGUCAGUCCGUUAAGUGGCUAACGACAGCCCUUUGCCGUCCGCCGCUGACGGCAAAAUUUCUAUGGUCUUUGCCGUCCGCCGUAUGAUGUCAUCUACACGUCACAAGGAGGGCGGGCCCUAAUUAGAUUAAUACAUUAAUCCCGGCGCGGUACGGCGUGCGAAGCCAUUAACGCCGGCGCAGUGAGACGUCCCGUCGGCGGCGGCGGUCCGCGGGCGGCGCCGAUUCACACGCCACCGCCCGACGCCCGCCUGCGCACGCCACUGCUUGACCGCCCGCGCACGCCGACGCCUGGCCUCCUGCGCCCUUGACAGCUCGGCAUUACUCGCCGGCGCCGAUUCGCACGCCGCCGCCUGGCCUUCUGCGACCUUGACCGCUCGGCUGGCCCGGCAUUGAUCACCGGCACCAACCCCGCCCACCACGCCUAUAAAAAGCGCCUCGCCCCGCCGUGGCUCUCGCACCGCCCCUCGCCUUCCCUCUCCUUCUCCCCCUGCCGCCGGCAUCGCCCCUCUUGCGUCCUACCUCUCCCUCUCGCCGGCGAUGGCCCGCUCCACCUUGACCCUCGAGGAGGCGGAGGAGCUCGCCCACUUCGUCAUCCCCGCCGCUCCCGACGUGCGCCUCCCGGCGAGGUGGCGCCUGAGCGUCGACGGCGUGCCGGUGGCGCCGGUGCCUGAGGUCGGCACCCACCUCUUCGCCCGCGCCGUCGGCCUGUACAGGGCGCGCCUCUCGCCGUAGGAACUCGCCGACCCCCAGUACGCCCCCAACAACCCCGGCUGGGCGGACCGCCUCGCCGACGACCACCUGCGCCGCCUCCACGCGUACGCCGGCCCGCGCCCGCCGACGAAACACAACCGCGCGCGGCGGCAUCAGCUCUGGGACGGGCGCACCUUCGAGGAGGUCGUCGCGCCGUUCCGCGUGCAGGCGGUCGGCGGCGCCGUGCCCGCUCCGCCGGGGUACGGCUACGCGCUGUUCCUCCGCGGCGAGGCUCGGUCCACCAGCGAAACCNNNNNNNNNNNNNNNNNNNNNNNNNNNNNNNNNNNNNNNNNNNNNNNNNNNNNNNNNNNNNNNNNNNNNNNNNNNNNNNNNNNNNNNNNNNNNNNNNNNNNNNNNNNNNNNNNNNNNNNNNNNNNNNNNNNNNNNNNNNNNNNNNNNNNNNNNNNNNNNNNNNNNNNNNNNNNNNNNNNNNNNNNNNNNNNNNNNNNNNNNNNNNNNNNNNNNNNNNNNNNNNNNNNNNNNNNNNNNNNNNNNNNNNNNNNNNNNNNNNNNNNNNNNNNNNNNNNNNNNNNNNNNNNNNNNNNNNNNNNNNNNNNNNNNNNNNNNNNNNNNNNNNNNNNNNNNNNNNNNNNNNNNNNNNNNNNNNNNNNNNNNNNNNNNNNNNNNNNNNNNNNNNNNNNNNNNNNNNNNNNNNNNNNNNNNNNNNNNNNNNNNNNNNNNNNNNNNNNNNNNNNNNNNNNNNCUGGCCCCUCGACGGUGACCGCGGCGCUGACCGCCUCGGCAGCGGCGACCGUCGCACACGUGCGCGGGACGGCGCCGGGUCGUCCAGCUGCGCCCCUCCGCCAGAGCCGGCGCCGGAACCUGAGCCGGCAUUGCUGGCCGAGUACAGGCGGCUGGCGGCGGAGGCCGGCGACCCGGAGGACAUGCCGGGCUACCUGGCGGCGAUCCGGGAGCCGGAGAACGCGCCGAUGCCGCCACCCCUCAUGCAGGAGUACAUGCAGCUCGCCCCGGUCGCCGUCCACCCAGCGGACCCGCCGGACUUCCCCGGCUACCACGCCGCUGUGGCCGACUCGAUGGCUGCGCCGGUGGUGGACCUGGACGAUAGCAGCAGCGACAACGGCGACGACAGCGACGGGCUCUACGACGAGAUGGACUUUGGCGGCGUCGAGGACGAGUAGUUUAGUUUAGGUUAUUUUCGAAAUAACGUUUAGUAAUGUUUAAUUAUUUUCCUAAUGUUGUUUAGUUUAGUCAAGUUUAAUUUCUAGUAUUAUGUAAAAUAUUUAUGAAAACUAUGAUGAAAUAUCGAGUGUGUUUGCGUGGUUUUAAAUUAUUGUUUGCAAAUUGAAUUUUCGAAUUAAUACUAUUAUGUUGCUUCACGUCUGGUCAGUGUUUUAGGAUUUUUGACCGAAAAAUUUAUAGAAAAUUCUAAAAGUGGCAAAAAGCCACCAAAAAAAGAGGAAACUUGUCAUGCAUCCGGUCUAGGGGUCGGGGUGUCGGGUCGGGGUGCCGGGUCGGGGUUCCGGGUCGGGGUGCCGUCUCGNNNNNNNNNNNNNNNNNNNNNNNNNNNNNNNNNNNNNNNNNNNNNNNNNNNNNNNNNNNNNNNNNNNNNNNNNNNNNNNNNNNNNNNNNNNNNNNNNNNNNNNNNNNNNNNNNNNNNNNNNNNNNNNNNNNNNNNNNNNNNNNNNNNNNNNNNNNNNNNNNNNNNNNNNNNNNNNNNNNNNNNNNNNNNNNNNNNNNNNNNNNNNNNNNNNNNNNNNNNNNNNNNNNNNNNNNNNNNNNNNNNNNNNNNNNNNNNNNNNNNNNNNNNNNNNNNNNNNNNNNNNNNNNNNNNNNNNNNNNNNNNNNNNNNNNNNNNNNNNNNNNNNNNNNNNNNNNNNNNNNNNNNNNNNNNNNNNNNNNNNNNNNNNNNNNNNNNNNNNNNNNNNNNNNNNNNNNNNNNNNNNNNNNNNNNNNNNNNNNNNNNNNNNNNNNNNNNNNNNNNNNNNNNNNNNNNNNNNNNNNNNNNNNNNNNNNNNNNNNNNNNNNNNNNNNNNNNNNNNNNNNNNNNNNNNNNNNNNNNNNNNNNNNNNNNNNNNNNNNNNNNNNNNNNNNNNNNNNNNNNNNNNNNNNNNNNNNNNNNNNNNNNNNNNNNNNNNNNNNNNNNNNNNNNNNNNNNNNNNNNNNNNNNNNNNNNNNNCGACGGGGCGGUGGGGGCGACGGGGCCCCGGGGCGGCGGCGGCGACGGGGUGGGAGGAGAGAAACGGCGAGGGAGAGAAGAAGUGAGUAACGGGCGGGGGGUACGGGCCGUUAAGUAGCGAGCUCUUUGCCGUCCCCCCUCUUUGCCGUCCGCUUUUUUGCCUCUUUGCCGUCUGCUAGCGGACGGCAAAGAGGUGGCCCGUUAAGUUUUUCCCAAACGGGCGGGGGGUGGGGGCCACCUCACUCUUUGCCGUCCGCCAGCGGACGGCAAAGAUUCUUUGCCGUCUGCUAGCGGACGGCAAAGAGCUGGCAGAUGGCAAAGAGCUUCUUUGCCGUCUGCCCUUUCUUUGCCGUCUGCUUUUGGGUAGCUGAUGGCAAAGAGCUUCUUUGUCGUGAGCUAGCAGACGGCAAACAGCUGGCAGAUGGCAAAUUAGCUGAUUCCAGUAGUGACUUAGGCAUUGCCACCGCGUAGCCACCUGGACCCAGCCUAUGGAACUGCGUCUUUUUUGCGGCAUUGGCCUUGUUUUUUCUCGACCGUUCCUUAGAUAAUUCCGAUUCCUUGAAUUUCACUAAAGCGGGCCAGCGUUCUCUUUGCUUCUCCAGUGUUCCCUUGAAUUCUGGAGUCUUCCUUUCUGCAGCGAGGUAGUUGGCCCAUACAGUUUUCUUGUGGGUGUUGAAUGCAAUUGCCAUCUUCUUAAGAGCAGCGUCCUUGACUUUCUGCACAUCUGCAUCAGUGAAAUAAUCUGGUAGGGUGAAAUGUUCCAUCAAAGAUUCCCAAAGCUUUUGUUUUGCUCUGUCGUCGACCCAAGUAACAUCUGGGCGUUUAGUUUUUGGCUCUUUCCAUUCUUGAAUGGAGAUCAGGAGUUGGUCCUUCACAAGAACUCCGCACUGACGAACGAAAUUGCUCGCAAUGUUCUUAGGCGUGAGGGGUUCGCCACUAGCUUUGAUGGAAUCGAUGUUGUACUUUACACCCUCCUUCAACUUUUUGCUCCGGCCGCGCUUUGUCCUGCUGUCUGUAGAAGCAGAUUUGCUCGAUCUGGAGGGCUGAAAGAAGAAAGAUCGAUUCGUUAAUAUAUCUUCAAAUAAAAAAACAUGUGAUGAUCACUAGAUGCCUGCUUAUAUAAAUAUACCUCGCCGGUAGUCUUUGUUAUUUCAAGAUCAACAUUGUAUUCGUCAUCAUAAUCAUUGUCUACGUCAUCAUAAUCAUAAUCAUAGUUCAUGACUUCAUCAGCUCGGUCGUCGAGAUCGAAUAUCUUAUCAUUACCCUCCCCGGUAUUGUUCAGAUAUUGGGAGCCGUCAUUUGCUUCAUUCAGAUCAUCUGGCCUGCUAGGGCUGCGUAUGAUCUCGAACAGGGCCUCUUCUCCCUCUCUGUCGGUAUUGUCCGCCAUAGCUUUUAUUUAACUAAUACAGAAGAAAUAUAAAACAAUUAAGUAUUCAAAUUACAAUGCAUGGAUGCAAUCAAUAAGGAAAAACUGAAUCAUAUAGUACAUAAUAUGCAUCGUCUCGAAUAAUAUAUAAUCUCGAAUACAUCGUCUCGAAUAAUAUAUAAUCUCGAAUACAUCACUAGCUAGGUAGCUAAUAAAGAUCGAAUACUAUAGAAGAAUCUAGGCCACUCGCGGUUCUUGGGGCGCGGGUGUCCACAGGAUCAUAUCUCCGGUCAUCUGCCCAAAGAACCUGCCAGGUAUUGGAGAACCUGACGUCCAUAGCAGCCAUGUAGCGAUGGAUGUGCUCGUCCUCCUCCCUGACACGACGACGCACCACCUCUGGCGGGGCCGGCUCCCUCUGCACCGAAUGUGGCCCACGCGAACGCCACCAAAGGAGAUCAGGAUCGACGACGGUACCCGAGGCCGGGUUCCUCACCAAGCGGCGCGCCCCUCCAGGUAGCACCUCCCAGUGCCAGCCCGGCGGAGCCCAAUCCCGGACAUGGGUCAGCCGGACGUCGUCGCGAAGGGGUCGACGGCGAGGAUGCGGGCCGGGCAUCGUCGAGAACAAAUACUAUAUGCCCGCAAAAAGUAACAUUUUUUAAAUGAUUGGAUUGUGAUAACUAAAAUUCUAUGUGCAAAUUCUAACAAUUUCACAUUAAUCUAAUUCAUCUAACUAAAACUAAUUCUAAAAUUUCUNNNNNNNNNNNNNNNNNNNNNNNNNNNNNNNNNNNNNNNNNNNNNNNNNNNNNNNNNNNNNNNNNNNNNNNNNNNNNNNNNNNNNNNNNNNNNNNNNNNNNNNNNNNNNNNNNNNNNNNNNNNNNNNNNNNNNNNNNNNNNNNNNNNNNNNNNNNNNNNNNNNNNNNNNNNNNNNNNNNNNNNNNNNNNNNNNNNNNNNNNNNNNNNNNNNNNNNNNNNNNNNNNNNNNNNNNNNNNNNNNNNNNNNNNNNNNNNNNNNNNNNNNNNNNNNNNNNNNNNNNNNNNNNNNNNNNNNNNNNNNNNNNNNNNNNNNNNNNNNNNNNNNNNNNNNNNNNNNNNNNNNNNNNNNNNNNNNNNNNNNNNNNNNNNNNNNNNNNNNNNNNNNNNNNNNNNNNNNNNNNNNNNNNNNNNNNNNNNNNNNNNNNNNNNNNNNNNNNNNNNNNNNNNNNNNNNNNNNNNNNNNNNNNNNNNNNNNNNNNNNNNNNNNNNNNNNNNNNNNNNNNNNNNNNNNNNNNNNNNNNNNNNGCGGCGAUGACGCGGAUGGCGACGAUGGGGAUGGGGACGGGGCGGCAACGACGGGGUCGGGGACGGCCGGGGCGGCGACGAUGGGGACGGGGCGGCGACGACGGGGACGGGGCGGCGACGGGGGCUUCGACGAGGGGUAGCGACGGGGGCGUCAACGGAGGCGGCGGGCGACGGGGCAGAGGAGAAGAAGCAGAUGAAAACCGACGAAAUUUCGAAGUGCUGCUUAUAUAGGAUGGGCCUUUAGUACCGGUUGGAGCCACCAACCGGUACUAAAGGUCAAAUUUGGCCAGCCCAAGCGGCGGGAAGCGCACCCCUUUAGUACCGAGUGGUGGCACCAACCGGUACUAAAGACCCCCCAUUAGUACCGGUUGGAGCCACCACCCGGUACUAAAGGGUGUGCGCUGCCAGGCGAGGGGCGCAGAAGUUUAGUCCCACCUUGCUAGUUGAGGAGCGCCAGUACCAGUUUAUAAGCCCCGACGCGGGCACUGCAUUGAGCUCCUCUCAAUAGUAGGCCUUCUGUGCCUACCUCUCCUACUCUGCCUAUGGGCCUACUGGGUUGCGGGCCUGCAUCCUGGCCCAACUACAGGUUGGGUUUCUAGUCGUAUGCAGGCCGCUCUGGCCCAGUAGGUGGGCUUUUUUAUUUUCUUAAUUUGUUUGCUUUAUUUAUUUUUGGUUUAUUUAUUUUUGAGUUGUUUUUUGCUGUAUUUAGAGUUUCUUUGGGAAUAUUUUUGCUUUAGGUAAAAAAAAUUACAAAGUUUCUGUUAGUGCCGGUAGUUUACAAAUUUGAAUAGUUUACAUUUUGAAUUAUUUGAAAUUUGUGUGAAUCACUAGUUUGUGAAUAACUUAACUUUGAAAAUAGAUUUUCAGUGAUUCUUUUGUCUUAUGUUUAAUAUUAGUGUGUUUUAUCAAUAUAUUCAAUUUGGUAAUGCUUAGGUUAUUUAAAAAAUGAAAUCCCUUUGUAACGGAUGAGUUUUCGUCCGAAACCCUGAUACUUCGAAAGAGAUUGUCCAUUUUAUACACUAAGUGCAUCCAGUUUUUGCGGUAACCCUCUCUAAUUUUUUGCACAUGCUAUGUGGGUGAAAUUAUGAUACCAAUGCAACUUUCAACCUUUUCUGAGUUCAUUUGAAAUGCUUUUCAAUUUCAGGGUCAUUUAGCUGAAAAAAAAUCAGUAAAUGCAUGAAAGAAUUUGUUUGCACAUAAAAUUUCUUCGCGUUUCAAAUGCCAAAACACAUAACUACCCUAAAUAUUACAGAGAUUCCCUCCUGGGUGUGAAACACAGAAGAAAUUGAUGAUGGUGAAGCCGAUCACAUCCCAGAUCUUUGGGUGUGAAACUUUUUCUUCGCGUAUGUCCCUUUGCGCCGUAGCCAUGGAAAAUUUUCAUCAUUUAACUGGAUGCUCGGGUCAAUAUUCACUGUGAAUGGAGCAAUUUCAUCAAACUUUUCAUAAUCUUCUGACAUGUCUGUCUUGUUAUCCACUCCCACGAUGUUUCUCUUCCCAGAAAGAACUAUGUGGCGCUUUGGCUCAUCAUAUGAUGCAUUCGCUUCCUUAUCUUUUCUUUUUCUCGGCUUGGUAGACAUAUCCUUCACAUAGAAAACCUGUGCCACAUCAUUAGCUAGGACGAAUGGUUCGUCUGCAUACGCAAGAUUGUUGAGAUCCACUGUUGUCAUUCCAUACUGCGGGUCUUCCGUUACCCCAUAUCGUGUCAUAUUGACUCAUUUCCACCGAAACAAAGGGACCUUAAAAUCACGUCCAUAGUCAAGUUCCCAUAUCUCCUCUAUGUAACCAUAAUAUGUUUCCUUUCCUGUCUUGGUUGUUGCAUCAAAGCGGACACCACUGUUUUGGUUGGUGCUCUCCUUAUCUUGGGCGAUCGUGUAAAAUGUAUUACCAUUUAUCUCGUACCCUUUGAAAGUCAUUAUAUUCGUAGAUGGUAACUGGGACAGCGAGUACAGGUCAUCUUCAAUAGAGGCGUCAUGCAUGGUACGUGUCUGCAACCAGCCGGCGAAACUCCUGGUUUGUUCACGUGUAAUCCAGUCAUCAGACCGCUCCGGGUGUCUGGAGCGUAGAAAAUUCUUGUGUUCGUCCAUAUACGGAGCCACCAAGGCGGAAUUCUGUAUAACUGUGUAGUGUGCUUCAGUGAGAGAAUGUCCGUCCAUGCAUAUUUUUUGAUUCCCUCCUAGCAUGCCUUUUCCAUCCAGUCUGCCCUUAUGCCGCGAUUCAGGAACACCAAUCGGCUUAAGGUCAGGAACAAAGUAAAUACGAAACUCAAUGACCUCCUCAUUUUCAUGGCCCUUGGAGAUGCUUCCUUCUGGCCUAGCAUGGUUAUGAACAUAUUUCUUUAAGACUCCCAUGAACCUCUCAAAGGGGAACAUAUUGUGUAGAAAUACAGGACCCAAAAUGCUAAUCUCUUCGCAUAGGUGAACUAGGACGUGCGUCAUGAUGUUGAAGAAGGAUGGUGGGAACACCAACUCGAAACUGACAAGACAAUGCACCAAAUCAUUCUCUAACCUUGGUAUGAUUUCUGGAUCGAUUACCUUCUAAGAGAUUGCAUUGAGGAAUGCACAUAGCUUCACAAUGGCUAAUCGAACAUUAUCCGGUAGAAGCCCCCUCAAUGCAACCGGAAGCAGUUGCGUCAUAAUCACGUGGCAGUAAUGAGACUUUAGGUUCUGGAACUUUUUCUCUGCCAUGUUUAUUAUUCCCUUUAUAUUCGACGAGAAGCCAGACGGUACCUUAAUACUGAGCAGGCAUUCAAAGAAGAUUUCCUUCUCUUCUUUGGUAAGAGCGUAGCUGGCAUGACCCUGAUGUGUGCCGUCUUUUCCAUGCAUAUGUUGCUGGUCCUCCCGUGCCUCAGGUGUAUCUUUUGUCUUCCCAUACACGCCCAAGAAGCCAAGCAGGGUCACGCAAAGAUUCUUCGUCACGUGCAUCACGUCGAUUGCAGAGCGGACCGCCAGAUCUUUCCAAUAGGGCAGAUCCCAAAAUAUAGAUUUCUUCUUCCACAUGGGUGCGCGUCCGUCAGCGUCAUUCGGAACAGGUUGUUCGCCAGGACCCUUUCCAAAGACUACCUUCAAAUCCUUGACCAUAUCAUGUACAUCAGCACCAGUACGGUGGCGAGGCUUCGUCCGGUGAUCCGCCUCACCUUUGAAAUGCUUGCCUUUCUUUCUUACGGGAUGCCUGCUCGGAAGAAAUUGACGAUGUCCCAGGUACACAUUCUUCCUACAAUUUUCCAAAUAUAUACUGUCGGUAUCAUCCAAACAGUGCGUGCAUGCGCGGUAUCCCUUGUUUGUCUGUCCUGAAAGGUUACUGAGAGCAGGCCAAUCAUUGAUAGUCACGAACAGCAAGGCCUUUAGGUCAAAUUCUUCCCCCAUGUGCUCAUCCCACGCACGUACACCUGUUUCAUUCCACAGCUGUAAGAGUUCUUCAACUAAUGGCCUUAGGUACACAUCAAUGUCGUUGCCGGGUUGCUUAGGGCCUUGGAUGAGCACUGGCAUCAUAAUGAACUUCCACUUCAUGCACAACCAAGGAGGAAGGUUAUACAAAUAUAGAGUCACAGGCCAGGUGCUAUGGUUGCUGCUCUGCUCCCCAAAAGGAUUAAUGCCAUCUGCGCUUAGACCAAACCAUACGUUCCUUGCGUCAUCUGCAAACUCCUUCCCGUACUUUCUCUCAAUUUUUCUCCACUUCGACCCGUCAGCGGGUACUCUCAACUUUCCAUCUUUCUUACGGUCUUCUCUGUGCCAUCGCAUCGCCUUGGCAUGCUCUUUGUUUUGGAACAAAGGUUUCAACCGUGGUAUUAUAGGAGCAUACCACAUCACCUUGGCAGGAAUCUUCUUCCUGGGGCGCUCGCCCUCGACAUCACCAGGGUCAUCGCGCCUGAUCUUAUAGCGCAAUGCACCGCAUACCGGGCAAGCGUUCGAAUCCUCGUACUCACCGCGGUAGAGGAUGCAGUCAUUAGGGCAUGCAUGUAUCUGCUACACCUCUAACCCUAGAGGGCAGACAGCCUUCUUUGCUUCGUACGUACUCUCGGGCAAUUCGUUGUCCUUUGGAAGCAUAUUCUUUAUCAUUACCAACAACUUUCCAAAUCCCUUGUCAGAUACACCAUUCUCUGCCUUCCAUUGCAGCAAUUCCAGUGUGGUGCCCAACUUUUUCUUGUCAGCUUCGCAAUUCGGGUACAACAAUUUCUUGUGAUCCUCUAACAUGCGCUGCAACUUCUUCUCCAAAUCACUUGCGCAGUUUCUCUUUGCAUCGGCAAUGGCCCGACCUAGAUCAUCAGCAGGCUCAUCUGAUGCCUCUUCUUCAGCUUCUUCCCGCAUUGCCGGCUCAGCUUCUUCCGCCAUUGUUGUAUCAUCGUAUUCAGGGAACCCAUGGCUAGGAUAGUUGUCGUCCUCUUCUUCUUCAUUGUCUUCCAUCAUAACCCCUCUUUCUCCGUGCUUGGUCCAAACAUUAUAGUGGGGCAUGAAACCGGACUUAAACAGGUGGACGUGAAUGGUUCUUGACGUAGAGUAAUUGUGAUCAUUCUUACAGACUAAACAUGGACAAGGCAUAAAACAAUCCGCCCGCUUGUUUGCCUCAGCCGCAAGCAGAAAAGUUUGCACGCCAUUACUGAACUCGGGAGAGCAUCGGUCAUCGUACAUCCAUUGUCAACUCAUCUUCAUUACACAACACCGAAUAGACCAAAUUAAUACAAGUUCAUACAUAAAGUUCAUACAAGACUUAAAUGCAACAAACAAAUAACUCUCUAACUAAAGAAUUUAAAUGCAACAACAAAUGCGAUCAAGAUCGCAACUAAGGUAACAAUUGAUCCAACAGCAUAAUGAUACCAAGCCUCACUAUCAAUGGAAUAUUUUCUAAUCUUUCUAAUCUUCAAGCGCAUUUUCUCCAUCUUGAUCUUGUGAUCAUCGACGACAUCGGCAACAUGCAACUCCAAUUCCAUCUUCUCCCCCUCAAUUCUUUUCAAUUUUUCUUUCAAAUACUCGUUUUCUCUUUCAACUAAAUUUAACCUCUCGACAAUAGGGUCGGUUGGAAUUUCCGGUUCACAAACCACCUAGACAAAAAUAUCUAUUUGAACUUGAUGGGCAUAAUUUGUCAUAAACACGAAAUGCAACAACUAGUUUUAAAAGAGAAUAUACCACAUCUGAAUCAUAACAAGGACGAGGGCCGACGGGGACGGAUAUCAAAACCAUGGCACUAUGUAUAACAAACAACGUACGGGUAAGAUAAUUAUACGAGUAACUAUAUAUCCAAAUCACACAAACAUCAAUUUGGUAAUGUAAAACAUUCAUGAACAAGAGGCUCACCACAAGGUGGUGCCGGCGACGGAACGGUGCGGGCGAUCGACUAUGGUUACGACGGAGAUUUAGAAGGCACUAAGUAAACCACACCUACAUAUGCAAACUAAGUGUUAGUUUUGACCACAAAUUGCAUAUAAAUCAAAUACUAGCACAUAUAUUUUCUACCAAAUUACAAAACUCAUAAAUUAAUCACUAUACAAAGCAUUGCAAGAGCUAAUCUAGCAAUGAGAGAUGAAAGGACAAAGUUGCUAACCUUUGUGAUCAUUUGAAUGGAUGGGGGCCUUCAAAUCUUGACAAAAUUUGGGCAAAAUGUGUGAUGAGCUCGAGAGGAAGAGGGGAAGAACAGAGAGGAGAGGGGAAAGGGGAAGAACAGAGAGAGCUCGGGUGGACGAAGGGCUUAUGUACGACGACCUUUAGCACCGGUUCGUGCCACGAACCGGUACUAAAGGUGCUGGAGGGGCCCCGGACUGACAACAUCCUGCCACCACUCACUUUAGUACCGGUCCGUGGCACGAACCGGUGCUAAAGGUCGGCCACGAACCGGUACUAAUGAAAGCGGCUGGCUAGCCAUUGGAACCGGCACUAAUGCACACCGGCACUAAUGUGCUUGAUAUUUGACCCUUUUUCUACUAGUGACGGAGGGGAUCUUGCUGUGGGUCUGGCCCGGAUGUUGCUCCAAAUUGUUCCUAUGGGCUGACCUAACACAACGGGGUGGAGAGGUCCACUGGUCAAAGCCCGUCCGUCCAAAGUCAAAGGGCUAGAUCCCGUGGUCAAACGCUACAGGGUUAGGCGGGACGGGGGCCCUGGGGGGUAGCAAUGCCACCGGAGCGUCGCACCGGGCCUUCAUACAUGUCGUACGGUGUGGUGGCAUGUCCAAAGAGGUGGCACGUGUCCCCAGGGUGUGCCCCCCCUCACGGACGGCGAUGACACGGUAGUAGACAUUUUUCGGUAACGAUGCGGCGUGAAUAUUAUUAAAUACUCGGAGCGCGAUAAAAUCAUGAGUUUUUUACACGACGUUGGCAAAUGUGCUACAGGACUUAUGGUAAUUUUUCAUAAUUUUUGGUGAUGGAGAAGUAUCUGAACACUUCCCUCUACGCGGAUUGCUGUUCGCGUGUCUACGACUGUGGCCGGCGGCCUCCUGGGGCUAGCAUGGCGCCAAAUCUUGCGUAGGCGGCCUCUCACAAGUCUGGAAGUGUUGUGGCGGUUGCAAACGCCCGGCACGCGUCUCCGGGGUGUGCCCCCAACACGGACGGCGCCGCCGCCGGCACCUGGAGGGGGGAAACGGGCGCGUCGGGACUACACGGAGGGGAUCUUGCUGUGGCUAUGGCCCGGAUGUUGCUCCAAAGUGUUCCUAUGGGCUGACCUAACACAACCGGGUGGAGAGCUCCACUGGUCAAAGCCCGUCUGUGCAAAGUCAAAGGGCUAGAUCUCGUGGUCAAACGCUACAGGGUUAGGCGGGACGGGGGCCUUGUGGGGGUAGCAAUGCCACUGGAGCGUCGCACCGGGCCCUCAUACAUGCNNNNNNNNNNNNNNNNNNNNNNNNNNNNNNNNNNNNNNNNNNNNNNNNNNNNNNNNNNNNNNNNNNNNNNNNNNNNNNNNNNNNNNNNNNNNNNNNNNNNNNNNNNNNNNNNNNNNNNNNNNNNNNNNNNNNNNNNNNNNNNNNNNNNNNNNNNNNNNNNNNNNNNNNNNNNNNNNNNNNNNNNNNNNNNNNNNNNNNNNNNNNNNNNNNNNNNNNNNNNNNNNNNNNNNNNNNNNNNNNNNNNNNNNNNNNNNNNNNNNNNNNNNNNNNNNNNNNNNNNNNNCGGCACCUGGAGGGGGGAAACGGACGCGUCGGGUCUACACAGAGGGGAUCUUGCUGUGGGUCUGGCGUGGAUAUUGCUCCAAAGUGUUCCUAUGGGCUGACCUAACACAACCGGGUGGAGAGGUCCACUGGUCAAAGCCCGUCCCUGUAAAGUCAAAGGGCUAGAUCUCGUGGUCAAACGCUACAGGGUUAGGCGGGACAGGGGCCCUGUGGGGGUAGCAAUGCCACCGGAGCGUCGCACCGGGCCCUCAUACACGCGGGGUGGUGUGGUGCCAUGUCCGAGGAGGCGGCGCGCGUCUCCGGGGUGUGGCCCCCUCCAAGUGACGGCGGCACUGCCUUGCGUGGAGGGGGGGCACACCGCGGAGCCCCAAGACGGGCGUCUACGCAUGCCUGAACACUUUCACAUAUGCAUCGGGACCCGUGCGACAUUUCGGUGACAUAGCUACACCCCGAAUCCCCCACUAGCCAUAUUCCCUCCGUGUCGACCGUUUGCCCCCUCCGUGAUACGGCGAUAGCGACGUUCGUAACGGGGGGCAAUUGAUAUACCAUCGGGGUAUGUUUUUUUUAGAUAAGGCAUAUUUAUAUUAUGGAAAAACAAAAAAUAAUAUAAAGUAAAAACAAAAAAAUUAAAAUAUAAUAAAUGCAUGCCGACGGCAAGGCCGUCGGCAUAGCUGCGCACACGGGGGUACAGUCCCACGGAUCGAUGACGUGGCAUCGCACGCGGAUCGAUGACGUGGCAGAGGGGCAUGGGCCAGGUCAAUGCCGUAGGCAUAUCUCUGCGACACAACGGGCUCCCCACUCCCUCGGAUCGAUGACGUGUUGACGACGCAGAUCGGUGAUGUCAGCAACACGGCAUAGAUAUGCCGACGACCGCCGUUACCUCCCGUCGGUGUAGUUUCAACGCCGUCAAACGGUCACCGCUGACCGGGUGGGUGGGCCCGGGCUAUGCCGACGGGCCCCGUAGGCGUAUCUCGAGUGGUCCCGGCGGCCUCAUCUAUGCCGACGGCCCCGUCGGUAUAGAUAGACGUAUGCCGACGGCUUUUCUACGCCUACGGCCUGUCCACGGCCGUCGGGAUAGGUCUAUCUAUGCCGACGGGGGCCGUCGGCAUAGAAGAGGCCGUCGGCGUAAGCUGAUUUUCUGGUAGUGUAUCAUAGAAGCUUGUGUUUCGCAUAUCCAAAUAGGAUUUUGGCAGGUGUCAGGACAUGUCAUUUACUAUUUUAGGAAUGUAGCGACCCUAACAUAUAGGCUUGUCCGUUGGUUUGGACGCUUAGCGUUGUGCGCUCUUAGCAGCCAUAUAUAUUGAAGACCUGGUAUUGCGGUGUCGAUGUGCCUUGUGGCUGUAUGCACCGAGCUAUACGUGGAAGGAAGAAAAUCGCUGUGUACAUCGCCAGACUCCAAAAUUCUGUCAAAAAUGAAAAUCAUAAUGUCAGUAUAAUGCUGAUACUGCACAACCAUGGAAACCUACAAGUUGUGAAAAAUAUCUUUAGAAAAAACUAAGCAAAUCAUCAUGUUGCCAGUGCUUCAUGGUUCGGUAAAGAGGCAAAAAAGCUGCCUGAAGCGAAUUGUUCAUUCCAUAGAGAUGAGGAAAAUUGUCAAAGCGUGGUUGCAGCUUCAGAACUGCAUACUCUUGUAUAAUUUCCAUUUCUGCUCAAAUUUUGGGGGUGCAGUACACCAGUAGCAGUGUAGCAGAAGCAGAUCGGACUAUUUCAGAGGUUUCAAUCCCAGUUUCUAUUUCCGAAGCUGCCCAAGGUAUGUGCGUACUAGUAACAAACAGGCAGCAUUUGGUAGAUUCCUUUCUUCAUGUCGUCUGUCUAUUCUGCCAAAAACUGCAUGUAAUUAAGUAUACUAAUUAAUCGUUAAGAUUGGCCAAGCAUGAACAUAACAUGUUUUCCAUGUCGGCAGUGUCAAGAAAUUUUUAGCUGUUAGGUUAGAUCGAGUCAAUUUGCUGUUGUACAUUAAUCAUGAGUCCUGAAUGUGUAAUGCUACUGUUAAUUGUAUGUUGAAUGGUUUUUCUUUUAGUUAGGACUUGUUCAGUUGAACAAUUCAUGGUGUGUAUGCCAAUAAUUUCACACCAUGCAUGCAUAUCUUAUUCGAUAUCACUGACUGGAGGGGAUACUAGGUUGUGAAAUGGCAUUAGCCUUCCAAAAACUACUAUGCAUAGCACCUUACAUCGCUUGAUCUGUCUGGGGAAUUAGAGAAAAAAAAUGGUCUCCUGUGAUGGUAUUACAAUCACUUCACUCUGAAAUGAAUUAUUAGAACAGUACGUAUAGUAAUAAUCCUCACAGAUACAUACCAUGCUGGUCAUAUAUGCCAGAGGGGCCCUAGACGAAAUUAUUAUUUUGCCAUGUGGUGGAAUAUAUGGGGUAUAGGACCAAUGGUCCCUGAUCCCAUAGUUAGUUCUGUUGCUCUAGUCACAUUGAUGAUGCUUAUAGAGGAUAAAAAUCAGUGAUGUGUGGUUUGACAGAUGGUUUUUUUGGCCUACAAGAUGCUCAAUUCAAAUUUAGAAGUGGUUACAAAAUAAUCUGCUCCAUGCUGCAAUGGAAGAUCCUUUGGCCUACUGUGGAGCAAACCAGGCCUGAGGAGGCGCUGUCUAAGCUCAGUCUUCAUUUAUAAAACUUGCAAAACGAACAGGAUUUUGCUAGGCACGAGAAGAGAAUGAAGUGUUUGUUUGUAGUUGAAUUUCUGUUCUACAACGCGUGAAUAUUAGUUUUAAUAUGGUUUGUUUAGUUGGUAGGGGUUGCUCAUUACUGUUUGACAGGUACUGAAUGGUGGUAGAACCUGUAGCUACGAUCUUGUUUGCAUCGAACGCCAAUUAUUUUAAGAAGCAGGCGUUGUGCCUUCUAUGACAGCCCUGCUAGCUUAUAAUUUUCCGACCUCAUUUUGGUUCGUGAAAAUGCAACUUUAUAUAUCAAUUGUGUCCACCUGCCUUAUGAUGCUGUCUAGGUAUCAACUGAAUGAAUUCAAGUAGAUAUGUUACCUUUUGUCACAAACCUAAAAACUGAAGGUGCGACUGAAGCCACUGAAGCCACUGAAGCCUUGAAACCUCCCCUCCUCAAGAUCAAUUGCUUCUAAAACCACACCUCAAGUUCAACUGAAUAAAGAACUAGUUUCUGAGAUAGAGCUCUGGUGCCUCAAAGAUAGCAAUAGCAAAGAAUUGGUCCUGAAGCACACUGUCAGCAUUGAUAAGCUUAUGAGCACAACCGAGCUGGGGUACAGGGUGGCUGAGAUCCAUCCUGAUUGUGAUACCAUUUUUCUGGGUUCAUAUAGAGGUGGUACCUUGGCAGCGUAUGAUAUGCGACAUCAGAAAGUUGGAUGUAUCCUUAAUCUUGAGACAAACAUUACAAAAUGGCACCGAUUUCUACCAUAUGUUCCUCUUUUCUCAGAGUCAUUAGCAGAUGCAGAUGGGCAGUAGUGUUACCUUCAAACCACGCUUAUGCUUCCCCCAAGAAUUAGCUCUUCUGUCGGCUGUAACUAUUUGUGUGUGCUUCUGAAUCGUCUUGAAUUAUGCCGCUCAAUUUACUGGUGAUUAGACUCGUGCUUGCUUGAUUUUCAGUUGAGACCAAUGCCUCGUAAAUCUAGUGAUUAAGCUUCAUGUCAUUUGCAAAGAACACCAUUACUCCUUGAAAGAAAGAGGAUUGUGGAAGUGUAUGCUGUUUGGCAGGGACGCGUACAUGUUAUAUAGAGAUGUUAGAUUACAAGAUGAGGUGCGCAGGUUGUUACUAGGCUUGGCCUCUACUCCAAGCAAUGCAAAGAUAAGUCUAUCCUAGCUAACAACCUGCUGCGCCCAAGAUUACAUGUACGUAUACAAUACGUGACAACAUGUCACAAAAUACUAGCCUAUACAAUUUCUACAAGCUAUCAUUUAACACUCCUGUUCUUUUUUCCUAGCAUUGGCUGUUAUUCUGGAGUCUGGACAUGUGUUAGUUCCAUGUGACUAAAUUAUACUGUAAUGGUCUUCCUUUCCAUAACAAUCAGUUAUUAUGGUUAUCCUAAACNNNNNNNNNNNNNNNNNNNNNNNNNNNNNNNNNNNNNNNNNNNNNNNNNNNNNNNNNNNNNNNNNNNNNNNNNNNNNNNNNNNNNNNNNNNNNNNNNNNNNNNNNNNNNNNNNNNNNNNNNNNNNNNNNNNNNNNNNNNNNNNNNNNNNNNNNNNNNNNNNNNNNNNNNNNNNNNNNNNNNNNNNNNNNNNNNNNNNNNNNNNNNNNNNNNNNNNNNNNNNNNNNNNNNNNNNNNNNNNNNNNNNNNNNNNNNNNNNNNNNNNNNNNNNNNNNNNNNNNNNNNNNNNNNNNNNNNNNNNNNNNNNNNNNNNNNNNNNNNNNNNNNNNNNNNNNNNNNNNNNNNNNNNNNNNNNNNNNNNNNNNNNNNNNNNNNNNNNNNNNNNNNNNNNNNNNNNNNNNNNNNNNNNNNNNNNNNNNNNNNNNNNNNNNNNNNNNNNNNNNNNNNNNNNNNNNNNNNCAUUAGAUAUAGGAAUACCCACCCCGACGCCGUACGUCAGCGCGCGACGUCAUACGCCCACCCGCGUAUGCCGCACCCGUCGCUGUACGUACGCCCGCCCGCGUACCCGCACCCGUCGCCGUACGUCGCCGCCAUACGCCUGCACGUCUCCACGUUGGCGUCGAUAGUUAUUGGCAAAAAAACGACACGGUAGCCGCCGACGCCCGCCGUCGAAACCCUAAACCCUAGACGCAUCCACGCCGUCUCCACGUCGGCCCCCGUCUGCACGAACUCGCCGUCGCCCGGGUCGCCGCCCAAACAGGCCGCAGCGCGUGCCCCGGCGCUGUUGCCGCUGCCGCCGCGUUCCUUUCCCGUCGCCCAGAUGGCCGCCCACCCGUGAUCUUCGUCGCCGCCUCCCUCCGCGCACUCCGCUUGCUAUGACCGGCCAUCGUCCUCACGCCGUCGACACCUGCCUCGGCCGGCCAGCAACGUCACGCCGUUGUCGCGUUCAUCAUCGGACAAAAUGGAUCCGGGUGAAAUCCUCGCCGCCGUGCAAGAGGUUGGUUUGAGACGUCGUUGUGCUUGAUGAACAAAUUGUUUUAGGGAUGAUGUUACACGGUGUUUGAUUGAUCUUAGAAUUUUUUUUAAACAUGUAUAGUUAGAGGAGGAGGGCGAUUAUGAUGGCGAUGAUUACGGCGAGGACAAUGAAACCUCUUCACUGAAUAUGGAUGAACCUGCUGAGGAGAACUACAUGAGUUUGGAUGAAUCUUAUAGUGGCAAUGUAAGUGUGAUCAAUGUUGAUAAAAACAAUAAAUAUGAUAAACCGCACGGACAAUUACAUGCUUUUUUGCAUCAUGCAGCGACAUGGCGAUGAUGAUGAUCAUAUGGAUAUAGAUGAUUCAUUUGCUGAAAGUGCACUCUGGGUAUGUUUUUAAAAAAAGCAGAGAAGAAAUCACAUAAUAACCAUAUGAGCGCUUACAUGUAUUUUUUUGAAAUGUGCGCAGAUGGACGAGGAUGGGGACUUUGUGAGGAAUAUUGUGGACGAUGAAAGUGACAAAUCGCAUGUUGAUGCAUCUCAUGAUGAUAGCUCCAGCAAAGUAAGUUUUGAAACUUACAUACAUUAGAUACUAAAAUAAUAACUGACUGACAUAAAUGGUUUCAUGCAUUAAUUUACAGGGAGAUGUAGAUGGUACAAGCGGGAAGGAUGAGCAUGUUGGUGAUGAUCUGUUUAAUUUUGACAUCGGAUUUGAUGAAUAUCAGCAAGAAUCAUUGGACAUGCAUUGGAAGGUCAUGAGGAAGACGUUCAAGUCACUAGAAGAGGCUUACAAUUUCUAUAACCAGUAUGCUUACGAGCGUGGUUUCAGCGUAAGAAAGGACUCACUGAAAUAUUCAAAAGGUCCUGAGGGAACUAAGCGCUUGAGAAAGUAUCUGUGUGCGAGAGCUGGGAAACGACAGGCAAAACUUUGUACAAUGGAAGGCAGGACCCGCAGGCUGAGAGGGGAGACUCGUUGCUUCUGCGAUGCGCAUAUAACUUUGAAACUUGAUAAAGAGCGUGACGUUUGGUAUGUCAGCAGUUUCAGUGAUGAUCACAGUCACGUUCUAGCUAGACCGGAUGAAGUCACGUUUCUUCGGUCUCAUAAUCAGAUAAAAGAAUAUCAGAAAGCUGAGAUCUUAACUAUGGCAGGUGCUGGAAUCAGGAAACAUAUGAUUUAUGAUCAACUCGUCAGUAGGUACGGGUCAUAUGCAAAGGCUGGUUUUGGGAGGAAGAAGCUUUAUAACAUGUGUUACAGAGAAAAAAUGAAGUUGCUUGCACAAGGUGAUGCAGACACUGCCAUUGGGAUCAUGAUGACUAGAAGAGAGAGGGAUCCAGAUUUCUUCUUUGAGCACACCGUCGAUGAUGAAGGAAGGCUGAAAAACAUAUUCUGGUGUGAUUCUCAAUCACGUCGAGACUAUGUUGACUACGGUGAUGUGACCGUCUUCGACAGCACAUACAGGAUGAAUAGGUAUGGCAUGCCAUUUAUACCUUUUGUCGGCCUGAACAACCACCGUUGCACCACGAUAUUCGGUUGUGCUCUUGUGUCUGACGAGACGGAAGAUACAUAUGUCUGGCUGCUUCAGACGUUUUUGAGGGCUCACUGUCAGAAGAGGCCCAGGUCAGUAAUUACUGAUGGAGAUGGAGCUAUGAUUAAGGCCAUCAGAAAGGUACUUUUGGAGGUUUGGCAUCGUCUUUGCUCAUGGCAUAUUGAGAAGAACAUGCAUAAACACCUUCAUCAUAAGUCUCUAAAGGAGUUCAGGUCUCUACUUUAUUAUGCCACUUCAAAAAAAAGUAUUUGAGGAGAGAUGGGCAGCGUUUACCGCCAAAUGGCAGUCGGAGAAAACAAAGACAUGGUGACGUAAGAUGUACAAGAAGCAAAGGCUUUGGGCUGCAUCAUAUCUGUCUGGUGGGUUUUUCCUAGGUAUGCGAAGUAACCAGCGAAGUGAGAGUCUGAAUUCAUGCCUUCACUUGCAUCUAGACUCCGGUAUGACUAUUGUUUAUAUGAUUGUGCACUAUGAGAACUGCAUAGUUCGUCUCCGUGAGAACGAGGCGCAUGACGAUUACACAAACUCACAGAUAGUCCCAGUACCAGUAUUGGACAAGUGUAAAGAUAUUAAGAAAUCAGCUGCCCGUGAGUUCACUGCGGCAAACUUUUAUAUCUUACAGGAAGAUAUGAAGAAGGCAUGGGAUCUUGAGGUCCUUGAGAGACUGAGAGGAGCAGACACUCAUAGAUUCAUACUGACAUGGAAGGAAAAUAGGGAUAUCAGAUUCACUGUGGACUACACCCCAGGUAACUCCGAAGAAACCGUGAAGUGCAGUUGCAGAAGUAUGUAUCGCAAAGGACUUCCUUGCAAACAUAUUCUUAACAUUCUGACUCAGCUACGCUUACGUGAGAUACCUAAGUGUUUAGUACUGCGGAGGUUGAGCCAAGUUGCAAGGGGUGGACUUCCCGUGAAGCGCACUAGUGAUCUGUUUGCGUGGGGAUGGGCAGGUGCAGGGGACAGAGCUAGGUACAGCGAGUUGACUAUCUUAUCUGCCGAAGCAACUCAUAAAGCAUGCCAUAAACCAUUUUUAUUCAACAAGUUGAAGGCGGCUCUGAGGGACAUAAUAGAUAAUGAUUACACAGAGGAGGAUGAGCCUGGUGCGGAGGAAAAGUUUGUGAACGACGAUGCAUUUGAGCCUAAUCAAGAUCAUGGUCUUGUUCGUGAUCCCGCAAAUGUUAACACCAAAGGCGCACCAAAACAGAAUGUUAAAGGCCGCGGUAAAGAUGGUCCUGAUGUCACUAAAAAUGGGCGACCUAAAGCUUUUGAUGAGAAAAGCAAACGUCAAUGUGGACAGUGCGGUCUUAUGGGUCAUUAUAAGUCCACGUGCCCUCAAAAUCCUAAGUAUGAUUUUCGUAUGUUCUUGUAAAUCGUAUUUUUCAAACCAAAUUUAUUUGUUUAUUGUGAAUUAACACAUAUCUUACUGUUUUGGUAUGUAGGAACUUUGCUUGAAUUCUGGAGUAUGGAAGAUUUCUUCGCCCUUUGAUUGAAGAUAGCUUUUUGAUGGAUUGCUUCUAUCUAUGAGAUCUUUUUUAAUUGUUAAAUUAUGCUAUAUGAGACUUAUUGUACUUUGUUGAUGUCAGACUUUGUUCAUGUCAGACUAUUUGCUAAGAUAUCCACAUAAGUAUUUGUUUGAUGACAGACUAUGUAAUGCAAGAAGUUUACUCUGUUUAUUUUGAUGUGCUCAUUAUGCACUGUAGUGCCGUCACUGUUUACUCUUGGUUUUCUGCACUGUCGCCGUCGCUAUUUACUGUUGGUUUUCUGCACUGUCGCCGUCGCUUACAACCCCGUCGUUUUAGUUUUUUUUAAAGCCCGACAAGUGCGCCGGCGGCACUGUCCAACAGGGCAGCGUCGGACGGGGGCAGCAUAGCGAGUUAAUCAGAGGAGUUCGACUGCCUCUGUGCCGCCGGGUAUAUAAGCAGGUCGUCGCGCGCUCCGUCGGGCGAGGUGGGACUAAACAUUUCCCGUCGCCCCGCGUGGUACUUGGGCCGUCGUCGCGCGCUCCGUCGGGCUGUAAAGUGUUAUUGGGCUGGCCCACGCGGUCACGCGCGUCGCUGCCGACACGGGGGUGGCGAUGGGAAAUAUUUAGUCCCACCUCGCCCGACGGAGCGCGCGACGACCUGCUUAUAUACCCGGCGGCACAUAGUCAGUCGAACUCCUCUGAUUAAAUCGCUAUGCUACCGUCGUCCGACGCUGCCCUGUGGGACAGAGCCGUCGGUCCAGUCUGACGUCAGACUGGCUGGCGCACUUGUCGGGCUAUUUAAAAAAAAAUAAGAACGACGGUGUUAUAAGCGACGGCGACAGUGCAGAAAAACAACAGUAAACAACGACGGCACUACAGUGCAUAAUGAAUACAUGGGCAUUUAUUUAACAGUUACAACUAUAGGAAAACAUGGACUGUUAUAUUCAAACUAGUUGACGAUGGCAGAAGUAUGAGUAUGAAUAAUUCAAAUUUAAAGACGAUGGCAUGAAGACAAAAUAAUAAUCCAAAUGUCAUUCUUGACUUAAAUAUUCAAAAUAGUAGUGCCUUCUUCGUCACAAGAUAUCAGAGUCGAAAUAAAUGUAAACAUCAUUUGAGCCUACAAAAUUUUCUAGUACAUAAAUUUUGCUACAUUUAUUUCUUCUUUGCAAGCCGGGUAACUUUGUUCUUCACAUCGUUGAGCGUAUUUCUCUCCGAAAAAAUAAGCUGCGCAAUCAUUAAGUCCCUCGAUUUAUCAAUUGACCCCUGUUAGAACUUCAUAUUAGUACAAUCCAAAUAGUAUUACAUAAUGAAUUCAAUUGAAUAUAAGCAUUUGAAAUAAAACCAGACAUCGAAGAACAAAUAUUCCACAUGAAUUGCUGGUCCAUACAAACAACGGUUCAUAAGUUCGCAUUUCAGGUAAGAUAUUAAAAUAAUAUGAAAGUAUAUACUCACUCGUCUUCUUGUUGUGGCAUCUUAUACGUUUUGAUAGGCCACGUAGACACAUCCGGAUAAUUCACAGCACCGCUCGCACUCACAUCACGUAUGUCAUAUCUAAGUUGUUUUCUCUGUUCAUAUAAAUGAUAGCACGGAAAGGAUUUAACAUAGUUCAGUUACUAACUGAUAGUUUCAAUAUGCUCAUGUAAAUUUAUGCCGUACCAGCUCCUCAACUUUGUCUUUAGUUUCACUGUCAAGUUCGGGUCCCAUCAAAGAAUCAAGAACCUGGAACUCUUCCUUCGGGCGAUGCAUGACGUCCGAAACCCAGUGGGUAUUUCCCUUAUUAAGAGGAAUAUAAGUCUGCAUCACAACGAUAAUAUAAUAUAAUCAACACAUACUGUCUUAUUAUUUAUAUCCCAUAUAUGCAUACAUUAAGCCAGUCGAACUUACCUUAUCUUUUUUAAAAUACUCAUCGGUGCAUCUAUUCACGGGUCCAUUCUUCUUCGCCACAACUUCGUUGUCAUUUUUUCAUGGCUAGGUGUCCGGUCUAAAUUCAAGUAACCAAUUGACCAGCCAGGUCGGCAUUAUAUGACGAUCGUCACCAACAACUCCCAACAGAUACAACGAAUAAGCAUUGAUAACCUGAAAAUAAUGUAAAUGAACAAUUCCAAUUUGCGUUGAACGCUAAUAGAAAACACAACAAUAACUUACAUCACCGGUUAGCCAUUGAUGGUCAAGAAUCUUACAAGCCCUCUCUGCACUAAGACCUUCGUGCAUGCCAUCAUUGAAUAUUUCCUUCUUUCUAUGUUUUGCUGACUGCUCAUAAGCACGGACAAACUUAACACUAGCUUUAAUCACAUCGUAUUCAUCUUGAAAGACUUAUUUCUCGAAUAGUUCUGCAAUACAUAACGGUAAUAUGUUAAUAAAUCAAUGAUAAGUAGUAAGUUCAGCUCAAAAACAAUGUGAUAAAACUCACUUGCUUUUGCUGAACGUUUUGCACGCUUUGUCGGUAUAGCUUGCACAUAAGGAGCCUUCCGCUUCCGUUUCCCUACAACCUCCUCCGGUACCUCAUCUUCUCCAAUAGAAUCUACGGAUCCACGUGAUGUGAUUACAUCUGUUCCUAAAUAUGUAACGGAUUUCUCAUGAGAUACCUCAGGAACUUCGAUAGGAUCUUCUUUAUCACCCUUGAAACUAUCCCAAUAAUCAGGUGUGCAAUAAUAAGGUCUCUUCUCUUCAGAAACAUUAAGAUCAUCUUCAUCAUCCUCUUGCACAUUCUUUUUUCCUGGUGUUUUGAAAAUUGUCCAUAUCAGGAUUAUAUACAAAUUCUUUACGAGGUUUUCCACCAUAGUUUUUAGUUUCACUAUUUUCACCAUACUCAUUCUCUUCUUCUUUUUCAAUAUCACCGGCUUUGUAGAAUACGGCGCUUUUGUUCAAUUUCUCUAUUACCCUAUGUGAUUAAAAAUUAGUUGUAGUUACUUAUGUGACAAAUCAAAAAACAAAGUGAACGGCAAAAUGAGAAAACUUGUACAUGUGCGCAUAGCUCCGGCAUAUGAAGCAUGUCCUUACGAAUGUGCUUCAGCUCAGUCAAAAUCCGAUCCAUAAUAGGGUUCUGGGUAGUGGAAGCCUCAGAUGUACUUACACCUGUUCUCCUUCCUGUAAUGUUAGACUUUCUCGUACUGGAUUUCUUGUUUUUUUCAGCAUGUUCCACUCUAAUUUUGUUUAAUCGGUACUCUUCAGUAAUGGUGUCAUCGAUCUACAACAUAAAGAAUGAUACAUUCAUAUUUAAUUAAUAAUUAAUUGCAGACUUUAAAUGAAAAAAUAUAUAUUUAACGUAUUACCAUCCCAACACCAUGACCAUAUUGAAAGUCGUACUUGUCUCUUUUCUCCGCUGCCUCUUCUUUCCAAUUCCUCAUCAAGGGGCUCAACAGUGCUAAAGGAUCAUACUGCGGACCGGUGCUUGGCUACACCUUCUCCCAAUAUAGAUACUGCAAAACAAAAAAACAACCAUUUAGUAUGUGUUACACUAUUAUUACAUAAUACAAAUAUUCAAUUUAAUAAAUAAAUCAUACCUGCAGAAGUGCUAGGUUGCCACAUGGCCAUUCCCUAACACGGCCGGGCUGCAAGACCAUACCAAUCUCCGACAAACAAAACCGCAAAGUGAAUGCGUUCCAGUUGAACUUUUUUAUCAACCUGACAUCUUGCACUAGUGCAUAAUAAUUCUUCGGAAUGUACUCAUCAGACACUGGUGCAAUUAUAGUCCCUAACAGGACGAGAAACGCCAUCCGAACAAAUUCAUCGUCCGCAUUUUUAUUUCUCACAAUCUUCUCAAUAAGAUUAUCAAUCAAUAUUUUACCAUUCUUCUUGUUAACAAAACUAGCUGGAAUUUUUUUUAUUGCUUUGCCUUGGUCCAUAGUCAAAAAACUAGAACCAUCCACUCCUUCAUUCUUCAAAUCAAAUAUAGCGAACACAUCAUCAGGCCUUAGUGAAAUCAACCCUUUUUUCCGGCUGCCUCUUGGACCAUGAAUUUUUUACUACUAGGAUUGUAACCUUGAAUCAUAAGCGCAAGCAAAUUAUCACACAUCUUGACCGAAGGUAUUCGUAACAUGCCCUCCAUCUCCGUUUCGUAAAAUGUAAAUCGCGGACUUGGUGUUAACUUAUUAACAAGACUAACCCACUUUUCUACGGAACAUUGAAUCACACCAUCGAUGUCCAGACUGCAUAUAAUAAUAUCUAUGUGACAUUGCAUGCAGCUAAGAUGUUAUAUUAUGAUGAAAAUCUUAAAAGAAAUACCUACCUGACGGCGACUAGUGUGGGCGGCGGCGACCACUGCGGCUGUCGGCGGCAGCUGACGGCGACGACUGCGGCUGACGGCGACGACUGCGGCUGACGGCGGGCGCUGACGGCGGGUGGUGACGUCGACUAGUGUGGGGUGACGACGGGCGUUGACGGCGGGGCGAUGCUGUCGGGCGGGGAACGACAAUGUGGGCGGCGGCGGCCGACGCGGAUCAGAUCAGGCACGUCGUCGGCACGUACAAGACAAAAGUGCAUGCGCGACGUGAUUGGGCACCGACGUGCGCGAUUGCCGGGAAUAUUCCCUCAGAUAGCGACGGCUCGUGGAGAUAUUUCUGGCGUCGGGCCCGCGGCGAUUACUUUCCAAUCAAUACACGCGACGUGAUAUAACCGUCGGUCCUGAUUUAGUCCAACAUCAGUGUGGGCGACGGCUCGUUGACUUAUUUUUAUAUUUUUCUAAUCUGAUUUUAAUAAGCGUAUGUCUCCAACAUCAGUGUGGGCUACGGCUAGUUUAGUCCCACCUCGGCCGCCGAACGACGCCCCGACCAGCUUAAAUAGUCGCGUCGGUUAACCCAUGCAUGGUCAUAUUUAAUAUUGUGAUAUGACUCUACAUAACUGCCCGGCAGUACACUGUCUGGGUACUGCCCGGGCAGUUGUACUGCCCGGGUAGUUACGUAGAGUCACAUCGCACUAUUAAAUAUGUUCUUAUUUAUUCAUAUAAUUUUGUCAUUUUGUGUAUUUUUUUAACUUUACACGAAAAACAAACAUGUAUCUAACAUCUUUUUUACUCCGUCAAACAUCACGAAACUUUUUCCACACAUUGGCAUCACCAUCCACAGCACCCACACCAAUUUACAUAUUUUUCCGUGAAACCGCCCAGGCACUUGGUGUGGAAGGCGGUGGUUUCAGUAUGGGUGGAGGGGACCCUCCGUCGUACGUCUCUCCGUCGCAUCGGCCAAACUCGCUCAUUUUUUUUCCACGGGCCACAGUGACCAUGCAGGGCACGGACGCCAAAAUUUGUCGCGUUUCGAAGCUCUACGGAUUUUCUAUGAUUUUCCGGGCCGAAAACCCCCAAAACACUGCCCGGACGUGACGCAACAUGCGUUCGUUGUCGGAUUUCGUUCAUCUCUGGCGUGCGGUACCCGAGCAGGGCCCCACACGCGCUGGCAAAAGUUGGGUGCAUUNNNNNNNNNNNNNNNNNNNNNNNNNNNNNNNNNNNNNNNNNNNNNNNNNNNNNNNNNNNNNNNNNNNNNNNNNNNNNNNNNNNNNNNNNNNNNNNNNNNNNNNNNNNNNNNNNNNNNNNNNNNNNNNNNNNNNNNNNNNNNNNNNNNNNNNNNNNNNNNNNNNNNNNNNNNNNNNNNNNNNNNNNNNNNNNNNNNNNNNNNNNNNNNNNNNNNNNNNNNNNNNNNNNNNNNNNNNNNNNNNNNNNNNNNNNNNNNNNNNNNNNNNNNNNNNNNNNNNNNNNNNNNNNNNNNNNNNNNNNNNNNNNNNNNNNNNNNNNNNNNNNNNNNNNNNNNNNNNNNNNNNNNNNNNNNNNNNNNNNNNNNNNNNNGUCGUACGUCUCUCCGUCGCAUCGGCCAAACUCGCUCAUUUUUUUCCACAGGCCACAGUGACCAUGCAGGGCAAGCACGCCAAAAUUUGUCGCGUUUCGAAGCUCUAUGAGUUUUCUAUGAUUUUCCGGGCCAAAAACCCCCAAAAACAUUGCCCGGACGUGACGCAACGUGCGUUCGUUGUCGGAUUUCGUUCAUCUCUGGCGUGCAGUACCCGGGCGGGGCCCCUCACGCGCUGGCAAAAGUUGGGUGCACUCCGUGAAACCGCCCAGGCACUUGGUGUGGAAGGCGAUGGUUUCGGUGUGGAAAGGUGUGUCCGGCACACCGUUUUUUCCUGUAACCUUCAAACAUUCCCAAAUUUUUGUAUCGCAUUGUAUCUACAUGAGAAUCAUGCGUGCCAAUUUUUUGUGCAUUUUGGGUCUGUUUGCAUUUUCUACAGUUUUUGGCGUCGAUAGUCCGAAAACACUGUUAUUAAUCAAAAUUAUUUCAUACUAACUUUUUCAAAAAAAUUACGAAUCCCCUCUUCUAAUUUCAUUUUUUCCCUUUUCCUUUCUUCCUCUCUUCUUCUUUUCUUUUAUAUAGUUUUUAUUAUUCUUUCAAUUUUCCCGGUAAACUAUUAAAUUUUAAUUUCUUUCCGCUGACUUUUAUUUUAUAAAAUGAUUCAAUUUUUUUUCACAAUAUUUCAUAAUAAUUUUCAUUCCAACAUAACGAUAGUUCAUUAAACCUUACGACGGUUCAUUUUACAUUAGAACAUAAAAAACUUAAUUAAACAGGACCUAACCGAAAUUAAUUAAACAUAAGGACCAAAUCUACACGUCGUCGGAGGCGGCGAGGUCGACGAUCUCGCCCGCACCGAUGUCACCGUCGUCACCGUCGUCGUCGUCGCUGCUCUUGCCGCCGUCGUCCCAGUCGCCGGCGUCGUCCUCCACCGGUGCCGCCUGCGGCUGCACCGCUCUGAUGGCCGCCGCCGCAUCCAGUGCGGCCUGCAGCUCGGCGGCCUCUGCUGCCGCCGCCAUAGCCGCCGCGGCGUCGAGUGCGGCCUGCAGCUCGACGGCCUCUCUCGCCUCCGCGGCCGCGGCCGCGGCCGCCGCUUCUGCCAGCGACGCCCGAAGUCCGAUGAGGUAACCGGGGCAGUCGUCGGGGUCGCUGAGGGAGUCCUGGAUUAAGGGGUAUUCGGACUGCCGGACUAUAUACUUUGGUAGGACUGUUGGACUAUGAAGAUACAAGAUUGAAGACUUCGUCCCGUGUCCGGAUGGGACUCUCCUUGGCGUGGAAGGCAAGCUUGGCGAUUCGGAUGUGUAGAUCUCCUUCUCUGUAACCGACUCUGUGUAACCCUAGCCCCCUCCGGUGUCUAUAUAAACGGAGGGUUUAGUCCGUAGGACCAACAUCAUCAACAACAAUCAUACCAUAGGCUAGCUUCUAGGGUUUAGCCUCUUCGAUCUCGUGGUAGAUCAACUCUUGUAAUACUCAUAUCAUCAAGAUCAAUCAUGCAGGAAGUAGGGUAUUACCUCCAUCGAGAGGGCCCAAACCUAGGUAAACAUCGUGUCCCGAGCCUCCUGUAACCAUUAGCCUUAGACGCACAGUUCGGGACCCCCUACCCGAGAUCCGCCGGUUUUGACACCGACAUUCGUGCUUUCAUUGAGAGUUCCACUGUGUCGUUGCGAUAGGGCUUGAUGGCUCCUUCAAUCAUCUACAACGAUGCGAUCCAGGGUGAGGUUUUCCUCCCCGGACAGAUCUUCGUAUUCGGCGGCUUCGCACUGCGGGCCAACUCGCUUGGCCAUCUGGAGCAGAUCGAUAGCUAGGCCCCUGGCCAUCAGGUCAGGUUCGGAAGCCUGAAUUACACCGCCGACAUCCGCGGAGAUUUGAUCUUCGACGGAUUUGAGCCCAAGGCAGGCGCGCCGAAUAGUCACGAUGAGCAUGACCUAGAUCUGCCAUCGGACGAGGUUCGGGAGAUCACGCCUGCGGCUGCCCCAGCUCUUAAUCCGGAGCAGAUCGGGCCAUCCGAGGACGGGUGGAUGGACCCCGCCACGGAGGCCGCACACUCAUCGGCGAUAGAGCCGAACACAGACUUCGCCUCUAAUGAGGUCUGCGUCAACAGACCCUCGGACUCGUCUCCGGCCAUAGGCUCCGAACCGCGUGCAUCCGUGCCUAUAGAAUCUGAUUGGGCACCGAUCAUGGAGUUUACCUCCGCGGAUAUCUUUCAGCACUCACCAUUGGGCGACGUGCUAAAUUCGUUAAAAUCUCUCUCCCUAUCAGGAGAAUCUGGGUCGAACUAUGUCCGGCUUGAGUGGGGAGCGGACGACGAAGAAAUUUGUUACCCACCGACCACCCACUUAAUAGCCACUGUCAAUGACUUAUCCGACAUGCUUGACUUUGACUCCGAAGACAUCGGUGGUAUGGACGACGAUGCCGGAGAAGAACAGGAACCACCGCCCACAGGGCGUUGGACAGCCACCUCGUCAUAUGACAUAUAUAUGGUGGACACACCCAAAGAAGGCGACGGCGAUGAGGCAACCAAGGAUAAUCCCCUUGAGAAGCAAUCUAAGCACCGGCGUCAUAGGCGCCGCUCUAAGCCCCGCCAUAGCAGAAAUGGUGAUACCGGCACAGGAGACAAUAACACUCCGGAUAAUGGCGAAGACAAAAAAAAUCCCGCUCAGCCAGACUUCGAGCUGGCCGAACGGGAAAACGGGCACACUAGCCCCGAUGAACAGGCAAUGGAUGGAGACUUGGAGGACGACAAUUACAUGCCCCUCUCCGACGACGAGGUGAGCCUCGGCGACGACGAAUUCACCGUGCCUGAGGAUCCCAUCGAGCAGGAGCGCUUCAAGCGCCGGCUUAUAGCCACUGCAAAAAGCCUAAAGAAAAAGUAGCAGCAGCUUCAAGCUGAUCAAGAUCUGCUAACUGAUAGAUGGACUGAGGUCCUGGCAGCCGAGGAAUAUGGACUCGAGCGCCCAACCAAAAGCUACCCGAAGCGCAAGUUGUUACCUCACUUUGAGGAGGAGGCGCAGGAUGCGGCUGACCGGCCACCACGUGGCCGAGUCAAAGCAUAUCAGCCCGAACACCAACCCGCACCCCGUCACCAGUCAAAUAAAAACACGAAGGCCCGGGGCUACACGCAGGACCUGCGAGAUGUGUUGGAAAACAAAGCAGGGCACUCAAGAUCGAUCUACGGAUCACGGGGGCGCACCCCAACGCGUGUCGAUGAUCAUCACGCCGGAUACACCAAAUAUAAAUCUGGCUGGGCCGAAUACAACCGACCAGACCCACUUGAACUACGUCGUGACAUAGCCCGGCACAGAGGCGCCGCGCACCCCCUAUGCUUCACUGACGAAGUAAUGGACCAUGAGUUCCCAGAAGGGUUUAAGCCCGUGAACAUCGAAUCAUAUGAUGGGACUACGGACCCCGCGGUAUGGAUAGAAGAUUUCUUUCUCCACAUUCACAUGGCCCGCGGGGAUGAUCUACACGCCAUCAAGUACCUCCCACUAAAACUCAAGGUACUGGCUCGCCAUUGGCUGAAUAGUUUGCCGGCAAAUUCCAUUUGAAGUUGGGAAAACCUGGUAGACGCAUUCCUGGAUAACUUCCAGGGCACUUACGUGCGACCACCGGAUGCUGAUGACUUAAGUCAUAUAACCCAACAGCCCGGAGAGUCAGCCAGGAAAUUCUGGACUCGGUUCCUAACUAAAAAGAACCAAAUUGUCGACUGUCCGGAUGCCGAAGCCCUAGCGGCCUUUAAGCAUAAUAUCCGCGACGAGUGGCUUGCCCGACAUCUCGGCCAAGAAAAGCCGAAGUCCAUGGCAGCCCUCACGACACUCCUGACCCUCUUUUGCGCCGGCGAGGACAGCUGGUUGGCACUUAGCAACAACACAGCAAGCAAUCCUGCACAUCAGAGCCAGAGAUAGCAACAGCAUGCCCCGACGCAAUAGACACAAGCGUCGCAGCAAUGGCGAUAAUGCCGAGGACAUGGCCGUCAAUGCCGGAUUCAGUGGCUCUAAGUCCGGUCGGCGUAAGAAGCCAUUUAAAAGAAAUAGUCUGGGCCCGUCCAGUCUAGACCGCAUACUCGAUCGCUCGUGUCAAAUUCACGGCACCCCCGAUAAACCAGCCAACCACACCAACAGAGAAUGCUGGGUGUUCAAACAGGCCGGCAAGUUGAAUGCCGAAAACAAGGAAAAGGGGCCGCAUAGUGAUGACGACGAGGGGCCCCGGCUGCCGAACACAGGAGGACAGAAGAAAUUUCCUCCCCAAGUGAAAACGGUAAACAUGAUAUACGCCACCCAUAUUCCCAAGCGGGAGCGGAAGGGCACACUAAGGGACGUCUACGCGAUGGAGCCAGUUGCCCCAAAAUUUAAUCCAUAGUCUUCUUGUCUAAUCACUUUCGAUCGUAGGGACCAUCCUACCAGUAUCCGUCAUGGCGGUUCGGCCGCAUUGGUCCUUGACCCUAUCAUCGACGGAUUCCACCUAACACGAGUCCUCAUUGACGGUGGCAGCAGCCUGAACCUGCUUUAUCAGGAUACAGUGUGCAAAAUGGGCAUCGAUCCCUCUAGGAUCAAACCCACCAAAACCACCUUUAAAGGUGUCAUACCAGGUGUAGAGGCUCGCUGCACGGGCUCAAUCACACUAGAAGUGGUCUUCGGAUCUCCGAAUAACUUCCGAAGCGAAGAGCUAAUCUUCGAUAUCGUUCCCUUCCGCAGUGGCUAUCACGCACUGCUCGGACGAACCGCAUUUUCCAGAUUCAAUGCGGUACCGCAUUACGCAUACCUCAAACUCAAGAUGCCAGGUCCUCGCGGGGUUAUAACAGUCAAUGGAAACACAGAGCGCUCCCUUCGUACAGAGGAGCACACUGCGGCCCUCGCAGCAGAAGUACAAAGUAGCCUUCUCAGGUGGACCUCCAGUUCGGCCAUAAAGCCCCCGGACACCGCUAAGCGAGUUCGGAGUACUCUCCAACAGGAUCUAUCGGCAUGUCCUGGGCUCGCCUAGCAAUUCGGCCUCCGUCCUAGUCCCAGUCAAGCAGCAAAAUUUGUGCCGCGCGUACAUAAUUACGCACUCAAGAUACCAUGGGCACAGGCGGAGGCACAGCUAUAAUACGGCCUACAAUGCGGCUCAACCGCUGCAGGGCCCGUAUACCUUCGCCUUUUUCUUUCUUUCAGGUCCCUAUUUUCGGAAAGGCUCUUCCGGUAACCUGAUCAUUGGACCCAUCACGGGACGGAAGAGCCAAGGAGUCAUGAAGCUUUGACGUACAAGGGAAUUACCAGGUGGUCUCUGUUAACGACCGCUAUGCCUGUUUCACAUACCCGCACGCAGCUCGCUCUUGGCUUGGACAUGUCAAAUAGUCGUAUUUAGCUUAUCGCACUACUUGUACACAUACGCCUUGACGUACUAUUUAAAUAACAAUGGAAAAUAAUAUACAGCGUCAGCUUAUUAUUACAUUUCUUUAUUUCUUUCCUUGGUUGUUUAUUUAUUUAAAUUUGCACCGUGAGAGUUGUUAGAGUAGUCAUUAUGGUAUACGACUUCUAGUCCAAGUCAGUUUUGUACCCCUACCCCAAGUCGGUUUGUACCCUCUUAUAUACUCUUGUAUGCCGCACCAAAUCAUCAAUAAGCAACAGUUUUAUUCAGCUUUCAUGGUAUCAGAUACCAGUCCCGGGGUUUAGGGUAUGGCUCCGCCAACGCCAACGCCGCCGCCGCCGCCCGGCUACUUUGAGCGCCGGGCUGCACUCAUCGCCAAGGCUGCAAACGCCGCGGCCGCUUCUCUCUCGGCACUCACCAUAGCUCCACAAAACUACCCUGCACCCAUCCUCGCCGCACCAAUAUCUCUUGCUGACACAAUCUCCGACGUCAGCCCCUACAUCCCCAUAGUUCUUGAUCUUGCCGCCCACAACUACUACCAUUGGAGACAUCUCUUCGAUCUCCACCUCGGCCGCUGCAACCUGCGCUCGCAUGUCGCCGCCAACUGUCUUCCCCGCCCCGAUGAUCCGCAAUGGUUGAAAGACGAUCUCGCGAUCGUCCAGUGGUUCUACACCCGCAUCACCACCGAAAUCUUCAACAAGCUCGAUCACGACGGCGCCACCGCUGCCAACAUCUGGCACUCCCUCCGUCAGCUCUUCCAAAGCAACACCGACGCUCGGAAAAACGCUCUCCACACCGAGCUUCGCAAUAUGGUGCAAGGAGACGCCCCGGUGAACCUGUUCUACCAGCGCGUUAAGACCAUUGGUGAUGAGCUCCGCGAACUCGGCGAUACAGUUAGCGACUCACAGCUAAUCAAUAUCGUCGUCGUCGGCCUCAGCGAAGACUUUGACAAGCUAGCCUCGUUCAUACCGAUGAUACGGCCCCCUCCUACCUUCGCUGAAGUUCGUUCCUUGCUACAACUCGCGGCGGAAACACAAGCUCGCAAGGACUCUCGCCCCAAGGUCUUUCAUGCUGCGGCUCAUCCUCCUCUGCCGUCUACACCAGCGCCGCCUUCCAGGCCGGCUCCUGCCGCCGGGCCGUCCGCAUCGUCAUCUGUUCAACCGCCCCCAGGCUGGCGUCCUAGUCCGAACUACCGCGGCAAAAACCCUAUCUACAGGCCGCCGUCGACUCGUUCGGUUCCGCCUACGACAUCACCAGCACCGAGUCCUGCACCACCCACCAGUGCUCCAUCUGCGGUUGCAUGGCGGCCUCCUCAUGAUCCUUGGACGGGGCUUGUUCAAGCAUGGCCCAUGCCGUGGUCCGCUCCGUCCACCCUCGGUGCUCCGCUGGCAUACUCAGGUGCCUGGCAACCCGGCCUUCGGCCGCCUACUGGUGCUCCCGGGGUUCUCAACCCCCGACAGCCGGCCAAUGCCUAUCACGCCGCCCCGACGUAUGCUCCUUAUGGUCAUUACAGCACCGACGGCGGCGCCUACUACACACCUCAGCCGGCCGUGCUCCCGACGCCACCCCCACCACAGCCGGCCAAUGCCAACUACACUCCCCAGCCAGCCCUACUGCCUUCACCAUCGUAUCCGCCGGCACUGCUUCCGACGCCACCCUCACCUGCGACGCCGAGCUGGGAUCAAGCUGCCUUCCUCCAGGCCAUGAAUAACUUUGCUGCACAAGGAAACUCAGGUACGGAUUGGAUCUUUGAUUCAGGGGCCUCUAGUCAUAUGUCUGCAUCUAGUAAUUGGUUAUCUUCUUGCACUAAAUCUCCUUUCCCUUCCAUUAUCCUUGGAGAUGGAUCAUCUAUUCCUAUAUAUUGUGUUGGUCAGGCUCAACUUCCCUCUUCCACCAAACCUCUUUUACUUCGCGAUGUUCUAGUUGCACCCGCCCUCAUUAAAAAUCUUAUCUCUGUUCGCCAAUUUACUUGCGACAAUCUAGUUUCGGCUGAAUUUGACCCUUUUGGUUUAUCUGUGAAGGAUUACCUGACCAAGGCCGAGAUCGCUCGCUUCAAUAGCUCCGGUGAUCUUUAUUCUCUUAAUGGAGUUCCUGCCGUCACCCCUCCAACAUCCAUGCUGGCCUCCGUCGAUCUCUGGCAUCGUCGCUUGGGCCAUCCCAACCCCGCCGUCUUAGCUUCUAUGCUUAGUGAAUUUACCAUACCAUGUAAUAGGGACUCUCGUAAUUCUGUGUUUUGCGAGUCUUGUCAAUUAGGCAAACAUGUGCGUCUUCCCUUUAGUUCCUCUAGUUCUUGUAGCACUUAUCCCUUUGAAUUAAUACAUUGUGAUUUAUGGACCCCUCCCAUUGCAAGUGUUUCGGGUUUUAAAUACUACCUUGUUAUCCUAGAUGAUUUCACCCACUUUGUCUGGACUUUUCCUCUACGCAACAAAUCCGAGGUCCAUUCUCUUUUCCUUAAUUUUCAACGCUAUGUGUCUGUUCACAUCUUCCUCCCAAUUCGCUUUAUCCAAUGUGACAAUGGUCGCGAGUUUGAUAACAUUAAAAAUCGUACUUUCUUCUUACAACAUGGCAUCCUGCUUAGGUUCUCAUGUCCCUACACCUCCCCUCAAAAUGGUAAAGCAGAACGCUCUCUUCGCACCCUCAAUGAUAUAGUUCGCACUCUCCUCAUUCAAUCACCUACGCCUCCCAAGUUUUGGGCUGAAGCCCUACACAUGGCCACCUUCCUUCUAAAUAUUCGACCUUCCAAAACUAAACCCAACACUACUCCCUAUUAUUCCCUCUUUCUUUCCCACCCCGACUACUUCGCGGUUCGUGUUUUCGGUUGUCUCUGUUUUCCCAAUGCCUACGCCACUUCUGCAAAUAAAUUGUCACCACGCUCUAUCCCAUGUGCUUUUCUCGGCUUCUCUGACGAGCACAAAGGCUAUCGCUGUCUCGACCUUCACACCGGACACGUUCAUGUCUCUCGUCAUGUCACAUUUGCUGAGCACAUUUUUCCUUUCUCACAACGCACUACUACACCAUCCAACACCCCUAGCUCCGCAAACACCCCCUCUCCCCGUCCUUUCCAACUAUAUACUCCCCUACCUGCCGAACACAACUUAUCACCACCACCAUUAACACCCACCAUAGCCAAUCCCAACCAUACACUCACCCCACCCGAGACGUCCCCAACACCCCCGACCCCUGCUCCCUCCCCAACACCCCCGGCCCCUACUCCCACUCCACCACCCAGCCCUGCUCCCACUCCACUACCCAGCCCUACUCCUUCGUCCGCCUCUUCCGCUGCGCCGGACUCACCAGUACCCACCUUACCCCCUCGUGCUAUUCCUACAGCAGCCCCGAUUAAUGAUCAUCGCAUGCGUACUAGGGCCAAAUCAGGAUUUCAUCAACCCCAAGACCGCCUAAACCUUCAUACCUCCGUAUCUCUCACUUCUCUUCCAAAGAAUUACAAAACUGCUCUACUUGAUCCCAAUUGGGCCGCUGCCAUGCAAGAAGAAUAUAAUGCUUUACUUCAAAACAACACCUGGCAACUUGUUCCUCGUCCUCCCAAUACAAAUAUUGUUUCUGGCAAAUGGAUUUUUCGCCAAAAGUUCCACUCCGAUGGGAGCCUCUCACGAUAUAAAGCCAGGUGGGUUUGUCGUGGCUUUUCUCAGCAACAAGGAAUUGAUUACGAAGAAACCUUCUCUCCUGUUGUUAAACCUAGCACCAUUCGCACCGUUCUUAGUGUUGUUGUCUCCUCUUCAUGGCCCAUUCACCAACUUGAUGUUAAAAAUGCUUUCCUCCAUGGUUCCCUUCAAGAAACUGUCUACUGCCAGCAACCUCUGGGUUUUGAAAAUCCAUCCUUUCCAACUCAUGUAUGUCUUCUUCAGAAAUCUCUCUGCGGUCUUAAACAGGCCCCACGAGCUUGGUUUCAACGCUUCUCCUCCUUCAUUCAAACAAUAGGCUUCACUCCAUCUCUCUCCGACACCUCUCUUUUUGUGUAUCAUCAAACUUCUGACACUGCCUAUUUACUUCUCUAUGUAGAUGAUAUCAUUCUUACCGCCUCCUCUCAAAAGUUCUUAGAUCAUAUUGUCUCUCUUCUUAGAUCUGAAUUUUCUAUGACUGACCUAGGACUCCUUCAUCAUUUCUUAGGCAUUGCUGUUGUUCGAGAUUCCUCCAGCCUUUUUCUUUCCCAACACCAGUAUAUUCUUGAUCUUCUUAAUCGUGCUGGUAUGCUUGACUGUCAAUCAUCUCGCACUCCUGUCGAUACUAGUUUUAAACUUUCGGCUACCGGUGAACCCUUUUCCGAUCCUACUCUCUAUCGUAGCCUAACAGGUGCUCUCCAAUAUCUCACCAUUACUCGUCCUGAAAUCUCUUUUGCUGUUCAACAAGCAUGUCUCUAUAUGCAUGAUCCCCGAGUUCCUCACUAUAAUCAUGUUAAACGCAUUCUUCGGUAUUUAAAAGGAACUCUCAAUCAUGGUCUCCACCUCAAUAAUUCUUCUCCAAACUCGCUUACCGCAUACUCUGAUGCAGACUGGGCUGGUUGUCCUGACACUCGAAGGUCCACUUCCGGUUUCUGUGUUUUUCUUGGUAACAAUUUGAUUUCUUGGUCUUCGAAAAGACAGGUUACAGUCUCAUGUUCGUCGGCCGAGGCUGAGUAUCGCGCUGUGGCACAUGCCGUUGCAGAUACCAUCUGGAUUCGGCAGUUACUCUCCGAGCUACACAGGCCUAUUGAGCAGGCCACUAUUGUCUACUGUGACAACAUAUCAGCAGUCUACAUGACCAGCAAUCGAGUUCAACACCAACGCACAAAGCAUAUUGAGAUUGAUAUUCAUUUUUUUCGUGAAAAGGUUGCUCUUGGUCAGGUUCGGGUGCUUCAUGUUCCCUCUACGGCUCAGUUUGCUGACAUUUUCACCAAGGCACUGCCUACUAAGCCGUUUCAAGAUAUCUGUUUCAGUCUCAACGUCGUCGAGCCUGCCGUUGAUACUGCGGGGGGAUGUUAGAGUAGUCAUUAUGGUAUACGACUUCUAGUCCAAGUCAGUUUUGUACCCCUACCCCAAGUCGGUUUGUACCCUCUUAUAUACUCUUGUAUGCCGCACCAAAUCAUCAAUAAGCAACAGUUUUAUUCAGCUUUCAAGAAUGAUAAAGCUGUAUAGUCCGAUUGCCUGGUUCAUUGCGUUAAACACCUCCUUAAAGGACCAAAAAUUUGGAUAAAGAGUGUUUAUAUUUAUCCCGAACCCCUCGAUACUAGUUACAUGGGGCAGAAGCCGACGACUGGCCAACUCUCAGAUUUUAUAAACGGCCGCACAGAAGGUAAUAUUUUAAAUCAACAAGCGUUAUAUGACGCAAAUGAACUUGUUUUCAUAUUACAUGAUCAAAUGAAUACAUCUAUUUAUAUAUAAAAGUGUUCGAUGGGUUGAUGAGAAAAAAGAUAAAUUAACUAGAAAUUACCACAAUAAUUAGAAAUAUCCGGUCGUUGAUUUGGUGGACCCACAACUUAAAAGAAAUAAUUAAUGGAUCAGAUCGCUCCAUCCCAACAAAAAAAAAACUAAAAACAAACUGUAGCUAUCCUUAGCCUAUACGUGGGGCUCAAUCCUGCCUAAUUUUUUGGAACAAAAGUCACGUACACAUCCAUCAUGUACGUGCAGCUUAAUCCUGCCUCCUUUUUUUUAUUUUUGGAAUAAAAGACACGCACACAGCCACAGCCAUGAUUAGCACGUCCAUUAAGAAAUAGAGGGAGGAUCCUCAAAAAAGAAAAUAAAAAGAAACAAAGGGAAAAAAAGAUUAUUCACGUACACAUCCAUCUUUGGCAAGUCUAUUAAGUAAUAGAGGGACCCCUCAAAAAAAUAUUAAGAAAUAGAUGGAGGAAAAAAAGCAAACUACGACUAAAAAUGCAAAUUACAUAAAGUUACGUCCGGAUCAAGAAAUAAAAUAGGCUCACGUACAAGUUAGUUCAAUUUGGACACCGCAUAUAGAACUAGAUUGUACAUCUAUCUAUUACAUAUAAAAAAGUGCUCUCGGGUUAAUCAUAAAAAGAUAAAUAAGCUACAAAUUAUCACAAUAAUUAGAAACAUUGGGUCGUUAAUAUGGUGGACCAGUAACUUGAAGGACAUAGUUAAUGGAUUAGAUCUAAGAUGACUCGAUCUCAAAAAGAAAAAGACUGCAGCUAUUCUUAGCACGUACGUGCGGCUCAAUCCUAAAAUAAAGAUUACACGCAGUUUAAAAAAAGAUUACAUGAAAAUCUUUCUUAAUAAGGAAAAAACUAAAUCUAUCCAACUAUACGUGUGGCUCAAUCCUAGAAUAAAGAUCGUAGCUGCGCCCCCUUAGAAAACAAAAACACACGCAACUAUCGUCCCCAAUGUCCUCGACCUCAUGUAGCGACUGUCGCGAUGAGUCUCUGCACUAGCGCUGCCGGUAUUGCUUCAGGAUCCGAGGUCUCUUUUCCGCCGUCAAGCUACAAAGAAAAAACUAUCAAAUUCCAAUCUCUAUUUGUAGAAAGAAAAACCUAUGUUAAAGGGAUAAAUUCCAGAUCUCCUUCUUCAAGAUUAACUCAGUCUAGAUCCACUACGGGAGAUGAGAUUCAUGCACAACGAAUCAGCAACAACACCAACGUUGCUCUUUGCGUAGCUGGACAUUAGCCGGUGGCAUCAAUCUGGGAGUCAACGGAGAAGAGGAGCGUGUCUUUGCUUUAUGAGUAGCUGGACAUCAGCCAACUACAGCAACCAGGGAGUCAACGAAGAAAGUAAGGAAAGGUGAAAUGGGGCAAAAGGGAUCGGGCAAGACUAGCAUCUGUGUGAAGCUGUGAGAGAUGCCUGAACGUUGUGUGCAUCCGCGUGAGUCUCUUGGGCUAAAAGCCCGAAUAAUCAUUCAAGUACAAAAAAUAUAUUUUACUACAAACAACCGAAAUAAUCAGCUAUGAAUUGUUCUAAAAAUCAGCUAUGAAUCAUUAAAAAAACAUCUACGAUUAGUGUACAUCAUCUAAGGAAAAUAGUAUAGUGCAUAUACGUAUAUUUAACAUGAAUUAUGUAAUCUUUAGUGAUAAAAUCUUUUGAAAAAACAAAUCCAUGCUAACAUAUACUUCAUGGGAAUAUGAAAAAAAAAACAUAAUCAUUAGAAAAUCACCCAUAUUGAUGCAUAUGAUACUUCUCGGGAAAACACUAUUUACUAAAAAUAAGAAAGUUUAAUAGGCCUCAAUGGUAUUGUCAAGCCGGCUGCACACCAUGUACACGUCACUGCAGCCACAUUAGGUACACCCGUGGUUAAGAGCACGUAGCGCAAAAAACUCAGCGACACCAUAGCCUCCAGAUAUUUCCCCGAAACAAUAAAGGGUUUACAUCCUUAAAAUAAACACUUCACGACCAACCCAAAGAACUGGAAAAUAUGAAUUAAUUUGAAUCUAACUAUAUUAAAUACUAGCCCACGCGAAGAGCGGGCCACUUUGCUAGUUCAUUCAAAUAUUACAUCCUUAGAACAUUCCCCCGCCACGAGGCAGGCGCCCUUCAGGACACUAUCAUAAUAUUUUUCAGGGUGGCGGUGCUCCUUGCCCUUCGGUGGCCCUUCCGUCACCAGCUUCUCGGCAUCCAUCUUCGCCCAGUGCACUUUCGCGCGGGCGAAGGCUCUGCGCGCACCUUCAAUGUAGACUGACCGCUUUAUGGCUUCGAGCCACAGGCAAGUAGAUACAAGCCGCUUCACCAGGCCGAAGUAGCUGCUGGGCAGGGGCUCGGCUGGCCACAUCCGGACUAUGAGGUCCUUCAUGGCCAGUUCGGCCGCCUUGUGAAGUUCGACUAGUUGCUUCAGCUGGUCGCUCAGGGUCACCGGAUGUUCGGCCCCAAUAUAUUGGGACCAGAACAACUUCUCCGUCGAGCUCCCUUCCUCAGCCCGAUAGAACUCUGCGGCAUCAGACACGCUGCGCGGCAGAUCUAUGAAUGCUCCUAGAGAGCUCCAAAUUCGGGUAAGUAAAAAGAAAGUCUCCUUCACAUGCUUGCUUUGCAUAUUGAAUGCCUUACCCGCCGCAAUCUUUUUGGCCGCCUCAGUCCGGACACUUACGACUUCGCCAGGGGCUUGUCCCUGGGCAACCACUCCUCGUCGUUGUAGGCGGCUGUGGUGGAGUGGUCCGGAGGGAGGGUCUUUCCCUUCUUGGACCCUUCGGCCUCCCCAGACGGGGCGGCCUUCCUUUUCUUCUCCCCCGCGGUCUUCGGGGGAGGCAUUUAUGCUACCUCUUCCUCCUCUUUGUUGGAGGAGUGCGCCUCGGUGUCCUCGGACGAUGAGUCUGAUACAACCUUGCGCCGGAGACCUUUCCUGGUCCCUGCGGCCUUCUUAUUGGCCUUCUUCUCCGGCACCUCAUAAGGCGCCGGAGACAACAUCUCUAGCAAAAGAGCCGAUGUUGUAUCUUCGGGUAAGGGAGCUGGACAAUCAAUCUGCUCCGCUAACGCUACCCAGUCCUGAUAAAUUGGCAUGGAAGUUUAGAUUCCUACCGUGGAUGUGCUAGUAAAAGGCACGUCUUGCAGAAUGUAAAAACUCACCGGAUUGGCGGAGCGCCUUGCGCUGAGUCCGCGAUCUUCGAUUACGGGUGGUGGUACCUCGUUAGCCUUGAACAGCACUUUCCAGACAUCUUCGUGCGUUGUGUCGAAGAGCUCUCGCAGCGUCUGGUGUUCGGCCGGGUCGAACUCCCACAUAUUGAAAGCCCGUCUUUGACACGGGAGGAUCCGGCGGGAGAGCAUGACCUGGACCACAUUGACAAGCUUGAUUUUCUUGAUCAUCAUGUUUUUGAUGCAGGUCUGGAGUCCGGUCAGCUCCGUCGAUGAGCCCCAGGAUAGGCCCGUCUCUUUCCAGGAGGUGAGCCGCAUACGGACGCCGGAUCGAAAUUCGGGGGCCGCCACCCAGUUGGUGUCGCGCGGCUCGGUGAUGUAGAACCACCCCGAUUGCCACCCCUUCACGGUCUCCACAAAGGAGCCUUCGGGCCAAGGGACAUUGGGCAUCUUGCCCACCAUUGCGCCUCCGCACUCUGCUGGCUGGCCAACCACCACCUUCGGCUUCACGUUGAAGGUCUUCAGCCAUAGGCCGAAGUGGGGCGCAAUGCGGAGGAAGGCCUCGCACACGACGAUAAACGCCGAGAUGUUGAGGAUGAAAUUGGGGGCCAGAUCGUGGAAGUCUAGCCCGUAGUAAAACAUGAGCCCGCGGACAAAUGGAUGGAGGGGAAAUCCCAGUCCGCGGACGAAGUGAGGGAGAAACACAACCCUCUCCUGAGGCUCCGGGGUAGGGAUGAUUUGCCCCUCGGUAGGAAGCCGGUGCGCAAUGUCUGCGGCCAGGUAUCCGGCCUCCCUAAGCUUCGUGAUGUCCGCCUCCUUAACGGAGGAGGCCAUCCACUUGCCUCCCGCUCCGGACAUGCUUGAAUGACUUAGUGGAGAAGGAGAAGGCUUGGGCGCUAGAGCUCGAGCAAGGGGAAAUAGAUGAGCAGAGGAAGAAGAAGGUGUGGGUGGAGAAAAGGUGAAUCCUUAUCUCUUUAUAAAGGCAAAAACCAUGCGCCACCCCACUUGCCCCGUAAAACUCGCUCAUUUCCCAAGCGUCGUGUUAACGGCGCGGUUAGGUUGCCCACGCCUGUAUUGAUGAGAAUCCCGUGAUAAGGGGACACGAUCUCUGCUUCGACAAGACGUGCCAAUAAAACCGCCUCACAAUAUGUGCAGUAGUUAGUUGAGAAAAACGGUUCGAAUAAUAACCGGGCCGCGGCGUGAUGCCACGCUAUGAGGAGUUGUCAGCAGAUUGGAUUUAUGGAAUAUUAUUCUCUCUAAGGUGGUAUGUGGAAUUUGUUUUGCAGAGCCGGACACGAUCCUCGUGUUCAAAAUCUUCUAUGGAGUAUUCGGAGGAGGAACCCGCCUUGCAAUGCCGAAGACAAUCUGCGCGCCGGACUCAUCGUCAUUGAAGCCUGGUUCAGGGGAUACUGAGGGAGUCCUGGAUUAAGGGGUAUUCGGACUGCCGGACUAUAUACUUUGGCCGGACUAUUGGACUAUGAAGAUACAAGAUUGAAGACUUCGUCCCGUGUCCGGAUGGGACUCUCCUUGGCGUGGAAGGCAAGCUUGGCGAUUCGGAUGUGUAGAUCUCCUUCUCUGUAACCGACUUUGUGUAACCCUAGCCACCUCCGGUGUCUAUAUAAACCGGAGGGUUUAGUCCGUAGGACCAACAUCAUCAACAACAAUCAUACCAUAGGCUAGCUUCUAGGGUUUAGCCUCUUCGAUCUCGUGGUAGAUCAACUCUUGUAAUACUCAUAUCAUCAAGAUCAAUCAAGCAGGAAGUAGGGUAUUACCUCCAUCGAGAGGGCCCGAACCUGGGUAAACAUCGUGUCCCGAGCCUCCUGUUACCAUUAGCCUUAGACGCACAGUUCGGGACCCCCUACCCGAGAUCCGCCGGUUUUGACACCGACAGUCGCCGUCCUCGCGCAGUGUGAACUGCUCCGGCGGGACCUCGACGACGGGAGGGGAGGCGGGCCCGGUGAUGGUGGGUACCGGACGGCGGGACGAGCUUGGAGACGGCGCGGCCGCCGGAGGGGGGCGGCGGGGCCGGCGCGGGGCAGAGGACGAGCCGCCCGUCCGCAACUCCCGACGAGCCUGCGCGACGACUCUCCAGUAGUCCUUGCCCUUCCAAAACUUGGCGAAGCCGACGAUGUUCCACCGGCCGCCCUCGUGCCGGCGGAGCUCAUCCCACGACGCGUCGGGCCCCCACGUCGGGUACCCAUCGGCGGUCAUGCGGAAGGUGUGCGGCAAACGGCAGCCCGGCGGCACCAUCAGCCCGACACGGAUGAGCUUGUCGGUCUCCGGCGUGCUCAGGCUCGUCGGCCACGAGCCGCCGCUGCCGUCGCUGUCGUCGGACGCCAUGGAGGCCGCCGGGAAAGGGAGCGCGUCGGCGGUGGAGUGCGUCGGUGGGUGGGGUGAGCGGGGUGAGGCGCGCCGAGUGGAUUGGGGGAGGCAGACGGGAGAGGAGCGGCGCUUUUAAAGACGGGCGUCGGUGGGUGGGGGAGGCAGACGGGUAGGUAACCGAUGCCCCGGCUUAAUGCCGGCAUUAAUGGCGCGUCGGGGGCGGCGGCCGCCUCGGGAACCGCCCUUGACCGACGCCUAGACGGCACGCAACCGUCCGUCCACACGUCGCGUCGUGCUUUUUUGUUUUUCUAUUUUUUCUCUAGCGGACGCCACGAAAACGUCGCUCGACAGGUCGCGUCGUCUUUUUUUUUUCUUUGGUCGUCGUCGUACGUACGCGGACGGCCGCGUGUACGGGGAGUCGACGUACAGCCCCGUCGCGCGGGUACAGCCCCGUCGUGCGGGCGGCGGCUUUUUAAGUACUGGGACGAUCCUACCCUUUUUAAUGAAGGGGUACGGAGCGAUCUCAGCCGUUGUUGUAUUUAGGGGGUUGUACCGAAGAAGAAGUGUAUCCUAAAUCCUAUUGCAGAUUGUAAACCUGAUAGUGUACUAAAAGGCUCAAUCAGACUGGUUACUGGUGCAAUGUCUAGUUGACUUUAUUCAUUCAGUAUUUUGGUAAAACACUACCAUAAUAAAAUUCUUUUGUAGUGCCAAUUCACUAUACUGAAUAAACCAAGGAGAGAAUAAAAUCUCUGAUAGAGCUUGCAUGAAAUGGCAGCAAAGACUCAACAGUGGUAAUAACCACAGAAUGGAAGCUGGGAACACUACUCAUCAUAUAUGUCUUCUCUGGGAAGAAGAAUAUGGCACACUCAGCAGCGUUGAGAAAUACUCCUACUUCAAUUCAUUCAGAAAAAAGUGCAACAGAUGCCUUAUUUGAAACUCUGCAGCAGACUUUCAGACACUUUGCAUGGUUGGCCUCAAGACAUGUCUUCAGGAGGAGAAAGGGAUUUGCUUGACAUGUUUUGGUAGUCUAAAUCAAGCUGGGAGUUUUAUUAUCUGUUUUGGCCAAACUUGCCUCCCCUGUAAUGUAACUUGCCUCCCCUAUUAGGGAAUUGUUUUAUUAUCUGUUUUGGAUCAUCUCAAAAUCAUCCAGCAGAGAUGGGCACAUAUAUUUGGUGGGCGUAAAUGGUGAUGCCGUAGGUUCAAGCAGGAGCUGCCGGCGGCCCAAAGGAGGGUUCCGGCGGUUUUCCACAAGAUGCCGUAGGUUUCCCUGACACAUAUAUUUGGUGUCAGGGAACCCAGGUUUUGCUUUGGUUUUCCACUUUUUUCACUUUCCUGUUUUUCCAAAAAAAUAACUUUUGAUUUCUGUUUCUUUUUUAUGGGUUAUUGUUAGGGACUUGCUACGAUCUCACUAAUAGCACAUGAAUUACUCUUGGAUACAAGGAUUUGGGUAGCUAGAUUACAUGAACAAGCAAGAGCAGGGGGAUUGAGAGGAGAGCCAGAGGUGGGAGAGGAAGCCGCCAUGCCGUUUCAGCCGUGAUCCAACCGGAUGACCCUCCUGUUGCCUUCUCCCAUGUACUUGUAGUUGGGUGGUGCAUAGACGGGCCCGGCCUAUGAGCUCUCCAAGGGGCCAGCCCGAGUACAGGCUAGGGAAGGUCCCUAACAGUUAUCCUUUCACAUUUCCUUUUUGUUACUUUCCCUUUCUUCUAUUUUCCUUUUUUUCCUUUCUAUUUUUUAUUUAUGUUUAGCGUUUAUUUAGCCUAUUUUCUGAUUUUUCUUCAUAUUUUUAUGUUUUCUUUAUUAUUUAGUUAAAAAUACAAGAAUUCAUUUAGAGCUCCAUUAACAAAUAUUUUAGACAUGUGAACAUUGUAUUUAAAGUAGAUGAACAUUUGUCCAAGCACGCAUGAGAUAUUUUCUUCAAUUACGUGAACAUUUCUUGAACACGGCGAACAACUUUAAGAACAGAUUGAAUUAAUUAUUAAAGUUAUGUGAACAUUUUCUUAAAUAAUAAAAAAAUGUUUUCUGAACAGUGGGAAUAUUUUUUGAAAUAUGUUAACAUUUUCUUUAAGGUAUGUGAACAUUUUCUUUAAGGUAUGUGAACAUUUAAAAAAAAUAUAAUGACCAUUUUUUAACCAACAUAACCUUCUUAUUAAAUGUACGGGAAAAAAAUUUCAAUCCAUGGAAACAUAUUAUAAAUACUCAAUGAAGAUCUUCAAACUGCAUGAGGAAUAUUAUAAAUUAGUAAAAUAAAUUACUCCGUUCUUUAUUUUUUUUUAUUUUCAUAUAAUUUAACUAUUUUUAUUAUUGUUUCAGCAUAUUUUUCUUCAUUUUAUUUUCUAAAAAAUUUCCCUUUUUCUUUUAUUUAUUCUUUGGUUUAAAAAUACAAUAAUUGGUUUAGAGCUACAUAAAAAACUAGAGACAUUUGAUCAUUUUAUUUAAAGUACAUGAACAUUUCUGAAACGUGCAUGAAGUAUUUCUUAAAUUAUAUUAACAUUUCCUGAAACAUAGUGAACGAAUUUUUAAAACAAAUUGUUCUUAAAUAUUGUUCUUAAAGUACAUAAAAAAAUUGGACAAUGAAAAACAAAUUAAGUAGGAAAACAUUUUUAAAACAGCAUGGACUUUUAAUAAAAGUACGGGGAUUUAUUUUAAAAAAAGUGCAUGAAAAAAUUUCAUUGCACAAUGUACAUUGUUUAAAUAUCUUAGGAACAUUUUUAGUACAUAAGAGAAAUAUUUUCAUAUAAUGAACAAAUUUCAAAUAUACAACAAACAUUUUUUAAUACACGCUGAACAUUUUGAGUCCUUGACAAAAAAUUGUGCCCGAUAAACAUUUUUAAUACACAAUGGAUAUUCUUUUUCUCAUGAAAUUUUUAUGCUAGAAGGAGCCUUUUUAUUCGAUUCUUUUGAACUUCUUUUUAUCUAGAUGAACAUUUUUUUAUGUGGCAUGGUUGAUAUACAAAACAAAAAUUAUGUGCCAUCCAAAAAAAAUCUUAAGACACGUGAUUAUUUACUUUUAUAUAGAUGAACAUUUAAUGUGAUUUAUUGUCAAAAUUAUGUCAUCGUCAUUUACGCUUUGUUUUUUGAAUGCCAUAAGGUUAGAGAGUUUUUUGUCCUCGCAGAUCCGAUUAUUCGGAUAUGAUGAGUUUAUGUUGCUGUGUCUAGUUUUUUUUAUUGGUCUGAUUCUUUGUCGAGGUGAAAAUCUUUAAUCGACACCAUGGUUGCUUCUAGGUGAUCAUCCCUGGCCCAAGUUCAUUGAUCAAGGCUUCCCAUCUUUUUGGAUGGGCGACUCAAGGUGCUUUCAGAAACCAUUAUUGGUAAUGUUCGUGUGGAUAAAAAAGUGACAACAUCGUUGCUCCAAUCCAAUUACAACCUCUUUAACGAAGUCUUUGGAGUAUUACUUCGAGCAGAGGUUGAUACCGCGAAGAGGGUGUUUUCAAGAGAUUUCAUUGUAAUUCUUAGUCAUAGGACUUAUUUUAUAUUGUCUUGGAUUUUAGGCCCAAAUCAGUGUACGUGUAGUUGUCACGGGUAUGAAUAAAGUUACAGGCGUUUCUCAAAACAAAAAAAAGGUCACCUACACAUGUGAUUUUGUUUUUCUAAGGCACACGUACACAGGUAACUCUACUAGCAUUCGCUAUUUGAACUCUUCAGUUAAAUUUUUGAAGAUUGUCCGAAAAGAGGGAAUGUAGUAGAGCAUAUUGUUGCUAGUAAAGGCUAAGAGAUCUCUACUGUUUGUAUGACCCCCCCCUAAUUAUAUUUUUACCAAUAUUAGACAGAUGAUGUAGAUGUAUCUCUGUUUUUUGUAUGAUCCUACUGAAUCUAAUUUACUUACCAAAUAUAGACAGGCGAUGGAACAAGUAUAUAUUUUGGAACAAAGGUCAUCUUCAUGUAAAGACUAGCAGAUAAUAAUAUUUGGAAUUUAUUUAAGAGUAGCAGACAUCAUUGCACAAACUCUUAUCUUGUGUACAAGAAUUAAAUUAUACAUCUUGGCACAGGCAGCGACCAGAAUCUUCAUAGUUGGCAUGUUACUACGACAGAUAAAUCAUAAAGUAAGGUACCCAGCUGAAUCCAAUCCAUUUCCAAGGAAGUUACAGAACGCACAAUAGCUAGAAAUUAUGAGUUAUCCUCAAAACCCUUGAGAAGUACUCCCUCUGUAAAAAAAAUAUAAGACAUUUUUAGGUCAUUAAAGUAGUGAUCUAAAGCGUCUUAUAUUAGUUUACGGAGGAAGUAUAAAGAGGGGGGGAAAGGUUCUGGUGAAGGGGGAAAUGAAAAUUGAUGGGAACAAAAAUACCCUGGAUGUAGGUGUGUCAAAGGGACGUCGUUGACAAAUCUCAGUGUCGUUUUGGUGUGAUUAAUUGUCCCGCAAGAUCAUCAUGUGCCUUCUGAUUCUAACAGUUGCAUCAGGCUCGAGACACAGUUGUUAGAAUCCUACUUGAGGGCUGGUGAAGCCGAUGCCGGCAUGACGGCUUGUGUCACGGGCGCUAAAAUCUGGCCGCGCACCCGGCAGUCGAUGAAGAGGCGUGUGCCGGCACGGUAGAAGGAGACCGUGUCGCCUGUGGCGAGGUGGUGGUCGCGGACGAAGGCGCUCCACCCCAUGGUCAUGAUGUAGCUCUGGCUGUUGUUGGAGUAGGAGUAGCGGAAGUUCCAGAGCUUGCCCCCACGGUCCUCAAAAUUGAGCAGGAGUCCCUUCUCGUUCGCCGCCACAUCCAGUGGGAAGUACUUCUCCGCGAACUGGUUGGGCACCACCAGCCGGUUCAGCUUCCCCACGUCGCUUGCUGUCACCACCUUGUCAAACAUGUGCUCCCGCACAUCAUCACCGCCGCCUGUAAUCUGCACAAGUGUUGGUGUAAUUUCUGGAAAAAUAAUGGCCAGUCAGUGCGUCUUAUUUGGUGAUGUAACUUUAUUAACUUGAUGGAAGAACUUCCAAUUAGACAGACACAGAUAUACCUGGAACAUCCAGCCGCAAAUUAGACUCAAGUGACGUUGAAAUCCUGAUUACAACAACCAUUUAAUUAGCUUCACUAGAACAUGACAGAUUGAAUCUUGUUAAUUGUGGAAUCCUAGCCGAAGUAAAGGAGGGCAUACUUCCUCGUUUGUAAGGAAUAUUGAUACCUUUGAUCAGCUGAUCUCUCCAAUCUCUUGUCAUAUUCACCAUCUGGUUGUUCCUCCAGAAUGUCAUCUGGCUGUUGUUUUUGUUUCGUACUUCUGUCAACAUUGGAACUAUAACCUACCAAUUGCAUCUUGAUUGUAGGAUUGCUUGGAUGGUUACUAACAACAGUCCUCGAGGCAUACUCUAGAUCAGAAGCUGUGCCACCAAAUUUUGUGGAAAUCUCUCUAAGCCCUGGCAUAUGCUCGAUGCUAAUAACUGCAGUACCAUGUUCAUGUUGUACUUUCUGUCGGACUUGACCCAUACGGAAAAAAAAAGGUUGGCCCAUUGGUGGGAUGGCAUUGAAAACUAGCUUGAGCUUCAAGAGAUUAGGCAUUGCAUCUUCCUCGAAUUUUAGGCAAGCUAUACCAGUCGUGAACCUCAACUUGAAGUGCUUGAGAACUGAGAACCCGACUGCUUUAUCAAAAAUGAUCUUUUGAAUGGGUGGCGUCUCCACAUACAGGGAUAAAGCAGUGAGAGCACAUAAUCCACCAAGAGUAUCAAUACAAAUCAUCUUCAGUUCCCUCAGUGGAAUCUUCAAAAUGCAUAGGUUGCCAAGUUUCUCAAUCCAUGGAGGAAUUCGUGAGAAUAUGCAGCAGCUGUGUGGUGAGAAUUCAAGUCUUUGCAGAAGGGGGGGAGGUGCCAUGCGAUACCAUGGAGGGAUUACUUUUGAGGCGCCAGGAACCACAGUAUUUUCUACCGAGGAACCAUGAGCAAUUACUACAGUUUUCAAAUUGCCAUGUCCUCCAAUUAAAUAAGCCAGAACUUCCAUGCUUGUUUCCAGAUGGUCGUCAGGUGAUGUAGAAGAAAAGGUGAGAUGAAGAUCCUGCAGGCAGUUCAGCUUACCAAGGCUCCACUGAUGGAUAACUGAGUCACUCAGGUUGCCAACCAAAUCCAGCAGAUUUGUGUCAACAGGAAGAAUUAGGUGCAACAAGUGUGGGAGUUGUAUAAUAUCCCAUGGAACAGCAGUGACUCUUGUUGCAUCCAUAACAUCCAGUGUUUCCAAACAUUUCAGGCCCCGCAUACUGUUUGGUAGUUUUAUACAGACAUCACUUGCAAUCUUCAAGUAUCUCAGCUGAAAAAGUUCUGAAAUACCAGUGAGGUCUAUGGGGUCAUAGUCGCCACAAUGACCAGAUAGUAUAAGGUUCAGAACACGGAGAACCUUGAACUCUCUGAUACAAGGCAUACACUUGAAUAAUCCAAAAAAUCUAAGUGAUCGAACUUGUGACUUUGUGAUGUUUUCUGGUGUCUUGGCGUAUUUUCCAUCACCAAAGAUGAGAGAUAGUCGACGAACCUUGUGGGUAAGUGCUAUAUUCUUUCGAUUGUAGUCUACUACCACAAUGAAAUUCUCUUCUGCAGACUUGUGUGCAAUAAGAUCACGUACCACGUCAUGAACCGUACAGGACAACACCUUAUUGUUAUAGUUGAUAUAUAAAGGUUGGAUGAAUCUUCUAUCAAUAAGUUCAUCGAAAUAGAUUCCUGCAAUUUUCUCCAUCCAGUCCUGACCUUGCUCUUUCCCUUUUCUUGGAGCGAUGAAGCCUUCAACCACCCACUGCUUCACCGCAUCAUCCUUGCAGAUUAUGGAGCCCUCUGGAUGCAUAUUAAGAUACAGCAAGCAUGUCUUUAGAUAAUGAGGAAGAUUAUUGUAGCUGAGGUUCAGUACUUGUUUUGUUCUUUCUGAAGUAGAAUUUGACCACAAAUAGGACCUCAACGCAUCACGUGUGUAUGCCAGCAAAUCCAUUGAUACUUCUGUCUCCUGGUUCGCUAAAUGACUAGCUAUGUUGAUUGUUGCUAGCGGCAGACCACCACAUAUAUCAACAAUUUCGUUUGAAACUUGUUUCAAUUCUUCGGGACAGUCACUUUCAGAACCAAAAAGUCUGCUAAAGAAUAGCUUUCUUGAGUGAUCAUCAUCGAGAGGUUUCAUCUCGAAAACAUGCUCUGAGUGAUCACAGCAACAUGUUGAUGCAACAUCUUCAAUCUGUGUGGUUAUUAUUAUUCUGCUACCACGGUUUCCCUUCGGAAAAGCAGAUUUAAUAAUAUCCCAUACCGAUGCAUCCCACAAAUCAUCAAUAACAAUUAGAUACCUGCAUGUCAAGAAUUCACACAUAUCAGAUAUAUUGUGUCAGGCUAAUAGUAAUUGAUGUUUGCUGGGUUAAUUUAAAGUAAGAUAAAUAUCAUAAGGGGUACCUUUUAUCUUGCAGAUGUUUACGGAUAUUAAUGUCGCUGAUGCCAAGUUCAUUACAAUUGGUGGGUAGUGGUUGCUUCUUCUGAUGGAGUUGCGAGAACAAGUCGUGGAGAAGUCUCUUCAUAUCAGGCUUUUUGGAAACUCGAAUGAAAGCUCUGCAAUCAAAUUGCAUCCCAAUUCUGUUGUACAACACUUUGGCAAGUGUAGUUUUACCCAGACAUCCAGUUCCAAGAACAGAUACCACCUUGAGCUGCUGCUGAUCUGCCGCAUCGUUAGCGGCCAGUGAGUUGAUAAACUCAUUCAUCUGGCCAUCGAUUACUACGUGAUCAUCGGUUUCUUCAUAUGGCAUUGGAAGCAUACGGCCAGUGGAUAAGAAUGUACGCCUCCUCAAGUUGCUGCAACAAUGGAGCUUAUACCUAUUGUGCCGUUCAAUAGCCUCCUGGACAUAGAUCCUGAACUCCGAUAUUGUUUCUGCAAUCUUGGGCUUACUGGGAAGACGAGGGACAUUAACAUGAAUGAUUUUACUGGUCAUGAUACCAUGUUCUGACACUUGCGCUGUGAAUGCAACCUGUUUGUACCACUUAAGCAUCUUCUUUAUCAUCAUCUUCUUCCUCCUCCCCUUCUUCUUCUUUUUGAAGAAACGAUCAGGUGGCACAAAUAAUAAGCUGUCAAUGUAAUCCUCCAUAUCAUAAGACAGGUCACGUGCCUCAUUCAUCCAGCACAUGGCCAUUGGGGGAGGGUCCUCCACCUCUGAUAGUUCAUCAAGGUAGGAGCUUAUCACUUCAACAUCAUCUUUGAGAAGGUGCAUCCCCUCCUUGGUCCUCUUGGGCAACCUCCUGUAGUAUUCCUGAGCAGGAGCUAGCAAUUUGUCGAGCUUCUCACCAAGGGGUCUCAUGGAGCCCAACGAAGAACUCACCGAGCCAUCUAAUUAAUCAAAGAGCACAUAGGACAGGCAAGACAGAGGUAUGGAUCAUUAAUUAAUGGAUGGAUUAGUUACGAUGCACAUGCAUGGGUCGAUGCUGUACUGCCAUAUAUACAGACAGAAAUCAAAGCAAGGCUAGAUAGGGAGAUGGAUCAAACAAGACUCACCAAACAGUGUCGAGAUAUCAGAUGAUGUGAAUAAGCAAGCUUCCUCAAGGACUGGCAGUUGAGCACCAGAUUGCUCGACUUCAUUUUUGGCACAUGAUUCAAUAACAGGAUCAGAAACUGAAAUAGGAAAAGCAUACAGCAUUAGUUGGUAAUUAAGUAAGAGUACUGAGCGGAAGAAUUAAGGACAGAGGCUUUUCGCACGCCCUCACCUGUGGCUGUGGUUGGAUCGUCGAGCAAGACAUUCUUGCAAUCCUCCUCAAGAAUCCCGUCAUCAUUGUUCCUCCUCUUCUUCCCCACAAUCCUGACGGGAUCCAGCACCUGCCCCGUCUCCCUCCUCUUCCUCGCCGGCUCCUCCUUAUCCUUCUCAGUGAGGUCCAUCAAUCAGAACUAAGUUUCUGGCGCCCCAACACGAUGUGAGGGCAUGUCGAGCGCCUAAAGGAGACCGAAUUUUCUGAGCUCACCCAUGCAGGCACACCUAUCUCUCAGAUCAUCCAUUUCACAGCGGUCACCUCAGGAUCAGUGCUGCCUCUAGAAUGAUUGCACUGACUUGUGCUGAAAGCGUGUUCUGCCUUUAGUCUAACUAAUGCGCUGCUCUUUCUUCUAUAAUUGUAUUUUGAGGUAGUGCAUAUCCACAUCAGAACUGGAGAAUUUUGACGGGUCCCAUUUAGGCUAAGUGCACUCACAAAGUGGUGUUGAUGCACGAAUUCACUAAGUUGGAACCUGCUUUCCUUCUUUUAUAUGAUAUAUAUUCGCAUUGUUUUGCAAUAAGAGAGCUUUUCUAGUCAUCGUGAGAUUCACUAAUUCUCUUCUUUCUCCACAAAAAAAAGAAAGAUAGAACCAAGUGGGGCCUGCCACCACGCACUGUCAGAUUCUUCUGUGCUUUUUUUCAGUGCUCAGGGAAUUUGCACAUGUGCUUUCUGGCAAAAAACAAGAAAGAUAGAACCAAGUGAGGCCCACCACCAUGCAUUGUCGGAAUCGCCUACGCAGACGGGCACCGAUAAAAUAGCAUUUGCAUGUUGGUAGCUUAGCAUCAUAUGUAAUGUAAGUAAAUAGCUCUCCAGCAGAUUGAAGGAGUGGAUGGGAUGACUGACCAUGGAUGUUACGAUAUUCUCUAGGCAGGCACUUGUAGCUACCUACCUUCAUAUUGCCAUGGCUGCUCCUGUGUCCUCCUGGUCUCUUUUCUCUAUCCAAAAAAUUCCAUGAUCUGAGCUUCCAACCAGUGAUGGAGGCUGCAACGGCCACUGCUUUUGUGGGUAGGAUCGCGCCGAAGCUCUUGGAGUUCUUAGCUGCAAAUCACAAGCUUAGGCAGAACCUGGAGCAUGACAUCACCUACAUCCAAAGAGAGUUUGCGUUGAUUUCUGCCGCCAUCCAGCAAGACGAUGAGUGCCGCUGGAGGAGCGGCGCCGUCGGCGACCAUGUGCAGAGGGCUUGGAUCCAAAUCAUACGUGACUUGGCGCAUGCCAUCGAAGACUGCAUCGACCGCUUCAUGCACCGGGUGACCAUCUCUGGGACGUCGACGUGGAUCCGUCAGGCAGUCCACAAGGUGCAGACGAUGACAGUCCGUAAGGAGUUUGCCAAGGCGAUUCAUGAGCUCAAGAAGAUUUCACAGGAGUCAUCCAAGUUGAGAGAAGCUUAUUACAGCGCCAGCAUCGGUGCUGGCACCUCCUCUUGCUCAGCGUUGCCGCUAUCUGUGGCGUGUGAGAUGACAACAGAGAUGGCGAUAGAUGACACCCUCUCAGCUGACAGACCUGUGGGCAUGGACGCGCCUCGGGAUGAGCUUCUCGAGCUGAUCCAGCAGCAGCAACAGCAGCUCAAGGUGAUUUCCAUUGUUGGUUUCGAUGGUAUAGGCAAGACUCUCCUUGCCAGGUGUGUGUACAACACAAUUGAGAACCAAUACGAAGCUCGGGCUUGGGUCUCUGCAGCGGAGCAAGGGGCCCCAACAAAUGUUCUCAAGGAGAUACUCCACCAGCUUGACAUCCCCACAAAUGGCGGAGGCAACCUCAGCAAGCUCUGCUCAAUUCUCAGAUUGUACCUUGGGAACAAGAGGUAAUUAAUAUAAGCUACCUGUUCCUAAACCAUAUUGGUAUUAUUUGUCAACUCCAUACCUGUUUGAUAAUUCAAUCUCGAUCUACAGCAGCCUGCAUCUUUCAUAGUUCGCACAAUCCAGCAAUUCUUCUAGAUAGAUUCACUAUUGUCAUCUUUGUGGGUACACAAAAUGAAAUUUACUCUGUUUUAAUUUCCACUUGGUAUCUCUCCAUGUCUGAUCAUGCACUUCUCCUGGUAGGUUCUUCAUUGUAAUCGAUGACAUGCGGACAGAAUUUUGGCAUGACAUAAAAAAUGCGUUUGUGGGGUUGAGCGGCAGAGUUCUGGUGACAACAGCCAUCCAUUCAGUAGCAAAUACCUGCAGCAGCUCAGCAGCUCAUGAUCAUGUGUACGCAAUGAAAACUCUUGCCGAUGAACACUCAAGACUGCUAUUCUUCAAGGAAGCUUUCCAAGAUGACAAUCCACCAGUUGAUAAAGAGGAUCAGCUUGGCUCGGAGGCACUGAAGAAGUGUGAUGGUUUACCCCUUGCCCUUGUUACCACAGCCCGGUACUUGCAAAGCACAGGUAAUCCGACACAUGGAAACUGGGCAACAUUAUGCCACAACCUGGGAGCACAUCUGGAAACAAAAGAGAUGUUAGCAAGAAUGAAGCGUGUGCUUGUCCAUAGCUACACUAGCCUUGUUAAACAUGAUGUCAAGACGUGCUUGCUAUAUCUUGGUAUCUACCCUAGUGGCCGUACAGUUCGGAGAGGAAGCUUGAUAAGGAAAUGGUGCGCUGAAGGGUUUAUCCAAGGAGAUUAUAUGUGUAAUGCUCUGGAUGCUGCUAUCGGCAAUUUCAAAGAGCUUGUCAACCGGAGCAUCAUUCAGCGUACAGAUGCCAGCAGCAAAAACAACGAAGAUCGGGUGAAGACAUACCAUACUCACGGCAUGAUGCUUGAGUUCAUCCUGCACAUGUCCAAGUGUGACAACUUCAUUACCUUGUUAUAUGAUCAAAUGGCUCCCCCACCCCCGCCCAGCAAAAUCCGUUGGCUCUCCCUCCAUGACACAAGUGCCAAAGUAGCCAAUGAUCUAUCUCUGGUCCGGUCUCUGACCGUCUUUGGCAAGGCGCAUGAAUCAGUCUUGGAUUUUUGCAAAUAUGAACUGCUUCGGGUUUUGGAUCUAGAAGAAUGCAGUAACCACUUGGAGGACAAGCACCUUAGGGAGAUAUGCAGCAACCUGUUGCUGCUCAGGUACCUAAGCCUUGGGGCAGCUGUUAAGGUUACAGCGCUCCCCAAAGAGAGCAAGAAACUUCAACUUUUGGAGACGCUGGAUGCAAGAAGAACCAAGAUAGAGAUUCUUCCCACACAAGUCAUGGAGCUUCCAUGCUUGAUUCAUCUAUUUGGAAAGUUCAAGCUCCAAGAAGGUGUAGGAAGCCGGAAAAUGCAUAAGCUACAAACCUGGUUCUCAGAGAAUAGCAAAUUGGAAACGGUAGCAGGAUUUGUUGUGGACAACAACAAGAGCCAAGGAUUUGCACAGCUCAUGGAGCAUAUGAAGCACUUGACGAAGGUGAAAAUAUGGUGCGAGAAGUCCACUAAUAAUAGCACGGAUCCCACUGCCAGUGGCAGCAACAGCAGCACCAACAACUACACUCAUGUCUCAAAUGCCAUCAAGGGGUUCAUCAAGAGAAGCACCGACGUGAAAAAGGCUCAUUCACUCUCAAUACAUUUCAAUGAUAAAUGGUUCCAAGACUUGCUCGUGAACUUGUCCCUAGAAAAAGAAGAAGCUUCCUCCUGCUAUCUUAGCUCAUUCAAGUUACAAGGGGGCAACAUAUGCAGCCUGCCUCCAUUUGUUACCAUGCUAGGUGGUCUCACUAAGCUGUGCCUUUCAUCCCCUCGUCAUCAGCUGAGCGGGGAUAUUCUUGCUGCCCUGAGCAGAGUGCGCUGCUUGGCGUACCUGAAGCUGAUUGCAUCUCAACUGGACAAACUCGUCAUCAUAAAAGGUGCACUUGGAAGCCUGCGACGACUAUGCAUCGUGGUUGAAGUCAUGACUGAACUGGAAGUCCAAGAGGGAGCUCUGCCACUCCUCGAGUCGCUCCAGCUGCUAUGUAAGGAUCUAAAUGGCGUUUGCUGCACGACAAUCCAGUCCCUGCGGCGUAUUAAGGAGGUCACCCUCCAUGAUGGAGUGAACUAUGAAACAAAACAAAAGUGGAAGGAAGCGGCAAAAAAACACCCCAGACGCCCCAAGCUCUUGUUUGUUAAGACAGCAGAAGAUGUUGAUAUGGAAUGUGAACCUGCAGACAAUUCUGAGAGCCCUGUGGUGCCAACUACUGCUACAACGUUAUCAGUGAUAACACCCCACCAUGCCAUUUCUACUGGACAGUCUGGUAAUCAAGUGUCAUGCAUCUUAUUUUGCUUAAGUGUUGGUACUUUGGUUAAUUGGUGUUGAGUUAUAUAUACUGCCUCUUCACGCAUCUAUGUGACGUCUUUUAUGGUGCAGCACAAGUUGAUUGUGAUGAUCUGCAACAGGGUGAUGAUGAGAAAGAAGAUACAGACAAAACUGAUAUCCUAGAGGAUUUUGCUAGCAAGACUUGUCUGGACCCUCCAGUGGACAAGGAAAGGUUUGAACAGGGGAUGGAAGGAAUGGUAGGUUUACAGGAUCAGCAGAUGCAAGAUGUCACUUGGUCUACUGAUCAGGCUGAUCAAAAUGUUGUACUUUUGGCGGUGGGUGAGAACAGAAGAAAGAGGGCAAGAUUGGACAUUGGUGAAGACAAUUCAAUGGACAAGGUUGUUGAUAGAGUGAAGCGCAAGAACCCGGAGGAUGUCCAAGGUAAUUUACAAGUUCCAAGUUUCCAUCUGUGUUAAAUUCUUCCAAUAUUUCUCUUAGUGAGAAUAACUAGUAAAACCGGGGUGAUGUUUGCAAGUAAUAUUCUUCAGGUAAAUAAAUUUAUUUAAGUGAUAGAGAUUUAUAAGCUGCUAGAUGUAGUGUAUGCCCUGUUUUGAUUCUUUGUAUGCCCUGUUUCUAAAUAUCUAGCAAGGAGAAGUCCAACAGUGUGUCUCUGAGUUUUGAUUCUUUGUAUGCCCUGUUCCUAAAUAUCUGUGAAGUUAGUGCACACUGAAUAUUCAGGCUAUUCCUGCUUCCUUUAACUGUCUGUGCAGUUGGGUUCAGAAGUUCAUUGAAAAUAUUAGAAAUUUGAUGGCUGUUGGAGAUGUUGCUUUAGUUUGGACCAUAUGGAAAUCUACAAAUGCCCUGUUUACUUUAGAAUAUCCUGCUAUCUGUUUUUUUGUUGUCACAAUGGUUAUAGUCAUUGACUGGCUUGCAGAAUCGAGGCCAACAAAACAAACAGUGCCUGGGCUCGCAGUUGCUGUCUCCAAUGGAAAGUGAGGUUUUCCAUCAAAGAAGUGGAUGUGAGUCAUUGGUGCCUCGGUUGGCAGAUCCCAGAUUAUGGUGUUGUUUUGCCUGCAGUACCCGUGUUUGCAAGCUUGGGUCAGUCUUGCUCGAGAGUCGGGAAAGUACUUAGGUUUGCUUUGAGUAUCAGGUUGGCAUUUGAUGUUUCAAGGAGCCGUCGCUUCUGUUGCUUCGGCAAUUGGUCUGUCUAGUGAUCUCCUGGCAUGUUUACAUACUAAUGGUGAAUCCCCAUGUGUUGCUGCUUGCUACAUGGGCGUGCCAGACUGCUAUGGCUUAUGGACUCAUCUCCUGAAGAUGAUCAAGUGCUUUCAACAAAUUUUCUCUUAUCAAUUUGUAGUUGUGCUGUAUCAUGAGUAAACUUUCAGGCAUGUCAAUUUGGUGGCUUUCUGCUGUACCAAAGUUGACCAUGUAUGCUGUUGGAUGUAUAUGUGGUCCCGGUUAACUUUGACAUAUGUUCCACAAAACAUAAUCAUCCUUCAUUCAGUUAAUUAUAAGACCAUCUUAUUAUUAUGUUGUUGACAAUAAUAUUUGUUCUUGCAUUUUGUGGACAGCUUUUCUUGUUGCUUUGCUUUUAGUAACUUGAAUCCUCAUGCUAGUAUACGAUAAUUAGCAUGGAAACUAAGGCCGAAAAAAGAAAGGGUCCGAGUGAAAACAGCUUGGUUCUAGUUUUGUGCUGACCUGUCGAAACCUACGUGCUGGUCAACAGCAAUGGGCGAAGUUUCUGACAGGAAGUCGGCUGCAACUGCCGGACAGGAGUUACCCCAAGCAGCAUCAGAGACAUCGAUGCUCCUGCCGGACACCGGGUUCUCCCACGUCGCUGGCAUGCCCCUCCUUGUGCGCCAUCCAGCAUUGUCAUGAGACUAAUCCUUGCUCGGAGCUGUUUGAAGUACUCUGAGGACACAAAUUUGAAGUAGUAGCUACCAUCAAACAAGCUGCUAGGUAUGGAAAUGAGAAGCUCAGACGAUGAUAAGCAAAAACUAUUUCGAGCCAGCACACAAAUUGGUAAUCAUAAUGAAAUUGAACCGUACUUGCAACGCGCUAUUUGCUCGGCAGUGUCCAGACUUGACAUUGAGCACCCGAUGCUCGAGAGUCGCGACAAUCCGAGCCUGGUAUGCAAGCCAGUGGGGCGGUCCAGUUUGGUCCCCUGUCUGAAUCUCUGCCCUGCUCAAAAUUGCAGUGCAGGGAUAUUAGUUCCUGAACCAACCUAGUGAGUACAACAGAAAUACAGUAGCAGAUUCGUACAAACGAGUAAUAAAUACCAAAAUCAUCAGCGUGGAAGACUGCAGUGGAGGCCGCCGUGGUCCGGGCGAGAGGUGGACGGAGCUGGCUGAGGGUAUGAACUCGAUCCCGACGGGGGAGACAUUUCCGGAGAAAGGCUGGGAUCCCCCCGACCCCGAGAAGGCUGCCGCCGGCGGUACAUCGAGCACGGCCCUGCGGAGGCGUCGGCGGCCGUACUUGCGCCCAUCGCGUGUGCGAAAUGCGUCGUGGUCAGCCGGGUAGCGCCGCCGGCAGAGGAGGAGGCCGAUGCGGCUUACCUCGCCGGUUCGGCGAGGGCGAGGGUUGAGCCGAGGGUCUUAUCGCUCUCCUCGAUGGGCCGCAGAGCAGCGAGCUGGGAUCCGCCGGCGACUUGCUGCGGUGGUGGAUGGCGCCGCCGAUAGUUAGCCACGUCCAAUCUGGUCUGGCGAGUGAGGGAGGUAACAGACGGGGAAGGGCAUGACAGGUGGGCCCAUGUCGAUUUGCCUGGUUGAGGUGGCGCCACCUAGGCACAAAACCAGGGUCAAAACUGGGGAGAGGGUUGUAUUGGGAGUUGAGGGGUAUCUAAGCUUCGGUUUCAAGAACAAUGGACUAUAUACUUCUCGAAGAAAUAUCAUAUAUAUGGGGUUCGAAAGGCGGUGUCAUUCAAGCCGACCUCCUUCCUUAGUGACCGCCGCAUCGUCAACUCACGGCUAGUGUAUUUUCUGACGCCAUCGCCAAGCGCGCACGAGGCCUUGUUGUCGUCCAAAUCGUCCUUCUUGGUCUUGGAAGGCAAAGACAGAGCGGGAGCGCGACGGCGAGUCAGUAUUACUCUUCCCCAUGACCAUCCAAGGGCUCUAGCGCCAAUCGUGCACCGGGGGGUUUCUUCCAACGAACACAUACAAGAGAGAGUUAGCUCGAGGAAGAAGACACGAGUGUUCUGCUCUGUUCAAACUUUUGCAGCUUUUUCUGCUUCUUCUCAUUGGUAAUUUGUAACUAACAAACACUAACAAAAACAACCGAGAGGUCAGUGAUCAUAGGUCUCGUGUGAAUCAUGCCAUCCUACGACUCGAGGAUCACCCCCAUAGCUCACAACGGUGCUAGACUCAAGCGCACCAACAAACCCGACGCGCCCGCUACGAUAUUUCGUUUGAGAAAACGAAAGGGAAAUAAAUGUGUCAGGGCAUGGGAUUUAUGUCAACAUUAGUGUACAUGAUCUUUAAGCUAGACUACUCUCCACGGACGUGGUACCAAUUAUUGUUCCAGAUUAGAGGGGAGGCGGCAAACUACUAAUUGUUGGGUAGGCAUGAAAGGCCAGCGCGUGCUAGCAAGAAACUGCGGCAGUGCACGGGAGAAGACGACACGAUGAGGCGAUAACAACUUAGCAUUCAAAGGACCGGUUACUCCCAACAAUGCCUUACACCAUGCCCCAAAAAAGACAAGAUGAGGCAUCACGUCCCCUUCAGUUAAUGUAAGAUACCCAGUACUAUAUGGACUCCAUUAACAAGAGAAUCGUUGGUUACAACUCCAUUACAAGGGAAAGCUCAGAGGAAUUGUGGAGAUCAAGGAGGAAGAUGGUCAAUAUAGAGAGACGAGGAACAGAAGAACAGCUAACACACGCUAACCAAGCCUAGGAUGAAACCCUUUCCAUCAGGGGUUUCCUAUUCGGCGUGCAGGCCGCCUGCAACGAGCGACCUGGCGCGCACCCCCUUGUGCCCUGGGCAUUCGUAUGGGACGGCCCAUUUGCUGGGUUUUUUCUUUCGGUUUUUCUCUCUUUUCCUUUUUCCUUUUUUCUUUUCUGCUGUCUUGUUUCUUUUCUCUUUUCUCUACCUUACUUUUUCACUUUUUUGCGAAUUUUCAUAUUUCAAAUUCCAAACAAUUUUUUGUUCCUCAAAUUCAAAAAAUGUACAUCGAUGUAAAAAAAUCAGCAGUUCAAAAAAUGUUAAUUGUAUUCAUUUUUAGUCCAUUGGAUUUUUAAAAUGUACAUCCGAAUUAAAAAAAUCAUCAUAUUCAAAACUUGUUCAUCGUUUUUAAAAAAAUUCAUCAAACUCAAAAUUUGUUCAUCAUUUUUUCCUUUUUGACAUGCACUUAGGUUGUACUAUAAGAUAUUGCCAAAAGUACAUCAUGCAAAUGAUUGGCAGAAUAACCUAUUGGCAGUUCAACCAAAAGAACUGAGCAUGCAUCCCUAAUUGCCAAAAUUACAUAAUGUUCGUGAUUGCCAAAAGUAUGUACUGCGACAGCAGAGAUUGCUAUAUUGUGGUAUGUUAUCAUACCCUACUUUUUACGGUCUUAGCUGGUGUUAGCAAGCCAUCUUUCACCACCGUUGAUGCACGUUUGAUAAAGUUCAGUCACCAAAUCGUAAAUGACAAAUGUAUAAUAAGUAGUGCUAACUACAGUGCUACCCAGUACGUACCUAAACUACCAUUUGGUUAACUUGAAUGGCUCGAUAUAGCUUGUAAUGGCUUGCGUGAUCGUCUUAACAUCGAAGAAGCCACUUGUUUAGCAAUGGUCUUGCUAUCAAAUUUCACUCUGAGCUCUUCCAUAGUUUUUGUUUUUUUAGCUUGCACUUCAUCGACAAGCUUCCUCGGGCGUCCACGUCCUCUCCGCUUUUUUGGGGAGCUCGGGGUGUCGGGAUCCUUUGGGGAGCUCGACGUGUCUGACAUCUUGCAUUCAACAGUACCGAUAAUUUCUUGGACAUCGUCUUCUGAACCCAUAGGUUGCGAUGCAACGUGGGCUUCAUACGUCUCUGCCUGUAAAGCAGACAUGAGUGCAUUCGGUAGCGUCAUGACACAUAUGAAUAAAAUAAAAUAUUCGUGCUUUUUCGCUAACCGUUAUGGGGUACUUGUAUGUUUCCAUGCGAAGACUGUUGCAAUCUGAACGCAGUAAGCUUGAAACUAUUUUCCAGCUAAAUAUAUCUAUCUGUGACUACAUUUGAUAAGCGACACAUAUGUCAGCACAUCGUUCAGUCAUAAGAUAUUCUACAAGAAAAUAUAGUGUUUGGCUCACCUGCUCCACUUUAUCGGUAAAUACUUCACCGUUCCAUGUCAACAUCUACUUCAGUGUGAAACACGCACAUGAAUGUCUGCAGUGUUUAGUUUAGGUUUUAGUAAACUUGGACGUGUCGGUAAGGAAUAAUUUAGGAGGUCGUACGUAUUGCGGCAUGUCGUCAUAGCGUACUACUUCCCAGUCGGUAAAUUUGAUGGGCUUAGCUGGUGUUACCAAGCCAUCCUUCACCGCUUCGUCCAUGCAGGCCUGAAUCGCCUCCACCUAGCAUAAUACGAGUAUUAUGAAGGGUUGCGGUGAUUUGGGAGUUCAUGUGCCAUGCGACAGUAAAGAGGCAGCAAGAUAGAGCUUACAAGAGCAGUUUCCUUGGACUCGUCAAAUUGAUUUUUCAAGGAGUUUAGGAUUUCAAUCUCUUCUUUGUCGAAAUUGAACACCAUUGCCAUCCAGUGGUUAUCAUUCACAUUCAAUGGGAUGUCGACCUGCCGUAAAGUCAAAGAGGACUCAUUCCACGGAAUAAUGCAUAUAAGGUAACAAUUAUGGUUCGGGGGACCCCUGAAAUAUUUCAUCUACACUAUCUAUUACGAUAUAUGAAAGUGAGGAAAACGGUUACCUUCCGGCGUCCUACAAAUUUAUUUGCAAUACGCUGAACCCACGAGCUUCCAUGGCCCUUUGGAAUAACCCCUUUUGUUUGUAAAAGCUUUCUGGUUUCAUUGCGGGAUAUGACUGAGGUAGUAUCAGUCCCAACUCCGCUGAUGUGAGCAUACGGCAUAAUAACCUGCCAAAUUUGUAAUCAUAUAAUGAUGUGCCAACAGUUCAAAUAGUUGAUGUACAAUGGAGUACAAGGGGCUUACAUCACCACAGAUGUAUUUUUUAUCGUAAAUUGGCUUCAGUUGUUCCGCUCUUAGGGGAAUGUCUCCGAUUUGAACGACUUCCAUAGGGCCGUGUGUUCCCCGGAUGAAAAUGGCUGCCUCUUUGUCCUCAGCGGUGAGCACGUAAUCAUUAUCAAACAGAGGCUUCAUCGAUGUGAUUCGAGGAUCGUCCUUGUUUGGCAGGACGUGUCUGGCACUUGGUGUUGGAGUCGAAGUACGUGGCGUGGAUGCGUCGAACUUAGGAGUCGCCAUGAAGGGAUCAUUGCACACAUUGACUUGUUCCUACAACAACAAAAAAGGUCAAUUAUAACUAGUUUGGUAAUACUACUUAUGUGGUGGGCCAUAAUUAUUACCUCGACGCCUGCUUUCUGUGACUCGGAUUGUCGGCUGACUUUACUUUUGUUUUUUAAUUCCUGUAACAAUUAUAACAAUAAUGAAUAUGGAGGAACAUAUUCGUAACAAUAAAAAAUGCACAACAUGACAUACCUUCAGUUCCCUCCUUAAGUCCUUAAUUUCGUCCUCGAGCAGCGAGAGCCUAGGAUUACUGCCAGAUUUACUCUUAAUGUCGAUUAACCUUCGCUCAGGGUGAGGAAUUUCGCGUCAAAUCUAUGCUGAAAUUCCAUUAACUGUCUGCCUAUCUUCUUUUCUUGCUCAACACAACGUGCAUUCAGGGCUGCAACUAUCAUUUCCACCGGUGCAAACGAAAUAACACCCCGUUCACAAGAAAUCAAAAUGAAUGAGUUUCGAUGCGACCUUUUACUGUUCUUGGAAAAUGAAAAUUGUCUUUGUUGGGCUUACUUGGUGGCUACUCAUAUUUUGACCUUGUGAUUGUGCUCGAGAUGAAUCACCUUCAUGCACACGUACAAAUUUUUGGCUUCCUGGAUCCUUUCUAUUGUUGGCCUCUGGUUGUCCAGCACAAAUUUCCAUCACAACCUUUGAAUCAAGUACAAUGAAUCAGUAGUAGCAAAUAAAUAACGAGAUAUAUACAUGGGUCAAAUCUAGAAACACACCAGUCCUUUAUGAAGACCUCCUGAGGUGUAAGCUUCUGCUCUUAUUACGCACGUGCAUUCGUCCCAUCGUGCGACCAAUGGUGGGGGUAUAGGAGUAUACAUCAAUUUGCCGGAAAGCAGGUGCUCCCAGUACCAAAUCUUCACAAUAAAUUACUUCGUCAAUAUAGAGAAAUAUAGAAAAGAAAAACAAUUGUACAAUGUUAACUAGUGAUGUUGCACUAACCUGAAGCAGAGGUAGAUUUCCUUGUAGAGAUACUUGAUCAAGAGAGUUAAAUUUGUGUAUGGACAUGAACAAGUGUUUCAUUGUGAAACAUCCCCAGUUCAAUCUCGGAAGGCUUUUAAUAUCCGCAACACGUUUAAGGUAUUUCGCAUCGACAUAAGAUUGUGUUGUUGGUGCUAAAACUGUGCCAAUAGUGAAUAGAACGAACCGCGCCAGGAAAUCAUUGUCCGGUGUUUUGGAACUUAAGAUCUCUCUCUCAAGGUUAGCCAGAUCAAUGCUCCCAUUUUUUUGAAAUGUGUUAAACAAAUUUGGCUCCGGUGCGCUUUCCAACUUUUUAUCGAUAUCCUCCCCUUCUAUCGCAAGGCCAAAUAUAUGGUGCACGUCUUCUGCGGUGAUAGGAAUGGGUGUUUUACCUAUGGUAAUGGACGAUGUCUCACUAUCGAAGCUCUUUGCUAGUCUUAUCAACAUAAUGCGCCGGAGUUUAAAUUCACGAAUCAUGUUUAGACACCCAAGACCGGUAUCGCUUAUGAUUUCUCUAUGUGUUUUGAUGACAACAAUUUCAUGACUUUGGCGAGCCUUGACGGUGAGCACACUAACUUCAUAUGGCCGUGUUUCCUCAAGAUUUCCUGCAAAAGUGGCAAUAGAUUUUAUCGAGUAUGAAAGAAGGGUCUGCAAGUACAGUUUUCAAACGAAAUGUCAACUACGUACCUCAUCGGUCAUUUCGGAGACGUGUUUUUCUCCAUUAGCAGGACUUUUAACAGUAGUUUCCAUUUUACUGGCACCUAUGGAACAGAAGCAAAACCGGUUCAAUUUAUUUGACCUUCACGUUGAGAAAUGUGUAACAAAAAUAAAAUCUUAUACGCAUGCACGGAUGAGUUUACUAAAUAAUAUGAACUACAUGUAACUUUAAGCACACUACAGAUUUUGGUCAUGCAUAACAUUGGGACAGUUCAACUAGGGUUUUGGGAUUGCAUAAACAUACGACGUGUUAUUUCAUGAAAGAGAUAACCCUUGUUGUGGUAUUACCUCUUCGGAUGUUCGUGUAGUGUGCCAAGAUUGAUUACAAGAUAGUUAUUAAUGAGAGCUAUGAUCAGGUAAUCUUGACGACUGGAAUAACUUGUGGGAAACCUAUUAGUGCUUUACUAGUAGACGUGCGUGUCUGAGAAAGAUUAAAAAGAGCUAUGAUCACAUAACCUUCUGUCGUCGGCGGUGGCGGCCCAAUGCUCCACGCGGAUAGUGCGUCCCACACUAGAUGUCGAUGUGUGGCGCUCGAUGGCAGCAACAGGAGCAGCGGCGCGUUGACGCGCGUAGUAGGCGGCGACAACACCACUCCCGUCCGACCCCUCAGGCGACGUUGGCGGUGGGCGGCGGGCGGCGGCUACAAUCUGAUCUUGCAGCCGUCGUGGGAGGUGGUAGGGGACCUGGAUGCUGCGGGUGGUUACGAGGGAGGAGCUGUAAUCGUGGGAUUUCGGGAGAUCUGGGCGGCAUGAGUUAUGGGAGGUUGAAACAUUAGCAUGUAAUUGGCCAAAACAAAUGUAAUGUUCCGAAGAAAAAACAAAUGUGCCGUCGAGAAAGGAAUGCAUUUUUAAGUGGUAAAAUAUGUUGUUUGUUCUGAAAAUGCCCGGAAAUUGGCCGUACGUGACUAAACUUGCAACUUCGCUGAAAAUGGUUGAAAUUUGAAAGUACCCCAAUAAUUACCAUGGCUUGCAACCCUGCAAAGUUGGGUUGAUUUCAGGUAGGUCAACAAACCAGCAUGUGAUUUUGGAGGUGCCAGUCAAGGCCGCAAGGGCGUGUUUGGGGGCACCCCCAUGUUUAGUAGAUCAUCUACAAUACAAAAUGAUGUGUACUAAUUCCCAUGGAAUCCCAUGACCAAAACAAGCUACCAUGCGAAAUGCUUCUAAGUUUAGACUAAGAUUUACACAUGAAAAAACUUCCAAACUUAGAUGAAAAUGGUUCAAACUUGGCAUAUGUAUCCCUAACAUGGCCAUGGAUUGUAACGAUACAAACUUGGCGGUCAUUUAAUAUAGGUCAAUAAACCAACAUGUGCUUUCGGAGGGUACAAGGAUAACCCGGAAGGGCCCGUAUCGGGCCACCUCCUUCAAUACACCAUGUACAUAGGAUUCCAAGUUAUUUUGAUGCCAUCCCAUGAACCAAAUCAAGCAUGCAUGCACAGUGCGUUCAAGGUUACACAUGAAUUUCAUGAUUUUUUCACCUCCCAGACGGUCUACCCGUAGACAACCAUCAAAAGUGGUAGCACAUGAUGCCUUCAAGCUUUAUUGCCUAAGGUUAGACCUAAUUGACACCAUACCAAGUGCGAACAUUGGUUCAAACUGGAUUUCAUCCAUGGAGUCGAUGCAGUACACGCACUGCCUCCGUCGAGAACCUUCGUGCUACACUGUCGAAUGUACAAACCAAGUUGAUCAUGCUUCAUGUGGAAUGAACCCAAGUUAUGACAUGCAAUGGAAAAUAUUACAUUACAGGCUUCCAGGACAACAUCAAAAUGAGUUUCAACAAAAUUUGCAAGUUUUGGCAAUUGCGGCCACUUUUCGAGCAUUUAUGACCGAAAAAUGGAAGAAAAUGGAAAAUCUAGUAGAAACUUACAACCAUUGUGCAUGCAUGCUUCAUUUGGUCAUGGGAGGCCAUGAAAUAUAUUUGACAAAAUAUAAAGAUGGUCUGAACAUGGAGGUUCCCCGACACAAGCCCUUUCGAUCGAGCCUGGCGCCCUUUGAGAGCAGAUGCUAUAGUACUAUCCUGACCUGUAUGAAAUCGACCCAACUUUUUGGCGUGACUAUUGAAGGCCAUGUUUGAACCAUUUUUUGUAAAGUUUGCAAUAUGAUUCACGUGUGGCCAGUUUUCGAGUAUUUUCGGCCGAAAAAAUUACCGUACAUGCAAAAUUUUGUGUAAACUGAAUAGCAUUUUUGCAUGCUUGCUUGAUUUUGUCAUGAGAUGUACUUUAAAAGCUUGGGAGAAUUUCACAAAUUUCAUGUUGUACUUGCUUCACAAAGUGGACAGUGAAGUUCGAAGGUUCUAGACGGGAGAAGUUGAUGUGCCCGAGCUUUCAUACGACAUGGAAUCCGGUGUAGGCCAAUGAUCCAACUAGGCUUGGUGUGUCAACUAGGUCCACCAUAAGACAAACAAAGUGUAAUGCAUCAUGUGCCCCCUCCUUUCGAUGUGUGGCUAGGGGGGUAGACCAUGCAGGCGAUGUUUCUUUUUCGCUUCAAAAUUGCAGAAGGAUUAUAAAUGUUGGACAAAUUAAAAACCAUUGUGAAUGCAUUAUUGAUUUUCUCAUGGGAGAUCAUGAAAUAAAGUUGGCAUCAUUUGUAGAUAUUGUAAACACGGAGUUGCUCCAAUACGCGCCCUUCCUUUGGGCUAACAUGGCAUCCUCUGAGAAGAUACAUGCUGGUUUGUUGACCUUUCUUGAAUCAACACAAAAAUUUUGGGGUAACAACUCAUGGUCAUGUUAGUCCUCCAUGCCAAGUUUGAAGUAUUCUUAGUAAAGUUUGCAACUAAUGUCACGUGGGGCCAGUUUUUGGGCAUUUUUGAUAUAAAUAAAUCCCAAUACGUGGAGAAGUUGUCGAAACUGAGAACCAUAUUUGCAUGUUUGUGGAAUCAUUUGUAUGUGGUGUUAACAUGGAGGUGCUCCCGGGCUCGCCCUUUCGGGCUAGCCUGGCACCCUCCGAAAAUGCCUGAUGGUUUGUUCACAUAUCUUAAGUCAACCGAACUUUUUUGCGGUGAAAAUUCAUGGCCAUUGUACGCCUCAAUGCCUAGUUUGAACCAUUUUCGAUAAUGAUUGCAAGUGUUGUCACGUGCGGCCACAUUCGGGCAUUUUCGUCCGAAAAUGAAAAACUUCGCUAAACUAAAAAUUAUUUUGCAUGCUUGCUUGCAUUGGUCAUGGCAUGUAUAGUUGUGAAACUUAUUUGGAAAAUGGACAAGGCCAAUUUUGGAAUUAUAUAUCGUUCAAACUUGUUUCGAACCAAAAACCUAGUUCACCCUUAUGAAAUGUAUUUUUUAGCACAACAUAAUGUUCUUUUUUUAUCUUGAUGAUAUAUAUUAAAAGAUCCCAUAACUCACGCACGCCACCUCUCCCGAAAUCCUGUGAUUGCACCGCCUUCCUCCUAACCACCCAUGGCAUCGGGGCCGCCUACCACCGGCACGACCGCUCCAAUAUAAGAUCGGAGACGCCGGGCGUACGCGCUUUUCGAAAUCUCCGGACGCCGCCGCCGCCGCCAUGGUCAGCUUAGGGGUCGGAAGUGGUGCUCUUUUCGCCCCCUCCUCCUCACGUCCCUCUCUCGAGCGAAAAUGGUUAAGGAGAUCAGUGCGGUACGUAUUUGCACUAUAGAAUCUGUCAGAUCUGAAUUCAACUGCUAGCACUAAUCUUUAAGACUGUACGUACUAGUAAUGAGAUUGAUCUCGAUUCGCAGUGUGGCAUUUGUUUGGACACCAAGGGUUUGUGCCCCGGUGAGCAUCGUAUGAGGGAGUUUUGUACCGUCACCCUGCGCGCGGGAUUGGCAAACAAGACAGUAAGAUCCAGUCUGACAUGACCCGUAGCAAAUAUCAUGAGAAAUUUAGUACUCCGUCCGAUCCAAAAUUAAUGUGUUAGAUUCAUGUAGAUAUGCAUGUAUCUAGUCAUGUUUUCUACAUAGAUACAUCCGUAUGUACAAAAAUUUGUCCACAAAUUUUUGGACGGAGGCACUAAUAUUGAACGAAUAUUGUACUCGGACCCUUUGUACUCAGUCAGUUGUUCGUAAUGUUUACUGCAAAAAGAGUUAUAUUGCAUGUUGAUUUCUUAGAUGAUAAGAUGGUUUUGUGUACGUGCAUGUAAAUUUAAAUCUUCUAUGGGGUUAUAUGAUAAUACUGCUAAGAAGUAGUGAACUAUACUAUGCUAGUCAUCUAUGAUUGGACAAAUUCUUUAGAUUAACAGGCAGUUCAUAUAUAUUAACAAUCGUACAUAUGCUACUCAGGUAAUCCCCUGCUACGACAGAUACAGUUUCACGCAGAAAUUUGGAGUGCCCUUGGGGAAAUAUGGGAACUUUGAAGCAAGUUUCAGUACCAAUGAGGGGUUUGAAUUGCUAUGUGAGAUUACCAAUGACAAUGAGUUGACAUACAUUUCAGGGGAGUCUUGGAAGGAAUUUGUUAGAGUUUAUACACUACAUGUGGGUCAGGAGAUUGCGUUCAGUACUGACAAUUCAGAAGUACCAAGUAGCACUGUGACAACUGGGAAUUUGCCUAUCAUACAUCUGAGUAAGAUACUUUUUUGCUCCUGCAAGUUUUAUUACUCUAAAUUUAUCAUAUACCAUAUAUAAUAAAUUAAAUUGUAUGUGCUAUAAUAUUGUAUCAUACUACCAAUUGUCCAAUGAGAAAAGAGAUAUUAUUGACAAUGUCGCUGUAACUGAGGGGACAAGAUUAAACUGAAGAAUGAUGGAGUAUGUCAUACGCCAAGUGAUGGACCUUGACAAGUUAGUGGAGCGUCAUGAUGCUGGAAACUAUGAUCAAGGAAGAGCAUAUGCAUUCCUCCAUACGUUGACAUGGUCAGAUUGCAACAAGAACUUCUCGGUAACCAUCUUUCUGUUCUUCAUUUACUGUGUGUCAUUUCAUUAUGUUUUUAGCUUUGUUCCAAAUUAAUUGUUCUUCCUUUACUACAUAACAAUAAGUUGCCACGUGUUGAUGUAACCAAUAUUGUUUUCAAACAGAAACUGCCUAAUCGUGUUGUCCCCGAAGAAAUGGAGGAAUGUGGUGCCAUAACCAUUGUUUGUCAUCCACACAGUACUGUGUCAAGUACAUACAUCAUUUCUGAUAUUGACGGUCGUGUCUGCGUCAACAAAUGGAACGAGUUCAUGAAGAAGGAAAAAAUCUUGCUGUUAGGACAGAAGGUGCUGAUGUUGCUGUACCUGGGAGAUCAUGGGAUUUAUCUGUUUGUUUCCCAUGUUCCUGAUGUGCCUCUAGAGUAGUUUUGGCAAAACGUAGUGUGAUAAAAUAAAUUAAGGGAUUUUUAAGUCAUUGCUGCAAUGGCGUACUUUAUUUUUAUAUCAUGGUACUCUUGUGUUCGUGCACAACAUAGUGGGCAAGAAUUUAAAUGGUCGUUUACGUUUUUCCAUUCGAUUGCCUUCAUUGCAACUCGGUUUAUUCAUUAUUAUUUUUAGCAAUUUUAACAUGCUCCGUCUUGCCCCUUAUUUCUCAUAAUAGUCAAGAAGGUAAGAAAUAAUCAAAACAACUAUUUCAUGCAAUCAUCGUGUAAGAUUUAUUUCUUACUCUUACCUGUCAUGUUAAAAGAGGGGUGGGGGCCGGGGGUGUAAGAGGUAUCAUGUUAGAACACCUCUUCUUAUUAAGCUGUUAUUACAUGUGACCAUGAUAAUCGCCUUGAUAUGAUCACAAAUAUAUUAUUUCUUCACAAUCAACAUCACACACGACACACACAACACCAUUACACUAGCCGUCAAUAGCUUCAGCAUGAAAACAAUUUGUCUCCCUAGUCCUAACAUCGUAUAAGCUUGGUGCUUCACAAUGGUUGCCACAUUGCUCUUGGCACAUGCAUUCUUUUCACACUGUUUUUUUGCGCGUUGUAGCUGUUCCCUUCUAUCCUGUGCCGCAGCCAUUGCAUCAAGGGCAUAAGCACCAACAAGGACACUUGUACCAACAAGAUGAUCCACGUACUCUAGUUCCCAGCACCAGAAAUCACAUGGAUCCUAUGAAUCAAGUGAACUCAAAUCAAACCAGCACUAACGAAACAGUAGAAAAAUUACUCAUGCAGUAAAUGUCAUGUAAAGGGAUUGUACAUCGUGGUGCUUGCACUUGUAGAACACCCAACCAUCAUGCUCUUCGGUACUGGAGAGAUAGGAUCUAACCGUUUCUCCACAGUCAGGGCAAGGGAUCAGGGGCACAUCAACUGAUCGGCCCCUCAGCGCGCACCUACUCGAGCUCGACGACGACAUGGUUGAUUUGGUGUUAGGCGACUGCGGCAAUGGCAGACGAUGGUCGUAAUCCUUUGGGUAAGAGAAGAACUAGGGACUCCUCCGCUGGGCUAACAAACCCUAACACCAGGACCAGAGCAUCGUGCUCCCUCUAAAUAGGCUAACUAACAAAUCUUCUAACCGACUAACCCACCCUAAAAUCACGGACGGACCAUCCAUGCGCAUUACUUGUAAAUAUAUCGUCAAAUAUCACGGGAGAUAUGUACCCUUCCAUCGUACCGCAUAUCCCUCCCAUCUUUUCUUUCCGCAUAUCGCUCCUUCCUUCACCGCCCAGAAAGUUUUGGUGUCCAGAGGUAGCCGUCGCCGGGAUAAUCGCCAUCGCUCUGCGGAAGCCCACGCCGACGGCCGAGUAAAAAGAAAAAGGUAUCAUCCUCCACGUCUCCUCCCAUCUCUUGAAACGUUCAUACUUUUUCCAUCGAUUGGACCAAAGAGGAGGUUGUGAUGAGAUUAGAGAUGCCAUAUUUGUGUGCAAGAUCUUUGGUAUUUGUUCCUGGCGGAUUAGUUUUUCGUCGAAGGUACUAUUUUGGUGCAAGAUUGUGUGUGCUUGUCUUUACUUGGAGUAAAGGCCGUUAUGAGAUUAGAUGUGAUUGCAAGUUCAUAGUAGUUCAUAAUACGAUCUGGUUACGGAAAUAUUAUGUUGGUGGAGCUAAUUUUCUAGCCCUUUCUGCUAUACUGGAUUACUAUGAAUGAUUUGCAUAAGGUUGGAGUGAAGAAUUUUAUGCAAGAGCUUUGCGAUUGGUUGUUAGGGGAUCCUGAUCAUACGGUCUAGUUAUGGAUAUAUUUUUUGUCGUUGGAUUUUCUUUACAAGACUUUUAGGCUAUGUUCCAUUAGUAGGAAUUAUUUGGAUGAUGUUUGAUUUAGCCACUUAGAUGUGGCGUACAAAGACUUGUUCUCAAUAUUACAGUAAAGGAGGUGCUGUUGAAGGAGUUGCUGGAUUAUUUAGGACUGAUUUGGAUGAGGUUGUUCAUACCAAAUUAGGAAUACGAAUUUUAGGAGAUUAGAGCGUUUUCUGGAAAUUCAUGACUCAGUUUGUCUCACAGAUACCAUGCUAUUCUAUAUUACGAGGUAUUUAAAUAGUCCUAUGUUUUAGUGAGAAUCGGUAUAUUUUGACAAUCUGGAUCUCAUUAAUCGCAUUCUACUAUCUCGUGUUGUAGGCACCAUGGAUUCACAUCUGCAUGGCAAUAAGCGUGCGGAGUACGACAGGUUGUUGCGUGAAGCCCGCCGGGAGAUCGACACGAAGGUCCAACACGAACGUGAUGAGAUGGACAGGGCACUCAAACAAGAACGUGCGUAUGUCGAUAGGAUGCUUAAGGAUGAGCGUGCUGAUAUGUCUCAGAAGAUUAAGCAGAUGCGUGAAGAGAUGGAAAAAAAGUUAAAUCAGGACCGCGAGGCCAUGGAAAAGAAAUUCCAGCUGGCGUACAAGGAGAUGCAGCUUAAAUUGCAAAAGGACCAGAAGGUUGUCGACGGCCUUAUACAGACAGAGCGUGUCAACAUGGACGCGAAUGUGUUGCAGGCACGUGCCAAUAUGGACAUUAGGCUGCAACAGGAGCGCAAGGACAUGGACUACAAGGCUAUGGUGGAGCAGGUCAUGAUGGAAGGAAAGAUGCUGGAAGACCGUGCGAUGUUUCAAUCCCACGUUCAAUGCCACAGCAGUCAACCGCAAGAGCAUGUCUUCAGUACUCCCCCUGUGAGUACCUUGCAACGAUGCUAUUCAGUCACGAUCACGGCCGAUAUUGUGUAUUAAUAGUUUUUUUGUGAGUAACUUUGUGUAAGCUAUUCAUAUGCAGUCCAAGAAGCGUUACGCGGCACAAUCUCCGAACACUAAAGGCCUAGUGAUGUCGGUGUCACCCGUUGAAUGCCACAGUUCUCCACUCGAAGAACAUGUCUUCAAGUCUCCACCUGUAAGUACCUUGCACCCAUGGUAAACAUUCACAUCCAACAUUUUGUAUGACCAUAUUUAAUUCGUGUGUAACUCUAUGUCGGCGAUUCAUACGUAGGCUAAGCAUCCAGUGACGGAACAAUCCCGAAUCCUCGCAGAUGAAGUUUACAUCCGAUAUAAUAAUAAGGUAACUUUGUCGCGAUGUUGCUACGCACAUAAAAAAUUAUUUAUGGAACUUUGGUGAUUGCAAUGUAUUAAAUUUGACGUGAGAUACUCGUAUGUAGGUGCUGGUAAUGGAAUUUUACAUUCAUAGGGAUUGUGAGCUUUCGCAUGUCCCGACGGGAUACUUUGACGAAAGACCCAUUGAGAUGAGAUUGUUUGAACUAUUGGACUAUGAUUUUCUUAUGAAAGAAGUGGCUGGAUAUGGUUAUAGAAAGGAUUCAGAUUUGUACCACUUCUUACCUGAGCAUGCGUGCAACCUACUGGAAGGAAUGUUCCUGAUUUCAGGACCAGGUGAUUUUGCAAAGAUGAUUUCCCGCCUGAACGGCAGCAAGACAUGUCAUUUGUAUUUGGUGUAUAAUCGUCCACCGAAAGAUGAUUAUGAGUGGUGGUCAGACAUGGAUUCAGAGGUUCCUAUUCUUCAUGUUACAUCAAUUUUACGGCUUCAUCAUCCUUAAGUUUGUCCUAAUACGUUAGUAUGAUUUUACAGGAACUGCGCAUCAAAGACUUGCAGCAUGAGGAGGCUCUGGCUAGAGAGCUUGAGGCAAAGGAACAACUUAACUCCUUAGGUUACAUUGAUGUACCGUGUAAAAAUAUUGGAGAAGGUGGGUCGUCGCAAAUCCUGGCGCAAACUCCAACGACCAAUACGAAGAAGUCACUGGAUUUUGGCACCGGAGACAAGCUUCCGUAGGAGGGCUAAUGUUAUUUUAAAUGUUUUAAGCUGGAGACAACAUUUUUUGUUUUUUUACGAAUGUUUGCUGUUAUGGAACAAUUCAUUCAUGAUGGAGGUCUUGUAACAACAUUUUUUGCUAGAAUGUGAUUUCCAUUUCCGACGCGACAUUCAUGUGUUUAUACCCAACUGUACACUCCGUCCGUUCCUAAAUACUAUAUGUUUUCAGUAUGAACUACAUACGAAUGUAUAUAGACGUAUUUUAGAGUGUAGAUUCACUCAUUUUGCUCUGUAUGUAUUUCAUACUGAAAUCUCAAAAAAGACUUAUAUUUACGAACGGAGGUAGUAGUUGUUAAUGAGCAGGUGCUGCAGGAUCAUGUACAACUGCGACUGGAAAAAAUUUGCUGCAAAACGGUGCAAGAAAUAAACCAAAUGGACAUUUUAUGUGGCACAAAGUGACAAAAUUGCUGGCGAAUCAUCCUCGGGAUCCGCGGAGUCAGACCUGACGAGAUCUGCUCCGGGAUCGGUGCGGUGUCAGGGCGCAUCGAGGCGCAGGCGGAUCCCCGCCAAAGCGCACGAGAAAGGGCCGUCGCGCGCCCGCGCGUCGUCAUCCGGAGACAGGCCAACCGAAUUAAUCUAUGCGAGCCCCGCACAUGUACGCCUGUCGGGCCCAGUUCGAUAAUCCCGCGCGAUCCGCCUGCUAUGUAGUUCCAUGCAUGCACGUAGGUUUUGUUGGGAAUCGUAGCAUAAUUUUAAAAUUUUCCUACGCUCACCAAGAUCCAUCUAUGGAGUAUACUAGCAACGAGGGGAAAGGAGUGCAUCUACAUACCCUUGUAGAUCGCGAGCGGAAGCGUUCCAAUGAACGUUGUUGACGGAGUCGUACUCGCCGUGAUUCAAAUCACCGAUGACCGAGUGCCGAACGGACGGCACCUCCGCGUUCAACACACGUACGGUGCAGCGACGUCUCCUCCUUCUUGAUGCAGCAAGGGGGAAGGAGAGGUUGAUGGAGAUCCAGCAGCACGACGGCGUGGUGGUGGAUGUAGCGGGAUGUCGGCAGGGCUUCGCCGACCUUCUGCGAGAGAGAGAGGUGUAGCAGGGGAGGAGGGAGGCGCCCAAGGCUGUCAUUUUGCUGCCCUCCCUCCCCCCCUUUAUAUAGGCCCCCUGGGAGGGGGGGGGGGCGGCGGCCAGGGGGGUAACUUACCCCCCAAGUCAAGUGGGGCGCCCCCACCCUAGGGUUUCCAACCCUAGGCGCAGGGCGGAGGCCCAUGGGGGGCGCCCCAGCCCACUAUGGGCUGGUUCCCUUCCCACUUCAGCCCAUGGGGCCCUCCGGGACAGGUGGCCCCACCCGGUGGACCCCCGGGACCCUUCCGGUGGUCCCGGUACAAUACCGAUAACCCCCGAAACUUUCCCGGUGGCCGAAACUGGACUUCCUAUAUAUAAUUCUUCGACUCCGGACCAUUCUGGAACUCCUCGUGAUGUCCGGGAUCUCAUCCGGGACUCCGAACAACUUUCGGGUUUCCGCAUACUCAUAUCUCUACAACCCUAGCGUCACCGAACCUUAAGUGUGUAGACCCUACGGGUUCGGGAGACAUGCAGACAUGACCGAUACGCCUCUCUGGUCAAUAACCAACAGCGGGAUCUGGAUACCCAUGUUGGCUCCCACAUGUUCCACGAUGAUCUCAUCGGAUGAACCACGAUGUCGAGGAUUCAAUCAAUCCCGUAUACAAUUCCCUUUGUCAAUCGGUAUUUUACUUGCCCGAGAUUCGAUCGUCGGUAUCCCAAUACCUUGUUCAAUCUCGUUACCGGCAAGUCUCUUUACUCGUACCGCAAUGCAUGAUCCCGUGACUAACGCCUUAGUCACAUUGAGCUCAUUAUGAUGAUGCAUUACCGAGUGGGCCCAGAGAUACCUCUCCGUCACACGGAGUGACAAAUCCCAGUCUCGAUCCGUGCCAACCCAACAGACACUUUCAGAGAUACCCGUAGUGUACCUUUAUAGUCACCCAGUUACGUUGUGACGUUUGGUGCACCCAAAGCACUCCUACGGUAUCCGGGAGUUGCACGAUCUCAUGGUCUAAGGAAAAGAUACUUGACAUUGGAAAAGCUCUAGCAAACGAAACUACACGAUCUUUUAUGCUAUGCUUAGGAUUGGGUCUUGUCCAUCACAUCAUUCUCCUAAUGAUGUGAUCCCGUUAUCAAUGACAUCCAAUGUCCAUAGUCAGGAAACCAUGACUAUCUGUUGAUCAACGAGCUAGUCAACUAGAGGCUUACUAGGGACACCUUGUGGUCUAUGUAUUCACACAUGUAUUAUGAUUUCCGGAUAACACAAUUAUAGCAUGAACAAUAGACAAUUAUCAUGAACAAAGAAAUAUAAUAAUAACCAUUUAUUAUUGCCUCUAGGGCAUAUUUCCAACAGUCUCCCACUUGCACUAGAGUCAAUAAUCUAGUUACAUUGUGAUGAAUCGAACACCCAUUGCGUCCUGGUGUUGAUCAUGUUUUGCCCUAGGGAGAGGUUUAGUCAACGGAUCUGCUACAUUCAGGUCCGUAUGUACUUUACAAAUAUCUAUGUCUCCAUUUUGAACACUUUCACGAAUGGAGUUGAAGCGACGCUUGAUAUGCCUGGUCUUCCUGUGAAACCUGGGCUCCUUCGCAAGGGCAAUAGCUCCAGUGUUUUUUCACAGAAGAGAGUCAUCGGGCCCGACGCAUUGGGAAUCACCCCUAGGUCGGUAAUGAACUCCUUCAUCCAGACUGCUUCUUGUGCUGCCUCCGAGGCUGCCAUGUACUCCGCUUCACAUGUAGAUCCCGCCACGACGUUUUGCUUGCAACUGCACCAGCUUACUGCCCCUCCAUUCAAAAUAUACACGUAUCCGGUUUGUUACUUCGAGUCAUCCAGAUCUGUGUCGAAGCUAGCAUCGACGUAACCCUUUACGACGAGCUCUUCGUCACCUCCAUAAACGAGAAACAUAUCCUUAGUCCUCUUCAGGUACUUCAGGAUAUUCUUGACCGCUGUCCAGUGUUCCAUGCCGGGAUUACUUUGGUACCUUCCUACCAAACUUACGGCAAGGUUUACAUCAGGUCUGGUACACAGCAUGGCAUACAUAAUAGACCCUAUGGCCGAGGCAUGGGGAUGACACUCAUCUUUUCUAUAUCUUCUGCCGUGGUCGGGCAUUGAGCUGUGCUCAAUUGCACACCUUGCAAUACAGGCAAGAACCCCUUCUUAGAGUGAUCCAUAUUGAACUUCUUCAAUAUCUUGUCAAGGUAUGUACUCUGUGAAAGACCAAUGAGGCGUCUUGAUCUAUCUCUAUAAAUCUUGAUGCCUAAUAUAUAAGCAGCUUCUCCAAGGUCCUUCAUUGAAAAACACUUAUGCAAAUAGGCCUUUAUACUUUCCAAGAAUUCUAUAUCAUUUCCCAUCAAUAGUAUGUCAUCCACAUAUAAUAUGAGAAAUGCUACAGAGGUCCCACUCACUUUCUUGUAAACACAGGCUUCUUCAUAAGUCUGUGUAAACCCAAACGCUUUGAUCAUCUCAUCAAAGCGAAUGUUCCAACUCCGAGAUGCUUGCACCAGCCCAUAGAUUGAGCGCUGGAGCUUGCAUACUUUGUUAGCAUUCUUAGGAUCGACAAAACCUUCCGGCUGCAUCAUAUACAACUCUUCCUUAAGGAAGCCGUUAGGGAAUGCCGUUUUGACAUCCAUCUGCCAUAUCUCAUAAUCAUAGUAUGCGGCAAUUGCUAACAUGAUUCGGACGGACUUCAGCUUCGCUACGGGUGAGAAAGUCUCAUCAUAGUCAACCCCUUGAACUUGUCGAUAACCCUUAGCGACAAGUCGAGCUUUGUAGAUGGUCACAUUACCAUCCGCGUCCGUCUUCUUCUUAAAGAUCCAUUUGUUUUCUAUGGCUCGCCGAUCAUCGGGCAAGUCAGUCAAAGUCCAUACUUCGUUUUCAUACAUGGAUCCUAUCUCGGAUUUCAUGGCUUCUAGCCAUUUGUCGGAAUCCGGGCCCGCCAUCGCUUCUUCAUAGUUCGAAGGUUCACCGUUAUCUAACAACAUGAUUUCCAGGACAGGGUUGCCGUACCACUCUGGUGCGGAACAUGUCCUUGUGGACCUACGAAGUUCAGUAGCAACUUGAUCCGAAGCUUGAUGAUCAUCAUUAUUAACUUCCUCCCCAGUCGGUGUAGGCACCACAGGAACAUCUUCCCGCGCUGUGCUACUUUCCGGUUCGGAAGGGGUGACUAUCACCUCAUCAUGUUCCACUUUCCUCCCACUCAAUUCUUUCGAGAGAAACUCCUUCUCCAGAAAGGACCCGUUCUUGGCAACGAAGAUCUUGCCUUCGGAUCUGAGGUAGAAGGUAUACCCAAUAGUUUCCUUAGGGUAUCCUAUGAAGACGCAUUUUUCCGACUUGGGUUCGAGCUUUUCAGGUUGAAGUUUCUUGACAUAAGCAUCGCAUCCCCAAACUUUUAGAAACGACAGCUUAGGUUUCUUCCCAAACCAUAAUUCAUACGGUGUCGUCUCUACGGAUUUCGACGGAGCCCUAUUUAAAGUGAAUGCGGCAGUCUCUAAAGCAUAGCCCCAAAAUGAGAGCGGUAAAUCGGUAAGAGACAUCAUAGAUUGCACCAUAUCCAAUAGAGUGCGAUUACGACGUUCGGACACACCGUUUCGCUGAGGUGUUCCAGGCGGCGUGAGUUGUGAAACGAUUCCACAUUUCCUUAAGUGCGCACCAAAUUCGUGACUUAAAUAUUCUCCACCACGAUCUGAUCGUAAGAAUUUUAUUUUUCUGUCACGUUGAUUCUCAACCUCACUCUGAAAUUCCUUGAACUUUUCAAAGGUUUCAGACUUGUGUUUCAUAGGUAGACAUACCCAUAUCUACUUAAGUCAUCAGUGAGAGUGAGAACAUAACGAUAUCCUCCGCGAGCCUCAACACUCAUUGAACUGCACACAUCGGUAUGUAUGAUUUCCAAUAAGUUGGUUGCUCGCUCCAUUGUUCCGGAGAACGGAGUCUUGGUCAUCUUACCCAUGAGGCAUGGUUCUCACGUGUCAAAUGAUUCGUAAUCAAGAGACUCCAAAAGUCCAUAUGCAUGGAGCUUCUUCAUGCGCUUGACACCAAUGUGACCAAGGCGGCAGUGCCACAAGUAUGUGGGACUAUCGUUAUCAACUUUACAUCUUUUGGUAUUCACACUAUGAAUAUGUGUAACAUCACGUUCGAGAUUCAUCAAGAAUAAACCAUUGACCAGCGGGGCAUGACCAUAAAACAUAUCUCUCAAAUAAAUAGAACAACCAUUAUUCUCUGAUUUAAAUGAGUAGCCAUCUCGAAUUAAACGAGAUCCAGAUACAAUGUUCAUGCUCAAAGCUGGCACUAAAUAACAAUUAUUGAGGUUUAAAACUAAUCCCGUAGGUAGAUGCAGAGGUAGCAUGCCGACGGCGAUCACAUCGACCUUGGAACCAUUCCCGACGCGCAUCGUCACCUCGUGCUUUGCCAGUCUCCGUUUAUUCCGCAGUUCCUGUUUUGAGUUACAAAUGUGAGCAACUGCACCGGUAUCAAAUACCCAGGAGCUACUACGAGUACUGGUAAGGUACACAUCAAUUACAUGUAUAUCACAUAUACCUUUGGUGUUGCCGGCCUUCUUGUCCGCUAAGUAUUUGGGGCAGUUCCGCUUCCAGUGACCACUUCCCUUGCAAUGAAAGCACUCAGUUUCAGGCUUGGGUCCAUUCUUUGACUUCUUCUCGGCAACUGGCUUACCGGGCGCGGCAACUCCCUUGCCGUCCUUCUUGAAGUUCUUCUUACCCUUGCCCUUCUUGAACUUAGUGGUUUUAUUCACCAUCAACACUUGAUGUUCUUUUCUGAUCUCCACCUCCGCUGAUUUCAGCAUUGAAUAUACCUCGGGAAUGGUCUUUUCCCUCCCUUGCAUAUUGAAGUUCAUCACAAAGCUCUUGUAGCUUGUUGGAAGCGACUGAAGGAUUCUGUCAAUGACCGCGUCAUCCGGGAGAUUAACUCCUAGCUGAGACAAGCGGUUGUGCAACCCAGACAUUCUGAGUAUGUGCUCACUAACAGAACUAUUCUCCUCCAUUUUACAGCUGAAGAACUUGUCGAAGACUUCAUAUCUCUCGACCCGGGCAUGAGCUUGGAAAACCAUUUUCAGCUCCUCGAACAUCUCAUAUGCUCCAUGUUUCUCAAAACGCUUUUGGAGACCCGGUUCUAAGCUGUAAAGCAUGCCGCACUGAACGAGGGAGUAAUCAUCAGCACGCUGCUGCCAAGCGUUCAUAACGUCUUGGUUCUCUGGGAUUGGUGCUUCACCUAGCGGUGCUUCUAAGACAUAAUCUUUCUUGGCUGCUAUGAGGAUGAUCCUCAGGUUCCGGACCCAGUCCGUAUAGUUGCUGCCAUCAUCUUUCAGCUUGGUUUUCUCUAGGAACGUGUUGAAAUUGAGGACAACGUGGGCCAUUUGAUCUACAAGACAUAUUGUAAAGAUUUUAGACUAAGUUCAUGAUAAUUAAGUUCAUCUAAUCAAAUUAUUCAAUGAACUCCCACUCAGAUAGACAUCCCUCUAGUCAUCUAAGUGAAACAUGAUCCGAGUUAACUAGGCCGUGUCCGAUCAUCACGUGAGACGGACUAGUCAAGAUCGGUGAACAUCUCCAUGUUGAUCGUAUCUUCUAUACGACUCAUGCUCGACCUUUCGGUCCUCCGUGUUCCGAGGCCAUGUCUGUACAUGCUAGGCUCGUCAAGUCAACCUAAGUGUAUUGCGUGUGUUCCGAGGCCAUGUCUGUACAUGCUAGGCUCGUCAACACCCGUUGUAUGCGAACGUUAGAAUCUAUCACACCCGAUCAUCACGUGGUGCUUCAAAACAACGAACCUUCGCAACGGUGCACAGUUAGGGGGAACACUUUCUUGAAAUUAUCAUAAGGGAUCAUCUUACUUACUACCGUCGUUCUAAGCAAAUAAGAUGCAAAAACAUGAUAAACAUCACAUGCAAUCAAAUAGUGACAUGAUAUGGCCAAUAUCAUUAUGCUCCUUUGAUCUCCAUCUUCGGGGCACCAUGAUCAUCUUCGUCAUCGGCAUGACACCCUGAUCUCCAUCAUCAUGAUCUCCAUCAUUGUGUCUUCAUGAAGUCGUCACGCCAACGAUUACUUCUACUUCUAUGGCUAACGUGUUUAGCAACAAAGUAAAGUAAUUUAUAUGGCGUUAUUCAAUGACACGCAGGUCAUACAAAAUAAUAAAGACAACUCCUAUGGCUCCUGCCGGUUGUCAUACUCAUCGACAUGCAAGUCGUGAUUCCUAUUACAAGAAUAUGAUCAAUCUCAUACAUCACAUAUAUCAUUCAUCACAUCUUCUGGCCAUAUCACAUCACAUAGCACUUGCUGCAAAAACAAGUUAGACGUCCUCUAAUUGUUGUUGCAAGUUUUUACGUGGUUUGUAGGUUUCUAGCAAGAACGUUUCUUACCUACGUAUGACCACAACGUGAUUUGCCAAUUUCUAUUUACCCUUCAUAAUGACCCUUUUCAUCGAAUCCGUUCCGACUAAAGAAGGAGAGACAGACACCCGCUAGCCACCUUAUGCAACUAGUGCAUGUCAGUCGGUGGAACCUGUCUCACAUAAGCGUACGUGUAAGGUCGGUCCGGGCCGCUUCAUCCCACAAUACCGCCGAAACAAGAUAAGACUAGUAGCGGCAAGAAGAAUUGGCAACAUCAACGCCCACAACUACUUUGUGUUCUACUCGUGCAUAGUAACUACGCAUAGGCCUGGCUCAUGAUGCCACUGUUGGGAAUCGUAGCAUAAUAUUAAAAUUUUCCUACGCUCACCAGGAUCCAUCUAUGGAGUAUACUAGCAACGAGGGGAAAGGAGUGCAUCUACAUACCCUUGUAGAUCGCGAGAGGAAGCGUUCCAAUGAACGUUGUUGACGGAGUCGUACUCGCCGUGAUUCAAAUCACCGAUGACCGAGUGCCGAACGGACGGCACCUCCGCGUUCAACACACGUACAGUGCAGCGACGUCUCCUCCUUCUUGAUCCACCAAGGGGGAAGGAGAGGUUGAUGGAGAUCCAGCAGCACGACGGCGUGGUGGUGGAUGUAGCGGGAUGUCGGCAGGGCUUCGCCGACCUUCUGCGAGAGAGAGAGGUGUAGCAGGGGAGGAGGGAGGCGCCCAAGGCUGUNNNNNNNNNNNNNNNNNNNNNNNNNNNNNNNNNNNNNNNNNNNNNNNNNNNNNNNNNNNNNNNNNNNNNNNNNNNNNNNNNNNNNNNNNNNNNNNNNNNNNNNNNNNNNNNNNNNNNNNNNNNNNNNNNNNNNNNNNNNNNNNNNNNNNNNNNNNNNGGGGGGGGGGCGGGCGCCGGCCAGAACCCAUCUGGAUGGGGGGGGGGCGGCGGCCAGGGGGGUAACUUACCCCCCAAGUCAAGUGGGGCGCCCACCCACCCUAUGGUUUCCAACCCUAGGCGCAGGGGGGAGGCCCAUGGGGGGCGCCCCAGCCCACUAUGGGCUGUUUCCCUUCCCACUUCAGCCCAUGGGGCCCUCCGGGACAGGUGGCCCCACCCGGUGGACCCCCGGGACCCUUCCGGUGGUCCCGGUACAAUACCGAUAACCCCCGAAACUUUCCCGGUGGCCGAAACUGGACUUCCUAUAUAUAAUUCUUCACCUCCGGACCAUUCUGGAACUCCUCUUGACGUCCGGGAUCUCAUCCGGGACUCCGAACAACUUUCGGGUUUCCGCAUACUCAUAUCUCUAUAACCCUAGCGUCACCGAACCUUAAGUGUGUAGACCCUACGGGUUCGGGAGACAUGCAGACAUGACCGAGACGCCUCUCCGGUCAAUAACCAACAGCGGGAUCUGGUUACCCAUGUUGGCUCCCACAUGUUCCAUGAUGAUCUCAUCGGAUGAACCACGAUGUCGAGGAUUCAAUCAAUCCCGUAUACAAUUCCCUUUGUCAAUCGGUAUUUUACUUGCCCGAGAUUCGAUCGUCGGUAUCCCAAUACCUUGUUCAAUCUCGUUACCGGCAAGUCUCUUUACUCGUACCGCAAUGCAUGAUCCCGUGACUAACGCCUUAGUCACAUUGAGCUCAUUAUGAUGAUGCAUUACCGAGUGGGCCCAGAGAUACCUCUCCGUCACACGGAGUGACAAAUCCCAGUCUCGAUCCGUGCGAACCCGACAGACACUUUCAGAGAUACCCGUAGUGUACCUUUAUAGUCACCCAGUUACGUUGUGAUGUUUGGUGCACCCAAAGCACUCCUACGGUAUCCGGGAGUUGCACGAUCUCAUGGUCUAAGGAAAAGAUACUUGACAUUGGAAAAGCUCUAGCAAACGAAACUACACGAUCUUUUAUGCUAUGCUUAGGUUUGGGUCUUGUCCAUCACAUCAUUCUCCUAAUGAUGUGAUCCCGUUGUCAAUGACAUCCAAUGUACAUAGUCAGGAAACCAUGACUAUCUGUUGAUCAACGAGCUAGUCAACUAGAGGCUUACUAGGGACACCUUGUGGUCUAUGUAUUCACACAUGUAUUAUGAUUUCCGGAUAACACAAUUAUAGCAUGAAUAAUAGACAAUUAUCAUGAACAAAGAAAUAUAAUAAUAACCAUUUAUUAUUGCCUCUAGGGCAUAUUUCCAACAGGUUUCCCACGUCCGCCACGCCUCCUCCCCCAAAGCCCGACCCAUUCAAGCAAUUUAGGGCGGGCCGGCCCACGUCGCGCCGAUCUCGAGCCAGGAUCACGUCUUAAUAUUUUUAGUCCCACCUCGCCCCCCGAGCAAGUGCUGCACCGGCUUAAAUACCUUCAGCUAUUUGAUUAUCACAAGCGUUGGUCUUCCUUGGACUCUACGUGGAGGAUAUGUAGGAUGAGUAUGAUUAAUCAUUUGUAUUCAUCCUAUAUAUUCUUCAAUUGGAGAGCAAGGAUGACUGAUGUAUUUUUUAGGAUUUAUAGAAAAUGCAAACCAAAUAUCGCAAAAAAGAGAAUUUGAAAUAAGAUGUAACAUGUUAUUUUUUGAGUGGUCAGGUAAUUUUUAUGUAAACAAAAGGAAAAGGAAAAAAAUAAACAAAAGGAAAAGCAUGGGCCAGCCUAGACAUCUAGACCCACGCGUGGUCCAGCAUGCGGGAUAUGCUGGCCUGUGAAAGCCCAUCUAAUCUGGCCCAUCGCGUGGGCGCACCAGGGAAAAGCAGACGGUGGUGGGAGUUUAGUCCCACCUCGCCGAGCGAGAGGGAGACGCACCAGCUUAUAUACCCGGCAGUGCCUCCCCACUCAAGCUCCUCUCAUAUGCAGGCAGUAUUUUGCCUAAUGUUUCAUGCUCUUUGACCAGUUGGCCCCACCAGCAGAAGAGUAAUCUGCACCCCGGGCCUGUAUCCUGGCCCAUAAACUGUUGGGUUCCUAGUCGUAUACAGGUCGUGGUGUAUGAAAACUCCUGCCUCUGGUAUGGUAGGUGUGCAUUUUUUUGCAUUCAUAUUGAAAUUAGUCAACAAAAUUUAACACAUGCUCACUGACUUACCUAGCUUUGUUUGUGCAAAAGAUCAUGUGUGCCAAAAUUUGGGUGAUUUGGAGGUGGUCGAAAAAAUCACCGCAUUCCGGAGGGACCAUUUGGUCUAACUUAAGCCAUUUUUUGAACAAAGGUGAUUUUUUUCCACCACCUCGAAAUCACCCAAAUUUUGUAUGACACGGUGAACCACAUGUGCCAAACAUGUCUAUGAAAGAAAAUUUGGAAAAAUAUAUUUUAUAAUGCCCCCUUGAGGUAUAGACCGAUGUUAUGAUCAGUCAGUCUACAGGGCAGUAUAAAUUAAAAAAAUUCAAAAAAUAUAAAACCUUGGAAACCUAGCUUUGUUUGUGCAAGAGAUCAUGUGUGCCAAAAUUUGGGUGAUUUGGAGGUGGUCGAAAAAAUCACCGCAUUCCGGAGGGACCAUUUGGUCUAACUUAAGCCAUUUUUUGAACAAAGGUGGUUUUUUCCACCACCUCCAAAUCACCCAAUUUCUCUAUGACACGGUGACCCACAUGUGCCAAACAUGUCCAUGAAAGAAAAUUUGGAAAAAAUAUAUAUUUUACAAUGCCCCCUUGAGGUAUAGACCGAUGUUUUGAUCAGUCAGUCUAGAAGGCAGUAUAAAUUCAAAAAUAUUCAAAAAAUAUAAAACCUUGGAAACCNNNNNNNNNNNNNNNNNNNNNNNNNNNNNNNNNNNNNNNNNNNNNNNNNNNNNNNNNNNNNNNNNNNNNNNNNNNNNNNNNNNNNNNNNNNNNNNNNNNNNNNNNNNNNNNNNNNNNNNNNNNNNNNNNCUUGGUUUGUGCAAGAGAUCAUGUGUGCCAAAAUUGAGGUGAUUUGUAGGUGGUCGAAAAAAUCACCGCAUUCCGGAGGGACCAUUUGGUCUAACUUAAGCCAUUUUUUGAACAAAGGUGAUUUUUUCCACCACCUCCAAAUCACCCAAUUUCUCUAUGACACGGUGACCCACAUGUGCCAAACAUGUCCAUGAAAGAAAAUUUGGAAAAAAUAUUUUACAAUGCCCCCUUGAGGUAUAGACCGAUGUUUUGAUCAGUCAGUCUAGAGGGCAGUAUAAAUUCAAAAAAAUAUAAAACCUGGAAAACCUAGCUUUGUUUGUGCAAGAGAUCAUGUGUGCCAAAAUUGAGGUGAUUUGGAGGUGGUCGAAAAAAUCACCGCAUUCCGGAGUAACUUAAACCAUUCUUUGAACAAAGGUGAUUUUUUCCACCACCUCCAAAUCACCCAAAUUUUUCUUUUACAUGGUGACCCACAGGUGCCAAACAUGUCCAUGAAAGAAAAUUUGAAAAAAAAAUAUUUUACAAUGCCCCCUUGAGGUAUAGACCGAUGUUUUGAUCAGUCAGUCUAGAGGGCAGUAUAAAUUCAAAAAAAAUCAAAAAAUAUAAAACCUUGGAAACCUAGCUUUGUUUGUGCAAGAGAUCAUGUGUGCCAAAAUUGAGGUGAUUUGGAGGUGGUCGAAAAAAUCACCGCAUUCCGGAGGGACAAUUUGGUCUAUCUUAAGCCAUUUUUUGAACAAAGGUGAUUUUUUCCACCACCUCCAAUCACCCAAUUUCUCUAUGACAUGGUGACCCACAUGUGCCAAACAUGUCCAUGAAAGAAAAUUCGGAAAAAUAUAUUUUACAAUGCCCUCUUGAGGUAUAGACCGAUGUUUUGAUCAAUCAGUCUAGAGGGCGGUAUAAAUUAUAAAAAUUCAAAAAAUAUAAAACCUUGGAAACCUAGCUUUGUUUGUGCAAGAGAUCAUGUGUGCCAAAAUUGAGGCGAUUUNNNNNNNNNNGACCCACAUGUGCCAAACAUGUCCAUGAAAGAAAAUUUAGAAAAAAAUAUAUUUUACAAUGCCCCCUUGAGGUAUAGACUGAUGUUUUGAUCAGUCAGUCUAGAGGGCAGUAUAAAAUCUAAAAAAUUCAAAAAAAAAUAAAACCUUGGAAACCUAGCCUUGUUUGUGCGAGAGAUCAUGUGUGCCAAAAUUGAGGUGAUUUGGAGGUGGUCGAAAAAAUCACCGCAUUCCGGAGGGACCGUUUGGUCUAACUUAAGCCAUUUUUUGAACAAAGGUGAUUUUUUCCACCACCUCCAAAUCACCCAAUUUCUCUAUGACAUAGUGACCCAUAUGUGCCAAACAUGUCUAUGAAAGAAAAUUUGGAAAAAAAUAUUUUACAAUGCCCCCUUGAGGUAUAGACCGAUGUUUUGAUCAGUCAGUCUAGAGGGCAGUAUAAAUUCAAAAAAAUAUAAAACCUGGGAAACCUAGCUUUGUUUGUGCAAGAGAUCAUGUGUGGCAAAAUUGAGGUCAUUUGGAGGUGGUCGAAAAAAUCACCGUAUUCCGGAGGGACCAUUUGGUCAACUUAAGCCAAUUUUUGAACAAAGGUGGUUUUUCCCACCACCUCCAACUCACCCAAUUUUUCUAUGACACGGUGACCCACAUGUGCCAAACAUGUNNNNNNNNNNNNNNNNNNNNNNNNNNNNNNNNNNNNNNNNNNNNNNNNNNNNNNNNNNNNNNNNNNNNNNNNNNNNNNNNNNNNNNNUACAAUGCCCCCUUGAGGUAUAGACUGAUGUUUUGAUCAGUCAGUCUAGAGGGCAGUAUAAAAUCUAAAAAAUUCAAAAAAAAUAAAACCUUGGAAACCUAGCUUUGUUUGUGCGAGAGAUCAUGUGUGCCAAAAUUGAGGUGAUUUGGAGGUGGUCGAAAAAAUCACCGCAUUCCGGAGGGACCGUUUGGUCUAACUUAAGCCAUUUUUCGAACAAAGGUGAUUUUUUUCCACCACCUCCAAAUCACCCAAUUUCUUUAUGACACGGUGACCCACAAGUGCCAAACAUGUCCAUGAAAGAAAAUUUGAAAAAUAUAUAUUUUACAAUGCCCCUUUGAGGUAUAGACCGAUGUUUUGAUCAGUCAGUCUAGAGAGCAGUAUAAAUUCAAGAAAUUUCAAAAAAAUAUAAACCUUGGAAACCUAGCUUUGUUUGUGCAAGAGAUCAUGUGUGCCAAAAUUGAGGUGAUUUGGAGGUGGUCGAAAAAAUCACCGCAUUCCGGAGGGACAAUUUGGUCUUUAACUUAAGCCAUUUUUUGUACAAAGGUGAUUUUUUCCACCACCUCCAAAUCACCCAAUUCCUCUAUGACACGGUGACCCACAUNNNNNNNNNNNNNNNNNNNNNNNNNNNNNNNNNNNNNNNNNNNNNNNNNNNNNNNNNNNNNNNNNNNNNNNNNNNNNNNNNNNNNNNNNNNNNNNNNNNNNNNNNNNNNNNNNNNNNNNNNNNNNNNNNNNNNNNNNNNNNNNNNNNNNNNNNNNNNNNNNNNNNNNNNNNNNNNNNNNNNNNNNNNNNNNNNNNNNNNNNNNNNNNNNNNNNNNNNNNNNNNNNNNNNNNNNNNNNNNNNNNNNNNNNNNNNNNNNNNNNNNNNNNNNNNNUUGUGCAAGAGAUCAUGUGUGCCAAAAUUAAGGCGAUUUGGAGGUGGUCGAAAAAAUCACCGCAUUCCGGAGGGACCAUUCUAAACUUAAGCCAGUUUUUCAACAAAGGUGAUUUUUUCCACCACCUCCAAAUCACCCAAUUUCUCUAUGACACCGUGACCCACAUGUGCCAAACAUGUCCAUGAAAGAAAAUUUGGAAAAAAUAUAUUUUAAAAUGCCCCCUUGAGGUAUAGACCGAUGUUUUGAUCAGUCAGUCUAGAGGGCAGUAUAAAUUAAAAAAAUUCAAAAAAUAUAAAACCUUGGAAACCUAGCUUUGUUUGUGCAAAAGAUCAUGUGUGCCAAAAUUGAGGUAAUUUGGAGGUGGUCGAAAAAAUCACCGCAUUCCGGAGGGACCAUUGAUGUGCAGGAGAGUUCGUGGCCACAGAAGAUCCCGUAGCCCUUUCUGGAGACAGGACAGCGACGGAAUCCGAGGCAGAUUAGCCUGCAGCAGCCAGUUUCGGGCGGUCCUGAUCUUCUGUGGCAGCGGGCCGAGGCGUUGGUGAGAGUGGAGCCGCUGAAGAUCCAGGGCGGCUCGCAGACUCAUCAUGAGCCCAUGAUGCUGCAGGCCCACUGGAGUCAGGGGCUAUCUCCACGCCCGCCUGGCAAAUGGCGGGGCGCCGCUAGUAGCACACGGGCUGGACCGCAAAGCGCGUGCGUCCCUGACCAGAUUGGUGCGGGCCGGAGGGCGCGCCUCGCCCGGUCCGAGGUGGCCGCGUGUCGAGCGGCGGGUCGGAGGCGCGCGUGCAGCCGACCGCAGCUGGCGCGUCUGGUCGAUCUGCCGCGGAUCCGCAGCUGUCACCUGGCGCUGAUCCCGAAGACGAUUGCCUGGGCCUCUGCGACAGAAAUCCCGAGGAGGAUAUGUUCCCCACGCCGCGGCACACGCGAUAUAACUCGCCCGAAACGAUUUCUUCACCAGUUUCUUCGCCGUUUUCAUUGUUUUGUUCGCCUGGCUCCCCUGUAGCAUGGUGAGUUGUACAUGCAGAUACAAACACACUAUGAUAAGAAGUCGCAAGCAGUUUUCCUUGCACUCUACGUGGAGGAUAUAUAGAAUGAGUAUGAUUCAUCAUCUGUAUUCAUCCUGUAUAUUCUUCAAUUGGAGAGCAUGGAUGACUACUAUAUUUUUCGGAUUUAUCAGGCUUUUAUUUUGUUUUCAGGAGCGAAAUAUAAUUCCUCCAUUACAUCUAUUUCCAAAUUUUAUCGUGCAACAUAAAGAAGCUACACGAUGGCCACGAAGAAACCAUGAUUCUUGAAGUUGCACUCGAAAAACCCAAAUAUAAAAUGCAAAAAAAAUACCCCAAACUAAUACUGUUACAAGGGAGUGGACAACCAAAUAGCUGAGUCAUACAUUAUGAGGAAGUCACUAACUGACAGAAUGAAGUAUUUUAGAGAAAAGGUCACACGAUACUAGACAUUGACGACAAUGCACACGCCAACAUCAGGUUGAUCAUCGACGUACUUGCUAUCCGACGGUGCGCACAAUGUUGUAGCUAUCAUAGUUCUUCUUUGAGAUCCUACACAUAAGGAUAUUAUUAAUGCCAUGGAAUAUAUUUGGACACAUUAAAACAUUAAAUUACGGCAUAUUAGGUACCUCUAUCAAUUUGGCGCACGUACGUCGAUUGUGACCAUCUGCCUCAUGACAAUAGCUACAUCUACCCUUUGUUCUGGUUUUCUUCAUCUUUGCCUGUAGCCUUUUCUUCGGAGCACCUCGGCCUGGCACAUGCACGGGAUCCAGAACCUUUUCGAAACCUUCACCAUCAAGGUUAGCCGAUUGUGGCAUCAACGGGCCAAACCUAAUGCUGUUACCCUGACCAUUAGUUGAUCCCUUGCUAUCAGCUUGUUCACUUGUUGAUCCCUUGCAAACAUCUUGUCCUUCCAAAACCCUUUUUAGAUGCUGAAACGCCUCAUCAGAGUGGCAUGCCUUGAAACAUGCUGCGUGACUAAAAUUCCUUAGCUUACGGUACCUUUGUAGGGCUGCAGAGUAUGCAUACAUCUCGCUCUUUCUGGUCGGUGUGAAUGCACAUUUUGCACUCAUUGUCCACCUAGUGGGAACACAACACCUGGGCAGUGUUUCUUCUUGUAAAAUUCCCAAUAUGUAAAAUAUGUGGGAACAUGGUCCAAUUUGCGGCAAGAACAACUGAUACUGCGAAGCACACCUUCCUUCGUCUCCGUGCGCACUUCGAUCUUUUUAUCCAUUCUUUCCUUCUUAGACACAACGUAUGUGGUAACCUCUGCUGCAUCAAGUACCUCUCUGAUCUCACAUUUUAUGAUAGCAUCUAUGCUCCAUAAGACCAACUUAAACACAGCAGGAUUGAAAACUUUCACGGCAUGUUUCUGAAGAACUGAAGCAUUUUCCUCUGUGAACGGAACAGACUGUAAGGCCUCGACGUCUUGGAGAGCCUCAUUCAAGCGUCGCGACGCAAGGCAACGCUCAUAGUGCUCUAGCAUUUGAAACAACGUCAUCUUAGCCUCAAGAUGCGUAUGUAGCACCGAGUUUAAACUCUCACUCCGCUGAUUGCUGCUCAAUCCUAGGAAACAACGGCCCUCAAGAUAUGGAGCACACCACAGUUUGCUCAUCUUAUACAUCUGAUGCAGCCAGGAGUCCUCAGUUGUUACUUUAUUCCGUUGUAAGAAGUGUAACCAUUUUCUCUCAUGCUCUUCAAUGGAAGAUGUAUCAUAUAUGAAAGAUCGGAAUUCCUCCUUUACCGCGUCAUCAUGCAGAUGGCGUACAAUGUUCUGCUGAAUGUGCCAUAUACAGAGCCUAUGGUUUCAGUCAGGCCACACCACCCUGAUUGCUCUCUGCAUUGCAAGGUCCCCAUCCGUGAUCACAGAUAUAGGAUGCUUCUGUCCCAUAGCAUCAGAAAAGGUCCGUAACAUCCACUCGUAUGCCUGGCUUGUUUCAUGUGAAAUGAUAGCACAUGCAAAAAAUAACGGUGCUGCGGUGAUGAUUCAACCCGACAAACGGCACAAAUGGCAGAUUGUACUUAUUGGUUUUGUAUGUGCUAUCAAAAACAAUAACGUCUCCGAAAGCCUCGUAGUCAAGUCGGGAUUGACUAUCAGACCAGAACAGUCCCUUCAGAUGGCCAGCUUCAUCAACCAAGUACCUGAAGAAAAAAAUCUGAAUCUUGCUCUUGCCUCGCCGCCAUGUGAUUGAUCACCGUUUGAGCAUCCCCGGAAGAAAUUGUUUCCUGCUUGUUAGCAUGGCAGAAAUUGUAAAUGUCCCUCAUAAUGCAUCCAACCUCAUCAUAUCCACCGUAUUGCAUGCACAUAAUAUCCAUAAUAUGGUGUUUUCUGAUCCCAAAUUUUUCCAUGUCUGCAAUGUCCGCUUUCUGCUCAUCGCUAAUUCUUCUGUGUGAACGCAAAAGACAGGACAGAUCCCGUGGGGCUAGAGGAUGGUUGUGUUCAUCGACGAAAUCCUUGACAAACCACUGACCUGUUUCCUCUUGUCUUGCAAUCACCAAUUUAGCUUUACACCCUACAUGAGUUAUACUCCGUGGCCUCCUCUUUCUAUCUUCCAUCUUCCUCUUCAUGUGCUUCUCUUCACGAACCCCUUCACGACUACACACAAAUUUCUUUAAAAUUAUAUGGCAGUUGGAUCCAUCCCACUCGACAUAGCUUCUCCGGACACUAAAACCUUUCUCAAGACCAUAUUUGUUAUAGAAUGUAUAACCUUCAUCCUCACUAUUAAACAUCUUGUUGGAAUAUGAUAGUACUCCAUCAUUGAGUCGUGACUUACGUCCGCCAUGUCUUCCUGCAUCACAAUUCGGACGAAUAAAAAUCUGAAAGGACAGACAUAAAUGCAUGCAAAACCCGAAAUCUUGCGUGGAAUUUUAAACUUUGCUCCUUGUACAUGUUAUGGCAAGCGAUCAUAAACGUCCAUAAACUGGGUCCCCUGUAAACUAGUGAAGUGACCAUGGAUGAUGAAAAAUUCUAAAUUGAAUUGCAUGCACUAGGGAAACCUAAAUCGAUGAUGACUAAACAAAUCUAAGUAGGAAGUGCAGGCUACGAAUCAAAGUAAGUUGAGAUUCGGGCGAUUCAUACCUUAAGAUGCAAGUCUGGAAGCGAUGGGAUCAGCGGGGGGCUUUCUCCUACCGCCGCCGUCGCCGCCGACACUGCCGCCGCAGAUGUCACGCCUUAUUCUUCUUCCUGCCGCCGACCACGUCUUUUAUAGUGAAGGGGACGAGAACGACGCCGACGACGAUGAAUUGGUUCCUCUCGCCGGGCUCGUCGGACAGAAGGAAGAGGACGAGAAGGAGGACUUCACCGAGCUACUAGAUCUAGACGUGGUUCUGGUCGUGGACGCGAUCGGUUGAAUUUUUUUUACCCUGGACCAUUAUGCCCUUCUCUAAUUAAACUAAUUAAGUUAAUUCAUUCUUAAUCCCCCACCAGAUCGGACGGCUAAUAAAAAUCGGAGGGGUGAGUACUCAAAAGUACUCCCAGUACUGCCCCAAUCACCGUAAAGGAGCUCGUAUAAUUUUUUUCCUAGUUUCUUGGAUCCAUAGUGGACUUCUUUAUCUCUCCCUUUCCAGAUAGCGUCGAUAGACUAAUUAAACGAGAACACAAGAGAAUACAAGCAUUUACCUGACUGAGAGCUUGCAUGCAGGCAGCAUUCAGGAGCCCUCCAGACAAGACCUUUCCUACGUGAAAUGGCAGCAAGGAUUCAACAUCUGUAAUAACUACAGAAGGGAAGCUGGGAGCACUGCUCAUCAUACAUAUAUUUGUAACUUGUCGCAGGCGGCAACAAGGCAUGCGAGCAUACGGACACCUCUUUUCAGGUGCUUGUUCUUGACAGUCUAGCCAAAAAUUUCCUACUUUGUUUAUGUUCAUUUUUACCUAACGUCUUUUAGAUAUCCUAGCUGCAUCUGUGGUGUGUGUAUGGAGUUAAUCUAAUGCAUGUUGUUCUUAACUAGUAGUAUGAAGUCUGCUUACUCCUCAGCUACCGUGCAAUUUACACGUGACUGCCGAGAACAGUUUAUGAGUGGUAAAAUCGUCAAAAAAAUUAAAUUUGCUUAGAUGCAUGAGUUUCUGCUACUCAUUUUUUGGAUUGAUGCUUCUGUUCAAUCGUGAGCAGUUCGCACGUUUUAAGCCUGCACAAUGGGGUAGUCGGUUGGCACCGUGGCCCGUCUUGGAUUAUAAUGCCUCUGAACAUUGCAAUUUCGCAAACUUUUGAGCAUCUCUGCCAUACUUUUCAUUUGCUGGAGCACCUUUUUGUUUGGUCGGCCAUCAUCGAGAGCAGGUAGAGGCGCAGAGCGCCUUUGUGGUAGAAGUUCCUUUGAGAAUUGAGAGAAGAACUGACAUGUUUUCUUUUAGAGAAAAUAAUUGACAUGUUACAGUAGAUUAAUUACAGUCCAACCCAAUCAAGUCCAAGAGAGUUUUGAACUAAACAUAGAUUUUAGUAUGCCCUUUAGAAUUACAAACAGGGGGGAAAUGAUGGAAAAAAGAAAACAACAAGAGGCAGAAUCUAUUUUCUCGAUUCCCCUGCAUAUUUAAGUUCACUGCUCUGUUUCUACUUUUGUGUGAUCUCUUCUUCUUGUCUUGUCCUUGCUGUGAUCUCAACCACGGCUGGGUUCAUUUCAAAGAAGGCUCAAAAGGACAUCCCCUCUUUUCCAUUCAAGGUGGCUAACAAAACAGUUCUGAUUGGGGCAGCAUGCAGGUGAAGAAGUCAAAUACACUAGACUUAAUAUUUACAGAGAUAGCCAGAGUGUUGUAGGGUUGGUUGGCGGACAUGCGAUUUCCUGAAACUGCAUCGUUAACCCGGUUGAAUGGCGUUUUCACAAACUGAAACUUUGCUUUUAUGAUCUGCAUUUGGAUCACCGCUGUUUGUAACAAGUGACCAACAUCUGCAACUGUUUUAUAUCCAUAAAGAGCUGCCCAUUCUUUUGUCAGUCUGAAUAUUUGCCACAGCGAGCAGAGGAUUGAAUCCCAGGUAGUACCAUAUAUCAUCUUGGCCUGAUUUGUUUUGGUUUUUUCCUACCUGUGUAGUAGUUUUUUUCAUCUCCUUGUUUGGAUACAAAGUGGAAUCCUCUAGAAAAGACCUUCCCUGCAUGAAAUGGCAGCAAAGUUUCACAACAGUAACAGCUACAGAAUGUAAGCCGGGAAAACUGCUCAUCAUAUAUAUGCCAAACUUGUUGCAGGCGGUAACAAAAAAGGCAGGCAGGCAGACGGAUACCUCUUUUCUGGGCCUGGGAAGAGCGUCGCACACUCCAGGUACCACCCGACCGCCUUGAGAAAUAUUAUUACGACAGAAGAAGAUCGUGUGUUCUCUGAAAAAAAAACUUCUUUGGACUAUGCAGCAGACUUCCAGAUACUUCGGCAUGGUUAACCUCAAGAGAUGUCUUCAGGAGGAGUGCCGAAUCUCUCCCCAGAAAAAAAAGGAGAAGUAAGGAAUCUGCCUAACAUGUUUAUGUGGUCUAAAUUGUUAGAAGGGAGAGAGGGGUUUGGUGGAAUAGUUCGAUGUAUUGCUUGAGCCUCGUGGGCAUAUAUAUAUAGAAGUACAUGAUCAACUUGGAGUACAAGACAAGCCAGAAUAAUUCCUAGUCUAUCUUAUGUUUCCUAGCUAAUCACGAUACUCAACAUCCCCCGCAGUCAUAACGGUAGAGACGCAGACGGUNNNNNNNNNNNNNNNNNNNNNNNNNNNNNNNNNNNNNNNNNNNNNNNNNNNNNNNNNNNNNNNNNNNNNNNNNNNNNNNNNNNNNNNNNNNNNNNNNNNNNNNNNNNNNNNNNNNNNNNNNNNNNNNNNNNNNNNNNNNNNNNNNNNNNNNNNNNNNNNNNNNNNNNNNNNNNNNNNNNNNNNNNNNNNNNNNNNNNNCGAUGCAUCGCGGAGUCGUGGCUGGAGUGGAAACCGACGAGAUUGCUCAAGCAGGCGGUAGCCCUUUGUGUCCUUUGUCGAUGUAGCCGAGAGCGUAGGGUGGUGGAGCCGUGGUCGAGGUAGCCGUGCGAAGAAUGCCAUGGUCGAUGUCGAGUCGGGGUGGCCGGUGUCGAGAAAGUCGCCGUGGAGCCGCGGGCGCAAGAGGGCGCCGAGUUAGCAUGGGCGCAGUGGUGUCGAAGUAGGGGUGCGCCGAGAAGAAAAUGUUGUUGACGACGCGUCGCGGCGGGUUUGCCAAGCCCGGGGACACAUCGUGGACGAAGGCACGCACCGGUGUUGCCACCACCGGGCAUGCGUAGACGGACGAAGACGAAGUUGACGAAGCUCCGACUAGGCUUGCCAGGCCCGGGGACACGUCGUGGAUGAAGACACGCAUCGGUGUUGCCAGCACCGGGCAUGCGUAGACGAGGGACCUGCACGAGCUGUACGCCAUGUUGGAGAAGUCGGAGGGGCCAGCAGAGAAAAACUCGACGACGAUUGCGGCGUCCAUUGGCACGGGGCCGAUAUCACAAACGGUGGUCGGAGUAGACGAAGUGGUCGGGAUAGAUGACGGCGACGCUGGCGACGGGCUGGUGCUUGGACGAAGACGAAGGUGGUGGACGGGCGGCGGCGGCUACGAAGGUAGCGUCGGCGGCGGCCAAAGAAGAGCGGCGACGGCGGCCUGACGGCGGCGGCGGCUUGGUUAGGAGUGCGGCGGCGGUGCUCGAAGUAGGCGAAGAACCCUGACAGCGUGACGAAGACCCGCGCAGACGGUGGCAUUCCCGCGCCAUGGGAGACAGCGUGGCGCAUACCGCGCGAGGUCGACACGCGAUGACGGCGGAGUGGACCGCGGGCCGCGGCGCUACGGCCCGAAGGGGCGACGCAACGACGGCAGGCGGGUCGGGGCGGCGGCGGGAAGACCUUGGGGCGGCGGCGGGGACUGCGACGCUGCGGCCCGAAGGGGCGACACAACGACGGUUCACGAGUCGGUGCAGCCGCGUGGACGGCCUCGGGGCGGCAGGGACCGUGUAUCGCGGCACUACGGCCCAAAGGGGCGACGCAGCAGCGACGCACGAGUCGAUGCAGCUGCGAGAGAACCACGGGGCGGCGGCGCUGCGGCCCGACGGGGCGACGCAGCGGCAGCCCGAUGCUCGAUCGGCGGAGAGGCGCGCGGUACUAAGGACAAUCUUCACGGGACCUACGGAGGCGCGCGUCACCAAGGGGCCAGGUCGGUCUCGCGGCAUAGAGGAGGCGGAUCGCGGUGGCGAGCGGGUGAUCAAGCCGAUCAUGCGCGAGGUCGGGGACGCCGCUCGGUGAGGAGUGGUGGCGGCGGAGUCCGGAAUGAGGCCGGCGACGACGGACGGCGUGGGACGUCGUGCGGACGAGCUUCUCAGCACCGGCACCCGGGCUGCCAAAGCAGCGGCGGUGCCCGGGCAGCGAGGCCCGAGCGACCAACGUAGCAGCGGGGCCCGAGCUGAGGUAGCCGACGAGUCUGACGCAAUCAGCCCGACGCAGUCGAGGACGAGGCCGGUGAGGUAGACCACCGGGCUGCCGUGCAGACACGGCGGAGGCGGGUGACGUGGAUUGAUAGGCGGGCCAGCGCGUGAGCGAUGGCUAUGAUUGGCCGUCUCAUGGCGCGAGGCCGCCGGGUCGGGGCGAUGCAGGUGUCCCGGUCGAAGCAGGGCGGUGACGACCGGCGCAGGGCGACGGGCGGACCGACGCGCGGAUGGCGGCUGGCCCGGACGGGCGCCUCGGCGCGCGUGACCGCCGGGUCGAAGGAGAGGCCGGCUUGUCGCGCCGGGGUCGGAGUAGAGGCGCACGGGGGGUCGACGGCGGCGGCGGGCGACGCAAACCAAUCAAGAUUAGAUCGGAAAACCAAAAAGAAAAACGCCGAUCAAAACGACCGGCGAGAGAGCGAAAAAACCCGGAGCAAGGGCUCUGGAAAAGGACUCUCUAGAGCAGCCGGCCAACACAGCCGGCGGACGAACCCUAGGUACGGGCGGCGCGGCCCCCGGCGUCGGUCAUGGAGGCCGACCGUCCCGGGGGCGGCACGCGGGUGCGGAAGCGACGGCGGCUAGGGUUUAGGAUCGACUUGCGAUAGAUACCAUGUUAGAAGGGAGAGAGGGGUUUGGUGGAAUAGUUCGAUGUAUUGCUUGAGCCUCGUGGGCAUAAUCAACUUGGAGUACAAGACAAGACAGAAUAAUUCCUAGUCUAUUUCCUAGCUAAUCACGAUACUCAACAUAAAUAAAGCUGAGCUGGGAGUUUUCUUAUGUUCAUUGUUACUUACUUAAUUGUCUCUAGACAGUGUAGCCAAAUUUGCCUCCUCUGUAUUGUAUUGUGCAGUGUACGCCUGAUCAUCUCAUAAAUUCACUAGCAGAGCAUUUUUGUGGAUGCAGGGCGGCCUAUUUGGCGGAACAAAUGUAGCAUGUAAAUGAUGAACCGGUGCAAGUUCAUGCUACUAAAACAUGCAAAGUGCAACUUUUUAGUGGUUCAUAUUUAGUGCUGCAAUUUUCAACGAGCGUGGUUGGCCUGAUAACGGAGAGUUGCGUCCACUGCCAGUUGACCCGGUGUAUCAUGGAAUCAUGUGCGUGCGUACAUGAAGGGUGGCGGCCAAAAAAAAACAUCUUCUUCAGUCUUUUUCAGGUGUAGUUUUGUUAACUUCCAAAUCAGAAAAAUCGACAGCCAAAAAGGAGAGGGAGUGAGAGGGCAGGAAACUCAAUUUUAUUGUCCUAAAUAAAUAGCAUCAGCGUCCACUGAUGUAAAAAAGGCAAGCAUUUUAAACAAGCAAGCUGGCAUUACUGAAUUAUGAUAAACUUCAAAGGACAUCGCUAAUCCUAUUCACAAGUUCAGAUAUGUUGUCAUUCCAUCAGCAUAACUGAACGACAUCACAAGUCUGUCCUUUCUUUUUUUCCGAUGAAGAUCAUAUGUCUGUCUGCCGGCCGGCCUACUCUGUGCUGCAAUGAAGCACCAAUCCCAGUAUGGAGAAGAACAUUCUUGCUGCUGCUCUGAAAAUGAACCAAAAAAAAAACACUAGUCUGCUGCAAAUGAAGCACCACUUCCAGUCUGGAGAACAACAUUCUUGUUGCUGCUCUGAAAAUGAACAAAAUAUUCAGGUGCUGUGAAACCACAUAUCACACGCCCCUGUCGCAGUGGAUUGCUAAGCUGGUUGUGGAUUCCCUGAUCUGAACCGAAGCAAAUCCACCACACACACGCAUGAUCUAUGCAGCACCCCCUUGGACCUAAUCGUCUCUAACCUAAACUCUCCCGACAAGCCCUUCCGCCCUACAAUCACCGCGCCGUCGGCGUCCCCACGCCCCAAGAGCGCCGCUCGUCGAGCCCCCGCAUGCAUACCCCUAAAUUUUACCGAAACUUAGCAUUUCAGCUCGAUUUUGGGGCAGGUGUGAAAAAACAUGAGCGCAGUGCCUCAGUCGAUGCUCUCAAUCGCCGCCAUGCGCGCCUCCACUUCCAGUUGUCGCCAUGGCUUUGCCGUUCAGGAUGCUCACCGCUGCAUUGCCUCUCGCAUCACCUAGAUUUGACGCCUCUACUGUGAUGUAGGUGGAGCCGUGAGGGUGAGGCACCGCAUGGUUGCGAUGCGGUCGAGCCAAUGAGACUAUCCCGAUAGACACGUGAGAGACGCCAGCGCCGCAUGAUCAAACUUGAUCGGACAACUCACUGGGAGGUUUGCGCUAGCUAGAAAUCAGUCGGUCUAAGUGAAAGUUUUCCUUUCUUUAUUUUCCUAAAAAGGAAGAAUCAUGUUCGGAAAAAGGUAAAUUCUGAAAAUUGUGACUCCUUUACAAAUAUACCUUUUUUAUGUUUGUAUAUGUACGACUAUGCAAUCAAAGCAUCCCCAUUUCCUCUUCCUCUAGUUUAGUCUAGAAAAAAGGGGGUCCAGCGGCCGUGUUGUUGUUCCCCACUGUCCUUCGAGAAGGGAAGCGCCACCGGUCACAUCCCCGUUAGCCGCCGGCGCCCGUCGCCGCCGUAAACCAAACGAAGGUACUUUUCUCACUCACCACAGCAGGAGCAUCACCACCGAGUUGAUUUUCUUCGGCCAGAUCCAUGAUUUCCUCUCUCCAUUUGCAGAUCUGACCUGACCGUGUCCCCUGCCUAGCCCUUCCUCUUCCGCUCCAUGGAGGAGGCGGAGAAGGGGGAGAUCUUCAAGAUGAACACCAAGCCGAGCUCCAUGAAGGAGGCGGAGAAGGAACACCAAGUUGAGGCUGGAUAACCAUGUGGAGGCGACGGCAGAGGCGGCCGGCCUAUUCACCGACGACAUCAUCCUAGAGAUCCUCUCCCACCUCCCGGCCAGAUCCGUCCACCGCUUCAAGUGCAUCUCCGUGUCCUGGCGCAACCUCAUCGCCGACCCCGCCAACCGCAAGAAGCUCCCCCAAACCCUCGCUGGCUUCCUCUACUUCACCACCGACGACAGCGGGCAUCACCACCACUUCGCCAGCGUCUCCGGCGGGGCAGCCCUGUUCGACCCUUCCCUCCCUUACCUGCAACCUAACAAGUACAAGGACAUGACCCAGGUAGACGCCUGCAAUGGCCUCCUUCUCUACCGCGGCAACAACAACAAGUUGGUCGCUUGGAAUUGGGCAAAGGACGAUUUCCGUUUUGUCGUGUGCAAUCCGGUCACCGGGAGGUGGGUAGAGCUGCCCCCUUCACCGCAGUCACCGGAAAACAGAUUUAGCUGUAUUGCAUGUCUGGCUUUUGAUCCCGCAGUCUCAUCCCAUUUCUACGUUCUUCAAUUCAAGCAGACCUUUCAGGGAUCUUACAUCACAGCAGUGAACAUCUACUCGUCGCGGACAAGAGCCUGGACUCGCAGGGAUAUUGGGAUGGUUGAGAAAGUGGUGCUGUUCUAUCUUACUAGAUGUGUAUUUGUUGGCGGUAUGAUGUAUCUGAUGGGCAUCCAUAAAGGCAUUAAUGAAGAGAAUGUGCUGGUGGGUGUGGACAUGGAGGUUUUUAUUUUUAUUUUUCCAAACAUACUAAUAGCGCACCAGGGCACAGUGCACCAUUACUAGUUCUAACUAGUAAUGGCGCAUCAGCCACAUAGUGCGCCACUACAAUAUUUUUUUUAUUUUUUAUUUUUUUGCAAAACUACUAAUGGCGCACCAGGGACAGUGCGCCAUGGCGCACUGUUCCACGGUGCGCCAUUAGUGUAUAUUUCAUGGACACUUGAUCUCGAUCCCCCUCCAUCUCGAUCGCUAUCCCACCUCGCCAGAUCCGGUCCCCCUCGCGGCCGAGCACCCCCCGCACCCUCUACCCCGCUCCACCGGCCGCCGCCGCCGACCCCCCGCACCCUCCCCCGCUCCAACCGCCGCCUUCGACCCAUCGCNNNNNNNNNNNNNNNNNNNNNNNNNNNNNNNNNNNNNNNNNNNNNNNNNNNNNNNNNNNNNNNNNNNNNNNNNNNNNNNNNNNNNNNNNNNNNNNNNNNNNNNNNNNNNNNNNNNNNNNNNNNNNNNNNNNNNNNNNNNNNNNNNNNNNNNNNNNNNNNNNNNNNNNNNNNNNNNNNNNNNNNNNNNNNNNNNNNNNNNNNNNNNNNNNNNNNNNNNNNNNNNNNNNNNNNNNNNNNNNNNNNNNNNNNNNNNNNNNNNNNNNNNNNNNNNNNNNNNNNNNNNNNNNNNNNNNNNNNNNNNNNNNNNNNNNNNNNNNNNNNNNNNNNNNNNNNNNNNNNNNNNNNNNNNNNNNNNNNNNNNNNNNNNNNNNNNNNNNNNNNNNNNNNNNNNNNNNNNNNNNNNNNNNNNNNNNNNNNNNNNNNNNNNNNNNNNNNCACAAAUGAAUGCAACUAAAAUUGCAAAAAAAACAAAUUUGAUUAUAUUUUCAAAUAACAAAUUUGAUGAUAUUUUCAAAUAAUAAAUUUGAUGAUAUUUUUUCAUAUUCAUAAAUAUUUUCAAAUAACAAAUUUGAUGAUAUUUUUAAAAAAAUUAUUACUGUAUUUGUAAAAAAUUAUUACUGUUUCAUAUUCAUAUUCAUUUUCUAAAAAAUUAUUAGAUGCAACAAAAAAUAAUAAUAAUAAAAAUUACUUAUGGCGCACCUCUGGCUGGUGCGCCAUUGCUACAUAAAUUUUUUUUACUAAUGGCGCACGCGUCGUGGGUGCGCUAUUGCUAUGUAAAAAAAACAUUCUAAUGGUGCACCACUUCGGGGUGCGCCAUUAGUAAGUUUUCCCCCUUAGCUAAUUCCUCUCUCUCCCUCGCCAGUCCACCCGCGCGCUCACCGGCCUGACCCACGACGCCGCCGCCCCGACCCCCGCCGCCCCCGCACCCCCCACCACUGCAGCUCCCCCGCGCCGCCGCCCCCGCGCCCCCNNNNNNNNNNNNNNNNNNNNNNNNNNNNNNNNNNNNNNNNNNNNNNNNNNNNNNNNNNNNNNNNNNNNNNNNNNNNNNNNNNNNNNNNNNNNNNNNNNNNNNNNNNNNNNNNNNNNNNNNNNNNNNNNNNNNNNNNNNNNNNNNNNNNNNNNNNNNNNNNNNNNNNNNNNNNNNNNNNNNNNNNNNNNNNNNNNNNNNNNNNNNNNNNNNNNNNNNNNNNNNNNNNNNNNNNNNNNNNNNNNNNNNNNNNNNNNNNNNNNNNNNNNNCGUCUACCCGCCGCCCCACCUCGUCUUCCACGCGCCAAAUCGAGCGGCGGCCAGGUAAAUCCUUCCUGACCCGCCGGCGUCCACCUCGACCUCCCUCCUCCCCUCCUCCCCUCCUGACUCCUCCACCUUCCCUUCUCUCUGCAGGAUCGGACGAACUCAUCAUCGAGCAGAAUCGGGGUGAGCUCCAGCCCUACCCACCUGCGUCCAGCGCAGGUAUGCUCAUCCCCUUCCCGCCCCUCUGGCUGCCGGCGUCCGCCCUCCCUCUCCCCUGUCCCCCAUCUCUGAUUGGCAGUGGUUAUGUUGAUGAAUAUAAGUGGUGGUUAUUUCAGUGUUUAUUUCAGUGAAUAUAAGUGGUUAUGUUGCAAAAUCUUCUACUUUGUAACAAAGCUCAAGUGUUUCCAACACAUAUUUCAUAUGAGGUUGCAUCUGUGUCAACAGUCAAGUUCAGCACUUUCAUAUGGUAUCUCCAGUUCUGAAAAGUAGAUUCAUAUUGUAUCUCAAGCAAGUCUCAUUUCUCAUUAUCAUAAGGAGUAUAGGCAAUAUUUACUGUCCGAAUCAGAACCUAUAAUGCCGACAUCAAUUUUUUAGUUUAUGUUCCAGCUUGACAGUUUGUUUGUUGAAAGCAGUGAUGUUGUUAGUUUAAAGGGAGAAAGCUGCAGAUAAUUAAUGUAGAAGUGAAGGGUGGUGUCACUGCAGAUCGGAGCAGUUCGCUCCUCACACAAAUUCAGAUGGUCUGCAAGGCCAUAACACUGAGCAUGGUUCUUGUUUUUAGUAGAAGCUCUAUACACACAGUCUCCCAAAAGCUUAGCAAAUCAGUCAGUGUAGAUGCCAUGGUUAGCUAGAGACAAUGGAGUAGACAGAACAGAGACAUAUAGUCAAGCCUCUUGAGAGGCUGGAAUGAUAUCAGUGGCAAUUAAUUUGGCUUUACUGAAAACCUUACAGAAACUAAAUUCAGUUAGCUGGGUCAUCUUCCACUUGAGAGGCUGGAAUGAUAUCAGUGGCAAUUAUUUCCUAUGAUAUAAUGCAGCAGUAGUAGUAGUAUAUUGUGCUUAGGGCAUGAAUCAUAUGCAACAGUAGUAGUAGUAUGUGAUGAGGUUGGAGAUUAUGACCCCCAAACUAAAUCUCCUAGGACCACAAAUCAUUCCAUCUCAUCCAUAUAAUGCUUACCAAAGGCACAUAAACUGCCAAAACUGAAAGAAAUUGGAGUGUUGAAGAUAUGCUAGUGCUGAAUUUUAGUAGUAGACUAAAAUAAAUUUUAGAAUGACUGAAUGUAUGCAGCCUGCAGUAGUGUAGCUGUACCAAAAUCACAUCUGCCCUAAUGUAUGCAGUCAUGUCUUUAUGCCAUUCUGACUUGUCCACUGGGACUUCUCUCCUGUGAUGUCUGUUUUGUUUCUGCAAAAACCCAUUCAGUACUGUGGGACUGUGGAUCAUUAGCAGAGCUGCUUUUUGUCCAUAUGAAAGCAGAGGACCAUAUGGUCUGUGGCCUUUUCAUCCAUAUGAAAGUAGAGGCACAUUGUGGUGCUAGUUUGCUGGGUUUUGUCUCCGACCAUCGUGUCGUGAUGAUUUUGCAGGUACCCCGAAAGGCCCUUGAGUUUGCCGGAAUCGAUUAACUUUCGUUCCGGCAAAUUCGGGUACUCCAUAUGUCCUAUUUUCAGCAAAGGUCAUGCUGAAAUUUUCCGUGAAUUUUAGCAUGACUUUGCUAAAAAUAGGACAUAUGGGGCACUUCCGACUAAUGCAUGGGCCGGGGUAUCUUAGUACUUAAUUAAGUAGGAUCAACUGCCUUUUGUGUUAUACAUAUAGAAGUGUGAUAUCUACUCAUAGUUAUUACUAAUGUCAGUUGCUCGUCAUCGAUAAACCCUAAUAUGGUAGGAUGACCUACUAAAAAAGCCCAUACCACAUAUUCUAUUUGGAUGGGCGUGUUUUCACCACACUGUGGAUUAUCUUAUUGGACCCAACAGAGAUGAUGUAGUUUUGAAUUAUGAACAUAGGAAAUGUCGUCAUCAGACGACGAAAGUCUCCCGGGGGAGUGCGACUGGUGCCACGACGGUCGAGGUCUCUGCGACAGGCCUCACCUGGACGAUGAUCGGCGCUUCAGCAUUAAGCUCGAGGAGACCUUCGAAAUUGAAACGGUACGCAACGACGACAAGUGUUUUUUUCAUAAUUAAGCAUGACUUCAACUAUUUCAACGUGUAAUUUCAUCUUUUACAAUUCAAGUAUAGUUUAUCCUAUGCCAUGCAAGACGCUAUGUCUUGGAGAGUAUGGAUUUUGAAGAUCAUGAAAAUUUUGAAACGAAGAAAAUUCACCUAAGGACACAUCAUGAUGUGGAUUUUGAAGUAAAUCUGUAUAAUGCUGAGAGCGUAACCCAUUUUGGUUGCAAAAAUUGGGAAGCAUUUUGCAAGAUGUAUGGUUUUGAUGAGGGUAUGCUUGUCACCAUGGAUCUUGGUGAUCCUGGCAUCGACCAAGACAAUAUGGACAUUUGGGUCCUUGUUGAUACGCCUCCAGUUCUACCGCUAUGUGAGUUUGUCAAACAUAGUUAAUUAUUAACUAAUCUAUAUUGUUUAUUUCAAAAUAGUUGACAACUUAUUUCCAUUGACAGCUUAUUUUGAUUGUUCUUGAGAAUUCGUAGGAAAAUGGUAGACAAAACCCACUACACCGAUGGCUCUGAGUUAACUUAUCAGGAGAAAAAUCAUCUGGUCGGAUUUUGUACUGAUCUUGAGAAUUACAAUAUCUACAAUCAAACUCCUCAACAUUAUGGUCAAUACGUGCCACUAGUGCAUGUGUUGAACUACGGUAACUACCAUGGAGAUACCCUGGUAAGAUUUUUUACUAUUACGACAUCCGUGCAUCUUUUGCAUACUUCUAAAACUAGUACAUCAUUGCUAACUAUGAAGUUAUUACUAUGUUUUUCAACAGAGAAUCCCAGAGGAUUGUGUGCCUCAUUUGAUGUAUCAGAAUGGCAGCCUUCAAGUUUCGAACUUAUAUCCAGGUCAUCCUACGAAUCUCAACUGUCCAUACCGGAUUUCUAGAAGAAGUGGAGACAUGCUAAUCAGAGAAUGGAAAAAAUGUAUGGACAGUCGUAAGGAGGUUCUUGAAAGCAAAAGGAAGCGCCGCGCAAGAAUUGGAGACAGGAUGAUCUCCAUUCUCCAUAAUGGAGAGUCAGGGUCUAUAUUGUUUUAUGCUAUUUUACCUUAAAUAGGGUAUUUUAGGUCCUUAAUAACGAGUAGAAGUUGUAUGAUGAUGAUUAGUAGGACUUGUUAGGAUUAGUAUUACUUUCGACAAACUCGCUACUCGCGGUCUCGAGACUUGUAAUGUUCUAUCUUUGUUCGGUCUUUUGAAUUCGGAGACUUAUAUGAUGAAUUGUAUUCGGAGACCAAUCUUCUAUUGUAUUCGAUGAAUCUGCUAUUGCUGUGUGGUGCUGUUUAUAUUCUGUCCAAUAAUAUAUUUUGUAAUCUGUGCAAAUAUCAGAAAAGAAAAAAAAAUCCCUAAUAUACAUACUAAUGGCGCAUCACCCAAACGUGCGCCAUUAGUAUGCCAAAGGAUACUAAUGGCGCAUCACCCAGCAGUGCGCCAUUAGUAUGGCGAAGCACAUGCCCACUGGGAGGCAUACUAAUGGCGCACCGUGGCCUAUACUAAUGGCGCACUGGCAGUGCGCCAUUAGUAAAAAAUACUAGUGGCGUGGUACUAGUGGCGCACCAGUAGUGCGCCAUUAGUAGGCAAAACUGGUGCGCCACUAGUAGGCCUUUUCCUAGUAGUGACAGUUCAGGAGUUGGCACGCUUGGAUCAUCGCAGGGGUGCUUACACUUUGCUAUAGCUUCUUCCAUUGAUAAUAUUGAACUCUGGUGCCUCAAGGAUUGUGACAGUAAAGAAUUGGUCCUGAAGAAUACCGCCAGCGUCAAUAAGCUUACGAGCAUGACUAGGAAGUGGUAUAGUGUGGCUGAGAUUCAUCCAGAUUGUGACACCAUUUUCCUGGUUUCAUGGGAAGGUGAUGCCUUGGCAGCUACGAUAUGCAACAUCAGAAAGUUGGUUGUAUCCUUAAUGUUGAGAUAAACAUAGGACAACGGCAGCGGUUUCUAUCCUAUGUUCCUCUGUUUUUAGAGUCAUUAGCAGAUGCAGAUGGGCAGUAGUGUGACCUCUAAAAAUUGGAUCUUUUGUCAGCUGAAGUACUUGUUUGUGUACCUCUGAAUCUGCUUGAAUCAUGCCGCCCAAUUUGCUGGUGCUUGCACUCCCAUUUGGUUGAUUUCCAGUUCAGAACAAUGCCUGGUAAACCUAUAGAUUAAGCAUAAUGUCAUUUCCGAAGAACAUUGUUACCCAUGUUCUUGUUUACCUAGCACUGGUUGUUGUUCUGGACAUGUAUUAGUUCCAUGGGGCUAUGUUAUUACUGUAAUCAGCCUUCUUGUCCAUAAUAAUCAAUUAUUAUGAUUAUCCCAAAUCCUAGUGCAGAUUGUCAACCUCUUAGUGUACUACUAAAA